UGACAAAGAGUAUUCCUCACACAAUUUUUUUUUUUUUUUUUUUUUGUCGAUUUGUGUAUCAAUGACCAUCGCUGCAUGGCGUAUACAAUGAUUGUCGAUAAAAAUGGUACUUUAUCUUUAAAAUGUUUGACAUGGAGCGAAAAACUUAUAGAUAUUCAAAAUUCUUUAGAGGCAUGUCAAGAUUUGUACACUAGACUCAUUGGAAUAUUGCUUUCUCACCAAAAAAAUUCCAAAUUUUCUUCUUUUCUUAUAUUACAUCAUUAUCAUUAGUUAACUUAUCAAUGAUAAUGAAGAAACUUUAAGAAGUUUUAUUAGGAUUACUGCCACAUAUUCUCAAGUUAAUAAGUCUUUGAGAAUUGAGAUGGAUGUUCAAAAAUCAUUUUAUAAUGGAUUUUCAAAGAACAUAAACAUACUACAUUUGUAAGUUUAUGUCCUUCAAAGCCACUUACAACUUAUGACACAUACCAAAGUGAAAUCAAAUCACCAAAAUAUAACAUAUCUAACUUUUUCUUAUAGUUGACACAAGAAUUGUACUACAACAUGCAAUGAAUUGCACACCCCUAAUACAUUUGUUAUAAGAAAAAGUCAUGCAUAUUUUCUUUGUAAAGAUAGAAAGAUAAUAAAUUUGUCAAAGUUGGAAUCUAAGUGUUUUGGAAGUAUUUCUUUUACCAAUAAUAAUUAUGUUCAUUACUAUAUGUAAGAUAAAUUUCAUCGAACCCCUUGACUGUAAUCUUAAUUUCAAAACAAAACAACUCCUUCAUUUCUUUUCAUCUAACUAAAAAAGAAUCAAAAAUUUGUUAUAGUUUAGCAUAAGAAUGAAAAGAAAAAAAAGAGAAGGAUGUUGAGAACAACGAAUGUGUAGGUUAAUAUUAUUUAUGCAUAAAGAAAAAAAUAUAUAGUCUAAGAAAAUUUGUCAUCUAAAACUAAUUAGAUUAGACUCAUCAAUUACCAUAUUUUACAUAAUUAUAUAUACACAUAAACAAUAAUAUGGCAUUUAAUUACUAAAUCUCUACACUUGCUUCAAAUGGGUGAUAUACAUACAAAACUUUAUAACAAUUAGAUCAUUAAAAUGAAGUAAUAUUGUCAAGUUUCAAAAAAUAUAUAUAUAAUUAUAGUGUAUAAAUUUGUUUAUAAAAUUACAACAGUCGAAAGUUUACAAACAACUACAGAUUUUUUUUUUAAUCGUUUUGAAAUGUUUAUAUUUUCACAAAACUAUAUAUAAAUGUUUACAAAACUAUAUAUAAUUAUUGUGCAUAAAUUUGUUUACAAAAUUACAAGAAUCCAAGUUUACAAACAACAACAACUUUUUUUUUAAUCGUUUUGAAAUGUUUAUAUUUUCUCAAUAUAUAAUAAUCAUAUAUAUGUAUAUGUAUGUGACAUCUGUUCUUUUAUAAUAAACUAUUAGUAAAAUUAGCAAACUUAUUUGCUGUAUAAGCAAAAUAAAAAUAUUAAAAAAAUCACAAUAAAUAGCUCAUUACAAGAAUCAAACGUAAUAGUCACAUAAAACUGAGAACAUUAAGGGACUAACCACUACACUACAACAACAUUUGAUAGCCUUAAAACUAGUUAUACUCAUUUGCUGCCUAAAGCAUUUGCUUCUUGGGCUUUAGCCACAAAACGACUCUCCAGUUAUAGAGUUAAGCAGAAUCGAAAAAGCAUAAGUAACAAGGUCCCAAAAUUGACUACAAACAUCAUACCGUACCGUCAAGUAGUUAAACUCUUGGGCUGUUAUGUUGUAGCCUGUAAAAACAUGUAAUAAGAGAUUCCUACUCCAAAAUCAAGAACUAAACAACACCAAAUCCCAAAUUUUCAUGUAAUCGUAGCCUUUUUAUAAGAACAUAAUCUAAUCACAACAACAAUCAACUAUAAAUCAAAAAUUCCAAACAAAAUCAGGCAGAUGAAACAACAAUCUAAAACCAAAGUUGAACAAAAAAACAAAAUUAUACUAGUGAGGAGAAUUGACGGAAUCACAGAUUUUCAAAGUUACUAUCAAAAGAUCGAUGGUAGCUUUAUCAACCGCCACCGCUACCGUCGUCGAAGCUGAAGACAACACCAUAUCACGAUGCUUAGAUGAUGCUUAAAACCACUAAAUAAGCAUCGAUCUUUACCAUUUUCUUAUGCUUUUGAUUAUAACUAAUCACUUUAUUAAUUAUAAACAACUUUUAAGCAAUGGUCAAAGCAACUCCAGUAGGUGGUCUUACCAUCCUGUGCUAUGUGAUGUGGGUUGUGUAAUAUCAUCUUUAUUUGGUAUUAGCUGUCCGGUAGUGAACUUUCUUUUAUUUUUGUAAACUGGAAUUUGAAUAGUACAGUUUUAGUAAGGAAUGAAAGAUUUAUAUUACUAAGGAGACGUUGAAAAGCCAAAAGAGGAAAGAAAAGAAGGAAAAAAACACAAGCCAAGAAGCAAUGGAGCCAGCAGAUCGUUCAAGUGACGCAAAAGCUUUCGACAAUAUGAAAAUGUGCGUGAAAGGCCUUGCGGAUUCAGGAAUCACAGCGAUGUUUCGAGCAAUGCUAGCCUGAAAUCGCAACCACCUCCCAAGCAUCUCACCAUCGAUCUGAAGGGAGGAAACGUGGUGGAGAAGAUUGGAGAAGCUGCUGAAAAAUAAGGAUUGUUUUAGGUUGUUUAUCACGGCAUCCCCGUGGAGGUUCUGGACAGGAUGGUCGAGGGGAUUCGCAGCUUUCACGAACAAGAACCUGAGGCCACCAUUAUUGGUGGGCUCUUAACCAACUCUUAGCCUAAAAUUUGCUAAAAAUGGCCUCUUAUUUGCAAAUCUUAGGCUAAGAGUUGGUUAAGAGCCCAUGGAUAAUGUUGCUCUGAGGGCAAGAAACCCUUCUACUUUAGGGAUCAUAGUAAAUAUGUGGUUUACUACAUCAAUUUUGAUUUGCAUAGUACAGAGGCAGCCAUUUGGAGAGCCACACUGGCUUGUUAUACCGCACCAAAACCUCCUAGAUUCAAGGAGUUUCCCGCGGUUUGGUAAGGAGAAUUGUCUGCCAGUUUAAGUUAUUGUUAGAGAAAAAAAUGUGUUAUUCGUUUAAUGAUUUCAUUUCACAUAUAUAUGAGAGAAUAGCUAGGCUCUUAAAACAAUUAACUUGUGAAAAUGUUAUGAUCAUGUGGCAGGGAGAUUUAUGAUGGCAAGGGCCGAUGAACGGGGUAAAACGACCCAACCGACCUGAUCGAAAGGUCGACCCACACGUGUGUUAAAAAUACUAAGUUAUUUUUGUUUUUUCUUGCAUGACUUGUAGCUUUAUUCCUUUGAUCUUUCAUCUAUGGUUUGGGUUUGAUCUAAUUUUUAUUGUGCAGCUUAUAAGCAAUUAAGCAAAUGUAAAGUUCUUAAGCGUUGAGCAUAGGGUGAUAGACUAAUAGCAAAUGUAAAGUUCUUAGGCGUUCAUGAAGUUGAAUCCUCCAGUGUACGGCCAAGUACUCAACCAUCUUCAGGUUCAAAAAGAUCGAUUCUUCGAUGGUACACCAUUUCAUGAUCUGAGACAACACUUAUUAUUGUGCACUGUGUUGAAUGGAUGACGAGAUGAUUGACCAUGCUCUUUUCAAAUUUCUCCAUAACAUUACAAAUUUGUAAUGUUGAUGAGAACAUAACCGAAGUAAACCGGUAUCAAUUAAGAUAAGGAUGAAACAAUGAGAAUAUCAUUUGUGAUCUUAUUGUUGUUAGUGGUUUUAGGUAGAUUAUGUUAAAUCUUCGAUUCAUGUCUAUCUCCUAUAUUCUAGGAUUGCCCUUAACAUGUAUAAAUACUCAUAACAUCUUAUGAUGAAAUAUAUGGAAAAAAUGUUUAAAGUCUAUUGUUCUUAUAAGCUAUUGAUUGGGACCUAUCAAAUGUUCAUACAAAUUUAGAUUACCUUUUGUUUGGAGGAUAUAUACUACAUUAUUUAUUAAGAUACUAGUUUCCGGUGGUUACUUUGAUAAAUUUGGAAAAAAUAAAAAAAUUAAAUUAAAUUAGGGGUUAUUGGAUCAUUGAUUUUGAUGGAUUUGGAAAUCCAAACAAAAAUCAUAUGUUAUUCAAUCAUUGAUUUUAAAAUAACUAUCAAAAUCAUGUGUUAUUGGUUAUAUGAUUUAUAAAUACUAGUUAAAAUCCUAUGUUAUUCGUUUAGUGAUUUGGUUUUGGAUUUUAAAAUCCGCAGUAUGUUUUUGAAAGGAUUUGAUAGUGAAAAAUAGAAGGAUUCAAAUCCAAGGAUAAAACAUGUUAUUUCAAAAUCCAUGUAUUUCGAUUUCAUAAAUAAUAAGGAUUCACAAAUUCUAUGUGGAUUUACGAAUCAAUAAACCAAUAACACCCAAUGUUGAUAGGAAUGCACAAGUAAAAUUGAAGAACAUGAAUUUGACUCUCGCAUGACCAUCAUCACCCCUUAUAUAUUUUGUUUUGUCUUUGUAGGAUAUAUUAUCCUUCUUAGAUGAUUCUUUAGAAGAGACAUAUAUCUUUGAGAUGGUUUAGUUUUCAUGACGAUGUAGAGAGAUCAUCCAUUAUGUCCGAUCAAAUAUGAAAAUUAUUCUUCCAAUUUGAAAAUCAAUCUUUCAUGUCGACUAGGUAAGAUAGAUCCAUUAUGUUGGAGUGCUAAGUUGGCACUCGAAAAGCACAUUGAAUUAAUAUUCAACUUAGGAGAAAUAAAGAUCUUACACUCAUUGGUGAAUCAAGUUAGGCUAUAUAUAUAUAUAUGAAAAUGUCAAUGUAUAGUUAUAUGAUCGUGGCUAUAUAGCUAGCUAGGUCCUAACGAUGAUUAUGGGGAAUAAUGAACUUAGCCAGAGUCUAAGACUUUAAUUUUUCAAACCAUUAAAGUUUAAAAGAGAGUGAGGGAAACGUGUGGACUGACCUACAAUUAUGUGACUGGGGAAAAGACUUGGUUUCUGCUAUUUCUCAUAGAGGAUGAUCCUUCUCUUUCUCUCCAUACUUCUUCAAUUCAUUUUUUGUUUGGGAAUACGUGCCAUCGACCCGAGGAAAAGCACUUCGUUUCAAAAUUUAGUUUUAGUUUUGUGGUAUUUUUGAAAGACUAAAACUAAGUUUUUAGUUUAAUAUUUGGUUACGUUUAAUUAUAUUAGGAAACCACUCGUUCUAUGAGAUGAUUAUAGAUUUCAAAUGAAGGCGUUGGUAAGUACAUUUGGAUUAAACACAACGUUACCUGCGAGCGAAGCUACUGUAGUACAGUCUCUAAGUUAAUACUGAUGUUCUUUUUCUCUAAUCUGCCAAACUGUUCCUUACAAGCCUAUUUUUUCUAUAUGACAUAAUGGUAGAAAUAUAAUUUGGUCUAUAGUGACUUUUGCCCGCAGGUAAAGUUCUUAUUCAAUCGGGUAUUUCAAAUUCAAGUAUUUUCAGUAAAAUUCUAGUAUACAUUCCAAUAUUUUAGAAUUUUGGUUCGGUAUUUUAGUUAUUUUGAUCUUAAAAUAACUGAUCGAUAUUUUCAGAUUUAUACUUAUAAUUUUUAAAAAUAUAGGUUAUGACAAAUCUAAAAUAAUUAAUAUUUUGGAUAUCCAUUCGGGUUUCGCUAUUUGACGGUUACCUAACUUAUAUCAAAGUCAUUUUUGAUUUUUACACUUUAAUAAAUUUGAUGCAAAUUAUUUGAAAUUUUUAGUUGUUCGAGUUGAAAUAAGCAUUGUAACUUUGUUCGUGUAAGAUAAAAACACGAUAGAAAAAUAUUAGUUUGAAAUAGAUCUUUUCCCCUUAUAUAAACAUACUGAUAAAAUGUCAAGAAAAAAACACCAUUUAAUCAAGAAAAAACCAUUUGGCUCUUGGGUCAACUGUUAGAACGUUGAGUGGCCUCGAAAUGAGUUGCGUAUUGCGUCAACUGAAAUUGUUAGAAAGGCAUCGGAGCAUUGACUUGGGAAAUAUGAAGAGUAAGUGAAUUAUCACACGUAACGAAUUUAAUAAGAUAUCUCCAUGCAGCUCCCAUGCUUUUGAAUCCUUCCUAUAUAAACGAUCUCUUCAUCAUCCAAAAAUACAAACAGCAAAAGUGAUCUAACAAGCCAUGACAUUUCGUGAAACUUGCAUCUUUGUGAUUCUCUUUGUAGCUUUAAGUGCAACGAGUCAACGAGUUUGUGAUCCAGUGUGCCAAGCUAAAGAACCCUUCAACUGCAAUGAUGCGAGAACUUUCAGUCGAACCAAUUUUCCUAGAAACUUCACUUUUGGUGCAGCAACUUCAGCAUAUCAAGUAUGUUUUGAACCUUAUAACAUGUUUUAUACAACUCUAUAAUUAUACAUUUAUACCUAAUCUUUAAAAACCUACAAGUUUAUUUCUAUAAAAUUGAUUUGCUUUGUACUAGAUUGAAGGUGCUGCGCGUAGAGCGGUAAAUGGAUGGGACUACUAUACUCAUAGAUAUCCAGGUUUUUUUCCUAGUUUUAAAAAUAUGUAAUAAUUAUAUAUUAUCAACUGUAUGUAUUAUACAUUUUUUUUUGGUAUAGUUAUAUGUUUUAUAGAUUUGUAUAUAUACAAUUUGACAAAUAUAUUUGCUUACAAUUUAGACUUCUCAUCUAACAGAAAGGGUUCCAGACCGCACUACGGGAGAUCUAGCAUGCAACUCCUAUGAGCUUUAUAAGGUUUUUUUUACAAAUAGUCUAUAUAUAUAUGUAUAUGACAUACUUUAUUAUAUAGUCACUAGGAAUAAAUUUUAAUCGAGAAAGUUCUUUGCUUCAUAUAUAGGAGGAUGUUCAAUUACUGAAACGCUUGAAUGUUCAAGCUUACAGAUUCUCAAUAGCAUGGUCAAGGGUCUUGCCAAGUACAUACUCUCCUUCUUUCUUUAAUCUUCUAAUUUGAAUUUUUACAUUUUUACGAAAUCUCUCUUAUGCAUAUAUAGAGGGAAAGCUUAGUGGAGGAGUGGAUGAGAAUGGAAUAAAAUAUUACGACAAUCUCAUCAACGAACUCAAAUCAAAUGGUAAUUAUUUCAUUAUAUAAUAUUGUCAUACACUAACACAUGUUCACGUUAUACAUUUUUUCUUUUCUUUAUCUUUUUAUACAUGAAGGUAUAGAACCAUUCGUGACAAUAUUCCAUUGGGAUGUCCCUCAAACUUUAGAAGACGAGUAUGACGGUUUUUUAAGCCGACGUAUAGUGUAAGCCGACGAUACAUAAAAACCAAAACUCUCAUGUUAGCUCAUGAAUACAUAUCUUUAUUUAUAUGUAUUGUAUGGUUAUAUAUACUAGGGGUGAUUUCAAGGAUUACGCUGAGCUUCUCUUUCAAAGAUUUGGGGAUAGAGUGAAGUAUUGGAUCACAUUUAAUCAACCUUACACGUUCGCAAAUAGAGGUUAUGGAGAUGGAUCAUUUCCACCGGGGCGAUGCACAGGUUGUGAAUUCGGAGGAAACUCUGGUACAGAACCUUAUAUUGUUGGCUAUCACCAGCUUCUUGCUCAUGCUACAACUGUAUUAACAUAUCGACAAAAGUACAAGGUAUUAUAAUAUAAAAUAAUACAUAAUUUAUCUAUGAGAAAUUAGUAUAUAUGUCAUCCUUUAUAUGCAUUAACUAUGUGCAGAGGUUACAAGGUGGAAAUAUUGGAAUAACCUUAAUUGGAAGAUGGUUUGUUCCUUUAAAUGAUGCAAGCGUUUCAGAUCAGAUGGCUGCGCGGCGCGCAUUUGAUUUCAUUGUUGGAUGGUUCUUGGAUCCUCUUGUGUAUGGAGAUUAUCCAAAGAUCAUGAAAGAUACUUUGGGUACAAGAUUGCCUAGAUUCACACUUUUGGAGUCUCAAUUAGUGAAAGGAUCCAUAGAUUUUCUUGGUUUAAAUUAUUACUUCACACAAUAUGCAACUGAUUCAUUACGACCCAUUUCGACACCACCCAACAUCCAAACUGAUAUAAGAGCCAAUUUUAGUAGUAUGUCUUACUCUUCUCCAUCACUUUCUACAUCACUUUCUAUUUCAUAUUAAUUAGCAGUACUUUUGUAUCUCAAAUUGGGAAUUUUGUAGUAACUGCAUGCAUGCAUUGUCUACGUAAACUAAUUUUUGUUUUCUAUGUUUAUAAGCAGCUUCUCGUGGUGGAAUUAUAAUUGGUGUUCAAGUGAGUAUCAAAUUAUUUCGUUACUAAAAUGUUUAUAAUAUGAAAAGAUCUCAUAAAAUACAAACUUUAUAUUCUUUUCGUUUCAGUUUAGUUGUCGUUUAAAGUUUAAAUUUUUUUAAAGAAAAAUUGAUUAGUUUCUUAAUUUGUAUAUAAAUAUUUUUAAUUCUUUAUAUUCUUUUUUUUCUUCUAAUAAAACGAUUUUUAAUAUAAACCGAAAUAUUAUUACUAAUUUUGGCGGUUUUUUACAGAGUGCUAAUUUUGUGUAUUAUCCUCCUGGAUUUCGACAAAUUCUGAACUAUAUCAAAGAUAAUUACGCAAACCCACUUACCUACAUCACGGAGAAUGGUAAAUUUCUAUGAACGUAUAUACAUAUUUUUGUUAGCACCAAUGUAUAUACUAUGUAUUUAAACAAGUUAUAUGCUUAACAAUAUUCUACUUUUGAACUUUGUAGGAUUUUCUACUUUCGGGAAUCUCACACUUGCUGAAGCACUAGCAGACCAAGGACGAAUUGAAAGCCAUUGUAGUCAUUUGGCUUGCCUCAAGUGCGCAAUCGAGUGAGUUAUCUUAAUUAUAUUGCAAGUUCAUUUGAUCUUUGGUAUAUUUAUAUGGAAAAAAUCAUAUAUCACUUAUAUUUUGCCAAUAGUUCUUAAAAGUAAUUACUAGUAAUAGCCACUUGAAUUUUUGUGGUGCAUGUAGUAAAAAAAUUUCUUAUAGCCACUUGAAUUUCGUGGCUAUAAUAAAAUAAAUCCAUAUAGCCACGAAUAUUAAGGUUUAGCCACGAAAAUGCAAAAGGCGAUAGAGAUUUUUUUUACUAGUAUAUUUUAGUCUUUCUUUUUAUGUAUUUUAAGCUCUCCGUCUAACCAAAAUAAAUUCACUUAUAUAAACUGUAAGAGUAUCUCCAUCAACUUUUUUAAAUAUCUAUAAUAGUAAAAAGUAAAAAAAAAAAGUUAAAUAUGGAAUGUGUAUCUUAGACAAUUGAGAAACCUAUCUCAUUUGAGAGACUUUGAGGUGGGUUUUUGAUUUUUCCUUAACUAUUCAAGAUACCCAUUCAAUAUUUUAUGAUUAUUAUUAAUUUUAUAUUAUUGUGGAAACUUUCUUAAGAACUCUAUUGAUAAAGGUGCUCUUGUAUAUAGGGAUGGAUGCAACGUAGCUGGGUAUUUUCCAUGGUCUUCGAUGGAUAAUUAUGAGUUCAGUCAAGGUUACACAAUCCGUUUUGGUAUGAAUUGGGUGAACUUCACUAAUCCAGCGGAUAGAAGAGAGAAAGAUUCAGCUAAAUGGUAUUCCAUGUUCAAUACGAACUGAAGAUAAUAUAUGAAACAUGCAUGAAGUGAUCGCCUAAAAAAGCUACUAUAUAUGUGUUACGUUGUAACAACAACUAAACGGACUUUCAUGUCCCCUAAAUAGAAAAAUAAAUUCGAAAUAUAUAUAUGAUGUUCUCUAUAAUGCUGAAUCAUUUGUAAAACCUUCACUGAAAGUGGCCUCGGCAAAAAAAAUAGCGAUAUCGAACCAAAUCAAGAGGAACCGAAACCGAACCAAAAUUGAUGUCGAAUGAAACCAAAUCAUCAUACCGAGACAAAACCGAACGGAUAUCCAAAAAUGUUUCAUUGUUAUAAUUAAUAAAUAGAUGAACGUAACUAAUGAACAUAACGAAUUAUAUUAUUAGACUCUCUCAUUAAUAAUGUUAUAUGAUGCUUUGAAGUUUUUAAUAUGGAACGAUUCCCUUCAUUUUCUUAUCAUGAGUGACAACUUUAAAACACAUUUCUCGACUACAACUUGAAUGAAAUAAUUUUAAUUUCCUUGUCAUUUUGUCAGCUUGUAACGAUAUGUUGUUGAUAUACCUUAUACGUUAUAUCACUAGGGACAACAAAACGAACUUAGCGAGCUGGAGAUGGACCAGAGGAGUAUUGGGCUAACAGUGAGGAGUUGAAUUUUUGGUGUCGUGUUAUUUUUUUCAACUAAUGCGUCAAUGUCUAUAGUUUGACAAAUAAACUACAAAAACUAUAUAUCUAUUAAUCUCAAAAACUAUAUAUGCCUAAUAGUUAAAAUAUGUUUCACUAUAUAAACAAAAUAUACUGCUAAGUUGAACUAUAGAUUCACUCAGGUUUGCUCUCUUCUUACUUUUCUUAACAAGUCACUCCUUGUUUCACUAAUUCUCUUCAUUGUCAUUGUCUUCUUCUUAAUGGUUCUCCUUCUUUUUCUCAUUGAUCUUUCUCUUUUGUUUGUGUAGGUUCAAUCAAAGGAUCCAACUCCAAGUUUUCUCCAUCGCCAAAAAUUUAUAAUAAGCGAAAGUAAUUGUCUCUCGAGCCAUGACAGAUUCGUGUAACUUGCAUCUUUGUGCUUCUCUUUUCAGCUUUAAGUGCAACGAGUCAAAGAGUUUGUGAUCCAGUGUGCCAAGCAAAAGAACCAUUCAACUGCAAUGAUGUGAGAACUUUCAACCGAACUAACUUUCCAAGAAACUUCACUUUUGGUGCAGCAACUUCAGCAUAUCAAGUAUGUCUGACCCUUAUAUACAACUCUCUAAUUAUGUUCUAUAUGUAUGUUUUUUUCUUCAUAUUUCUUGGAAUUGAUUUGCUUGUACUAGAUUAAAGGUGCUGCGGGUAGAGCGGUUAAUGGAUGGGACUACUAUACUCAUAGAUAUCCAGGUUUUUGUCCUAGCUAGUUUGUAAAAUAUUUUCUCACAAUUUAGACGUCUCAUCUAACAGAAAGGGUUCCAGACCGCACUAUGGGAGAUCUAGCAUGCAACUCCUAUGAUUUUUAUAAGGUUUUCAAUUUUAUUUCGAGUGACAUCUUUAGCUUUGGAAUAUAGAUUCUUGGGUCGUAUAUAUAGAAUGUAGCAAUUUUUCUCCACUAAACUAAUUUUUGGGAUGAGUUAGGGCACAUUCCUAAUAAUAUAGUCACUUGAAAUGAAAGUUUAAUCGAAAAAGUUCAUUGCUCUAUAUAUAGGAGGAUGUCCAAUUACUGAAACACUUGAAUGUUCAAGCUUACAGAUUCUCAAUAGCAUGGUCAAGGGUCCUGCCGAGUACAUUUUUUCUUCAAUCUUCUUUUAUUUCAUUUUAAAAAAAUAUCUCUAUUUAUAUAAGGCUCUCUCAGAGGGAAAGCUGUGUGGAGGAGUGGAUGAGAAUGGAAUAAAAUAUUAUGACAAUCUCAUCAACGAACUGAAAGCCAAUGGUAACUAUAAGUUUUAUAUAUUUAUACACCAAUACAUGCAUGUGAAUCUUUUAAUAUUUUCGUUAUACUGUUGUAUCAUUUGAUCAUAUUACACGUACACCUAGGCAUAGAACCAUUCGUGACAAUAUUCCAUUGGGAUGUUCCCCAAGCUUUAGAAGACGAGUAUGGAGGUUUUUUAAGCCGACGUAUAGUGUAAGCAUUUCAAUAUCUAAUACAUGUUUUAUAGCUUAUGAAUAUAUCUUUAUGUAUGGUCAUAUAUACUAGGGGUGAUUACACGGAUUAUUCUGAGCUUCUCUUUCAAAGAUUCGGGGAUAGAGUGAAGUAUUAGAUCACAUUUAAUCAACCUUACACGUUUGCAAAUAGAGGUUACGGAGUUGGAACAUCUCCACCGGGGAGAUGCACAGGUUGUGAUUUUGGUGGAGAUUCUGGUACAGAGCCUUAUAUUGUUGGCUAUCACCAACUUCUUGUUCAUGCUACAACUGUAUUUACAUAUCGGCACACAUACAAGGUAUUUAGUUAUGUCAUAAUUUCACAUUAUGUCUUCAUUUGUUUCUAAUUUACCUAAAGACUAAUAUAUAAAGGAAUAGAAAAAGAAACUGCAUGAGUUAUGUGCAUGCGAAAAAACAUAUAUCUUCACAUUUUGUUAUGAACCAUUCUUAAACAUAAGAAAGAGGGAGAUUUAAAAGCUUAGCUCGGCCUAGAAGGUGGUGGGGGAGUUGUAGAACCAGGAUAGGUGAAAGGGUGAAACUCCCACAUCCCAAAUUAAAUUCUCCUCUCUUUAUGUUAUCAACUGGACCUUGGCUCAAUUUUUACAUUGUAGUCAGAAAUGCAUACGCCUGACUACUUCUGGUAUUAGUAAGAAAGCAUUCCAAACUUGGGAAUAGUCUAUAUGGUAGUUCAACAUGCAUCUAGAUGUUGGGAACAAGUCUACAUGGUAGCAUUUUGGCACGUUUCCUCUAUAGCUGACCAGAUUAGCCAAUCAGAUAUAUCACAAAAAGCUUAUCUCUCUCUUAACCCUAGUCUCUCUUAGAGAUUAAGGUUAAUUUUUGGGGUUUGUUUUCUUAUUGAUUAUAAUAGAUCCUUAUAUAGGCCACAAUCCAACUUAAUCAUGAACCCUAAUGCAUAAAAUAAAUCACUUUAAAAUAAAAAGGAAAUAUAACCAAAUUCAAAAGCAUAGAAACCCCAAAAACUAUAAAUUAAAAUGUCUUAACCAUACCUUAAUCAACCUAACCAUAUUCUCACUUUUGUAACAAUAUGCAGAUGUUACAAGGUGGAAAUAUUGGAAUAGCCUUAAUUGGAAGAUGGUUUGUUCCUUUAAAUGAAUCAAGCGUUUCAGAUCAGAUGGCUGCACGACGAGCAUUUGAUUUCAUUGUUGGAUGGUUCUUGGAUCCCCUUGUGUAUGGAGAUUAUCCAAAUAUCAUGAAAGAUACUUUGGGAGCAAGAUUGCCAAGAUCUACACCUUUAGAAUCUCAAUUGGUUAAAGGAUCAAUGGAUUUUCUAGGUUUAAAUUAUUCCUACACAUAAUAUGCAACUGAUUCAUUGCAACCUAUUUCGACACCACCAACCAUCCAAACUGAUGCAAGAUCCAAUUUUAGCAGUAUGUCAUACUCUUCUCCAUCACUUACUAUUUCAUAUUAAUUAGUAAUAUCUGCAUGCAUGCAUUGUCUAUGUAAACUAAAUUUUGUUUUCUUUGUUUAUAAGCAGCUUCUCGAGGUGGGAUUCUAAUUGGUGUUCAAGUGAGUAUCAAUAGUUUUUAUUUUAAAUGUAAAAAAAAAAGAGUUCAUAAUAAUACAAAAAUUUUAUCACUAAUUCAAACGGUUUUUUUUUUUACAGGGUGCUUACUUUGUGUAUUAUCCUCCUGGAUUUCGUCAAAUUCUAAACUAUAUCAAAGAUAAUUACGCAAACCCACUUACAUACUUACAUCACUGAAAAUGGUAUGUAAAUAUAGGUAUAAAAUCAUUUCUCUAAUUAAUAUGUAUUGAAACAAGUUUAGUUUACAAGAAUCAUAUGUGUUAACCUUGAAAAAAAUACAAUAUCUAACAUAACUCAAAUUGACAAAAAAUGAAUCGUAAAAAACUAAAAGUGUUACCGGAUUUUUUAAAAAAGAAUUAUCAUCCAAUGUUUUAAAAUACAUUGGUAACAAAAUUAGUUAUCAUGAAAAAAUGUUAGAUUCACUUUAAUUUAUAUUAAAUAGAAAUAAAAUGAAGUAAUAUGGAUAACCAUAAAUUGAUCAUAAAUCAAAAUAGAAAUACCUUUAAAAAGGAAAAUAAAAAUAAAAUAUGCAACUGUUGAAUAUUGACUCAAUUAGAAUCCUAGUUAGAAAAAAAAAUCUAAUCAAAACUUAUGACUUCAACUUUAUAAAUGGGGUUUAGUAUUGGACCAAAUCACGGGUUUUGACCAAUAUUAGGGUUUAACUAAAAUAUGAUCUUGAACAUGUAUCAGCCAAUUGUAGUACAAGUUAGCAGAUUGGCUAUCUCUUUGUAGGAUUUGUUUUAACUUGGAUACACUUAUAUAUAAACAAACUAUAGUUGUUAGAUACAUAUAAUUGGCGUGAAAUAUUUCAAAAAUCUGUUAUACCUGCUUGGUAUUUAAGAUUGGAAACUAGUUUAGUAUAAAAUAUAUAUUUUUAAAAUCUUAUCAUCUUAUCUUGGUAGUCAAUGUAAUAAUCAUAUUGAAAAGAACAAUACUAGAUAAUAUAAAAAAUAUAUCUUUUAGUAAAUUAUUUGUUAGGUAUAUUAUUAUACUUUAAAUAUUGAGUUUACAAAAGUCGUUAGAUAUAAUUGGUAUGAACAAGUUUAAGUAUUGGCGCGAACUAUUUAAAAAAUCAUUAUUUGUUUUUUCUAUAGAUGUUUGAUAUUCAUUUUAAAUUAUUGGUAUAAUACUCGUUAGAUAUAGUUAGCGUAAGAUACCUUAAAUAAUUUGUAUUUAUCGAUAUAGUUGACAUACCUAUUUAGAUAUUUAACAGAGUAGUCGUUAGAUACAAAUAAUUGGCGCGAAAUAUUUAAAAUAUCUGUUAUACUUGCUUGGUAUUUAAGAUUAUAAACUAAUUUAGUAAAAAAGAUAUAUUUUAAAUGUCAUCUUGUUUUGGUAGUCUUUGUAAAAACUUAAUCAUAUUAAAAAGAACAUAAGAAUAUUGUGAAUUUUCAAGGUCAAAGCAGAAGUCUUAACUAUCUUACUAGAAACAAUUAAUUAGUAUUUAAUCUAUAUCUUGGACUAUGAGAAGAAAAUUAACAGGUGGCUAAAAAAUAUUUGCAUCAACCAGUACUUGUCCAUCUAUAUAAAUUAGACUUUUCUUCUCAAUUCUCUUCAUAUAUUUUGUGAUUUAGUUUUACUUUUACAUAAGAUUAAACAAUAGCUAUGAGUUUAGAGAGUGGUCCAAAGGAAACCAAACCAUUUGAUGUUGAAAAUUGUAAAAUUUGUCGUGAGCCAUUAGCUAACAAUGGUGAUGUUGUUAAGCUUCCAUGUAACCACAUGUAUCAUUUGGGUAAUAUGUUCUUAAUUAUUUUAUUUAUGAAAAAGCAUCAAAAGAAUAAAUCAACUUUUAUUUGAUUUAUUUCUGUUGAUUUUAGUUACAUAUUACAUGCAUCCCUUUUCUAUUUGUUGUAGAUUUGUAAUAUUUUGUCUUGUAUAUAUAUAUAUAUAUAUAUAUAUAUAUAUAUAUAUAUAUAUAUAUUUUGCGAAUGUAUUAUUAAUGGAAUUCGCUAGUUUUCUGUCUUAUUGGGUUUUCUUAUUCAAAUCUGCAUUACAAUAUUGGGUUUUCAGACUAUAGAGCACUCUCUAAGACAUCUUUGGUUGUCUAUUAUAUUUUUGUCGACCAAAGUUAUCCAACAUAUAUGUGUUUAUUUAAACGAAUUAGGAAGAUUUUUAUUUAUUUAUUAUUAUUAUUAUUAUUAUUAUUAAAUUUUAAAAUUAUAAAUCAUAAAUCCGCUAAUAUUUUUGGUUUUUCUUAUGUUGUGACAUUGAUCUAUCAUUUUCUUUCUUGACAUGUUCCCUCUGCAGAGUGUAUUGCUAAACAUGUUCAGCCAAACAUGGUAAUAGAUCUAUACUUUGAUAUUUUGAAAUGUAUUGUAUAGUAUAUUAUUUGAAUGAGUACUAACAUAUUCAUUUGUUGGUUCAGCCAACCAAGGCGUGGAGUGACGACGAGUUGUCUCUAAUUAAAACUCAUCUCAAUUUACUCUUUUGCCAUCCUUUACCUAUAAGCUUUGCAUAUCCUGAUCUGAGCCCUAUGCACACUCCAUAUGCUUGGAACCCAACGGACACUCCAAAUCCUCUAAACCCUAGGCACCCUUCAUAUGGUCCAAACCAAAUUCGUAACAAUGGGAACGCUUGAUAUGAGAGAUUCAGGAAUCACAUUCCCUUGACGUGGAUGCAGCCUCAGAUAGAAGAACGUCGCUUGAAUGUAAUGAUGUGUGUGUCUCAAGGCAGCACUGGAGCAACUGGUAUUGGUGGGAGAGAUGAUGAAAGCAUCAGUGGCUGAGGAGGGGCAUAAAUGAGGGGUAGAGUAGCGAUUGAAAAUGAUAGUGAUCAAACUAUCAAAUUUUAUUGUUUUUUGUACUUGUUUUAGCUACAUUAUGUUUUCUUUUUCGAUAAGUUGGCAUUCAAUUUCUUUUGUGUGCUAGGAUUGAAUAUUGACCAGAAUUUAACUCAUACCUCCGGACGAACCAGAGCCACCAGAUCAUCUUCGCUUAUGCGUCUCUCCGCUAUUCUCGUUAGCUCUUAUCGUGCUCUACUCUAACGGAUCUACCCUCUUGGUACGGGUGAGCCUUCCUCUCCCCUUUGCACGGCUAUACAUUCCAGUCAGACAUUUGUUUCCCGGUAAUUCUCCUUUUGUAAUUUGGGUUGUAAAUUAUGAAGCUUUCCUCGGUCAAACCAUUGGCAUGACAGUAUCGUACAGAGCUACUUGUCCUGAUCUUCUGCUGCCUCAGUCACCAUUUCCAACACUCAUCAAUCCGGUCUGCUUCUCCCAACCCCUCACCAAGGUUCUCUCGAACGCCUCUCUUAUCCACAACAACAUCUCAGUCCAACUCUCUGUUUCGGCCUCCGCUCCUUGUCUUCAGCCAGCCGUGUGGGAGAGUUACUCCUUGGUAGACGGAUGCCCGCUUGCUCUCGUCGUGAACUCGUUGGGAUGGUUGGGUUUGGUUCAGCCUUUUUGGGUCCACUUGGAUCAAGCUUACAGAUUCUCAAUAGCAUGGUCAAGGGUCUUGCCAAGUACAUACUCUCCUUCUUUCUUCAAUCUUCUAAUUAGGAUUUUUCAUUUUAACGAAAUCUCUAUUAUGUAUAUAUUUAGAGGGAAAGCUUAGUGGAGGAGUGGAUGAGAAUGGAAUAAAAUAUUACGACAAUCUCAUCAACGAACUGAAAUUAAAUGGUAAUUAUUUGAAAUAAUUACGAAAAUUUAUUUCAUUAUGUCAUACACUAACACAUGUUCACGUUAUAAUUUUUUUUCUUUUUUUUUUUAAUCUUUUUAUACAUGAAGGUAUAGAACCAUUCGUGACAAUAUUCCACUGGGAUGUCCCUCAAACUUUAGAAGACGAGUAUGACGGUUUUUUAAGCCGACGUAUAGUGUAAGCCGACGAUACAUGUUUUAACCAAAAAUCUCUUGUUAGCUCAUGAAUAUAUAUUUUUAAUUAUAUGUAUUGUAUGGUUAUAUAUACUAGGGGUGAUUUCAAGGAUUAUGCUGCUCUUCUCUUUUAAAGAUUUGGGGAUAGAGUGAAGUAUUGGAUCACAUUUAAUCAACCUUACACGUUCGCAAAUAGAGGUUAUGGAGAUGGAUCAUUUCCGCUGGGGCGAUGCGCAGGUUGCGAAUUCGGAGGAAACUCAGGUACAGAACCUUAUAUUGUUGGCUAUCACCAGCUUCUUGCUCAUGCUACAACUGUAUUAACAUAUCGACAAAAGUACAAGGUAUUAUAAUACAAAAUAUUACCUAAUUUAUCUAUGAGAAAUUAGUAUAUAUGUCAUCCUUUAUAUGCUUUAACUAUGUGCAGAGGUUACAAGGUGAAAAUAUUGGAAUAACCUUAAUAGGAAGAUGGUUUUUUCCUUUAAAUGAUGCAAGUGUUUCAGAUCAGAUGGCUGCGCGGCACGCGUUUGAUUUUAUUGUUGGAUGGUUCUGUAACAACCCAUCCCGGUGGGAACUCCUACCACAUGGCACACCCCGCCAUAUGGCAGCUACAAGCGCUGCAACGCUGUAAGGAUGCCAUGUGGCGGGGUGUGCCACAUGGCAGAGUGUUCCCACGGGGCAAGGUGUUACAUAAAAGUCGACUUUUAUGUAACAACUCGUCCUGUGGGAUUCCGCCACAUGGCACACCCGCCACAUGGCAUCCUUACAGCGCUGCAGCGCAUCGACCCUAACCUCUCUCCUGUGGGCCCAAACUGUGCAACCCACUUGCUCGCAGCCUCCUGGCCCACCAUGUAGGUUAUUGGUGCGCCUGGCGUUCCUCGAACCCAGGUCCUCACCCUUUAACAAUCUUCCUACCGUGGAAGUUGUCACCAAUUGAACUGCAAGUGCGCUGCGCAGUUUGGGCCCACAGGAGAGAGGUUAGGGUCGAUGCGCUGCAGCGCUGUAAGGAUGCCAUGUGGUGGAAUCCCACAAGACGGGUUGUUACAGGUUCUUGGAUCCUCUUGUGUGUGGAGAUUAUCCAAAGAUCAUGAAAGAUACUUUGGGUGCAAGAUUGCCAAGAUUUACACUUUUGGAGUCUCAGUUAGUGAAAGGAUCCAUAGAUUUUCUCUGUUAAAUUAUUACUUCACACAAUAUGCAACAGAUUCAUUGCAACCCAUUUCGACACCACCAACCAUCCAAACUGAUGCAAGAGCCAAUUUUAGCAGUAUGUCUUACUGUAUUCUCCAUGAUUUUCUAUUUCAUAUUAAUUAGUAAUAUCUGCAUACAUGCAAUGCCUACGUAAACUAAAUUUUGUUUUCUUUGUUUAUAAGCAGCUUCUCGUGGUGGAAUUCUAAUUGGUGUACAAGUGAGUAUCAAUAGUUUUUAUUUUAAAAUUUUUAAAAAGACUUUAUAAUAAUACAAAAAUUGUAUCACUAUUGCAAACUUUUUUUUUUUACAGGGUGCUAAUUUUGUGUAUUAUCCUCCUGGAUUUCGUCAAAUUCUGAACUAUAUCAAAGAUAAUUACGCAAACCCACUUACUUAUAUCACUGAGAAUGGUAUGUAAAUAUAGGUAUACGAAUAUAUAAUUUAUAUGUAUAUAUCACUACAAGAAAACAUAUGAUUAACGACUGCAAAAACAGUCACAAUUCCGUCGCUAAGUACCUUAGAACGACUGUUUAGCGACGUAAUGACAUAGUCGCUAAACCAUGCGUCGCUAAAUUAUUUGGUCGUACGUCAGUCGCUAAAUAGCUACUGUGUUGCAACAUAUUUUAUUGGUCACUAUGACGUUGCAAAGCAGUCGCUAUUUGCGCGACUGAUUUGCGCCUAUUAUGCGACUUCAUUUUGACUGCUCUGCGACUGUUUUGCUACUGUGAAUUUUUAUUGUUUUGAGACAGAAUUGAUUUGGAAUCUCGAUAUAGGAUGCUUUUAAAUUUGAUUUUGAAAUUACAAAUUGUUUUUAAAACAAAAAAAAAUGUGUAUUUAAAACAUUUUCAUUCAACACAAACACAAAACAUGUUUUCAUAUUCAACAAAAUAACAACCACGUUCAAACACAUACAACCAAGUUUAAACACAAUACAACAACCACAUGUUUUAAAGUUCUUUCAAGUUCUAGUAGGAGGGAAAGCAAGGGAACCUAUUCAUCUGCAGAGGACUCAGAGUUGAUGAAAGCAAGGAAAUUUGGGGUCAGUUUUGCUCAAGUACUAUUUCACCAGCUUCAAGUGCUUGAUCUCAGCUUGUUGCUCAGCUAAAACCCGUGAAGCCUCUGCUUCACGCUCUGUUUGAAUAGCUGCUUGUUCCUCCAUCUUCCGAGUAGCUUCCUCAAGCUGUUGGUGCAGGCUUGUUGUGAAAGAAAAAGUGCUUCCCGGGUACUUUCGCUUCCCAUUGAUGUAAUCCCCUAGGCUUCCAACUCCAAAAUAUGCUCCUCUAUCAUUAGUGAAAGUUGACUGCAUAAAAAAAAUUCAAAACUCAGAAAGCUACUGCAACAAACAAUAUCAUAAAUCUAUUCUUUAACAUUUUUCAUGAAAAAGUAAACAUACAAUCUCAGAAAAAUCAGUACAUUACCUGAAGAAAGAUCUCGUCAUCCUCCUCUUGAGAUAGCUCUGAUCUACGUGAAGUACCGUCAGAAGUCUCAUCAUUCUCGAGUGCAGCCAAAAUCGUUUUCGUUGCUAUUAAGUGACAAGACAGUGGCCAUUCAGUCGCAAUAUUUAGCGACUACACCUUCAGUCGCAACAUGCAGUCGCUAAAUAGAUGUUUUCUUGUAGAUAUAUAUUGAAACAAGUUUAGUUUACAAUAAGCUAUGGAUGAUAUGAACUUUGUAGGAAUUUUCAACUUUUGGGAAUCUCAAACUUGCUGAAGCACUAGCAGACCAAGGACAAAUUGAAAGCCACUGUAGUCAUUUGUCUUGUCUCGAAUGUGCAAUCGAAUGAGUUAUGGUCUAUGAAUUUUGACAUUACUAGCUAGUUUUUUUUAAUAAAAAUUACUAGCUAGAUUCAUCUUUGGCAUGUUUAAACAUAUCUAUUAUAUAUUGUCACUUGGGUUCCAUGCCAUUUUUUUUAUAAGUAUUGAAAUGUUGUUUUUUUACCCUAAAUUUUCUAAUGAUAUUUACAAGCUGAACAAAAUAAGAAAGAAAGAAAUCACUAAUAUAAAUCUUAUACAUAGGGAUGUAUGCAACGUAGCAGGAUAUUUUCCAUGGUCUUCGAUGGAUAAUUAUGAGUUUGGUCAAGGUUACACAAUCCGUUUUGGUAUGAAUUGGGUGAAGUUCACUAACCCAUCUGACAGAAAAGAGAAAGAUUCAGCUAAAUGGUAUUCUAAGUUCAACACGAACUGAAGAUAGUGCAUAUAUGAAAAACAAUGUGAUUGGCUAAAAAAGCUACGGCUGUAACAAAAAAAAAACUAAACGGACUCUCAUGUCUCCUGUAGAAAAAUAAUAUGUAAUAUGUAAUAUGUAUUUUUUUCUUUCUUUUUUGGUACGAACCUUUAUAAUAUAUGGUUUUUAAAUAAGUUUGAUGAAAACCCUAUUAUGUCUAUCAAAUGAUGACUUCGGCCUUGACAUAAUUUUUUAUGGCACUAGUCGUUACAUACAAAUAAUUGGCGCGUAAGUUUUUAAAUAUAUGUUAUAUGUGUUACAUACAAAUAAUUGGCGCGUAAGUUUUUAAAUGUCUGUUAUAUGUGUUAGGUAUUUAAGAUUGGAAACUAAUUAGUCAAACAUUUAUAUAAAAAAAUAUCAAAAAUAUUUUGUUAGUUUAGGUAAAAAAAUUUCAAAACUACAAAUCAUUAAUUGGCACUAGUCAUUACAUACAAAUACUUGGUGCGUAAUUUUUAAACAUCAGUUAUAUGUGUUAGGUAUUUAAGAUUAGAAACUAAUUAGUCAAAUAUUUAUAAAAAUAUUAUAUUGUUUUGCUUCUUUAUGUAAAAGCUGUAAAGAAAAUAGGAAAGAGCAUAAUUAAGGAGAUUGUGAAGUUAAUAUGACAGCCGUCAAAGCAGAAGUCCUAACUAUCUUACUAAAAGUCAAAAAUUAAUAAUUAAGAGACAAUUUAAUUAAUAUGGGGAGUGCAUCAACCAAUAUUUGCCCAUCUAUAUAAACUCUUCUUCUCCGUUCUCUUCAGAUAUCUUGAGAUUAGGUUUUUGAGCUAUGAGUUUAGAGAGUGAUAUUAAAGAAAUUAAACCAGUCGUUGGACCAGUUGAUGUUGACAACUGUGUGGUUUGUUUGGAGCCUCUGGUGAACAAUGAAGAUGAGCGAACUCUUGUUAAGCUACGAUGUCGCCACCAGUUUCAUCUGGGUUACUAUUAUUCUUAUUAUUAUUUUUUAUUUUUUUUUGGUGAUAGAACCCCAAAUGAAAAUUAGAUUCAUUAUCUUGGGACAUCUAUCAAUUUCUUUCUUGACAUGUUUCCCUCUACAGAUUGUAAUGGUUCACAUUACAAUAAAUUGAAAUAAGAUGAUGGAAUGUCUAAUUUGUAGACAAAUAGAGAAAGGUGAAUAGUUUUUUGAAAAAUCUGUGGAGCCACGAAUCCAAGAAAGGGCCAUGGUUCAGCCAACCAUGCCUCGGAAUGAUAGAAUCUUAACCCUUCCAUAUUAACCUAUCCGCCGUCCAUAUGCUCCGAAUCUAAUCCGUUUCAAUGAUAUGUGAAUUGAAUAAUGUAAAAGAACACAUGGCCCUCGGAACACAAUGUCGCUUACAAGAAAUGAGAUAUGAGUAUCAUGGCAUCACUAGAGGAACAGGUGUUGGUGGUGAGAACAGUGCUAUGGACGUUGCGGCAGGGGAAGCAGCAGGAGGGGAAGAAAUCAGGGGAGAGUAGCUGGUUUAUGUGAUCGAUCAUUUAGAUUUGCUUUAUUUCGUUUUAUCGCUUCUUGUUUAUCAAACUCUCUUAUUUAUUGAGUUUUGUUUUUUAGAUAACUUGGCAUUAUAUUUCUUUGGUGCUGUUAUAAUUGUUUAUGGCUAACAAAAUUUUUGUUUUCCAUUAUACAUAUUUGUUUACCUAGCAACAAAGACAAUAGUCAAUAGGCAAUAUCUAACAUAACUCAAAUUGACAAAAAAUGAAUGGUAAAAAACUAAAAUUGUGCUCCUUUUACAAGAAUUAUCAUCCAAUGUUUUAAAAUACGUUGAUAACAAAAAUAGUUAUCAUGAAGAAAAUGUUAGAUUGACUUUAAUUUAUAUUAAAUAGAAAGAAAAUGAGGUAAUAUGGAUAACCCUAAAUUGAUCAUAAAUCAAAAUAGAAAUACCUAUAAAAAGGCAAAACAUAUAUGCAACAGUUGAAUAUUGACUCAAUUACACUCCUAGUUAGAAAAAAAAUCUAGUCAAAACUUAUGACUUAAAAUUUAUAAAUGGGGCUUUAGUGUUGGACUGAAUCACAAGUUUUGACCAAUUUUAACCAAUAUUAGGGUUUAACUUAAAUUUGAUCUUUAAUUUAAUCUAAAUUUUACGAAAACUUUAAAAUAUUUUUUGCAUGUAUCAGCCAAUUAUACAAGUUAGAAUAUUGGCUUUCUCUUUCUAGGAUUUUUUUUUCUUCUUUUGAUUUGGAUACAUUAACGGAUUAUAGUCGUUAGAUAAACAAUAAUUCAAAUAUUUGUUAUAUUUGCUUGGUAUUUAAGAUUCAAAACUAGUUUAGUAUAAAAUGUAUUUUUUUUAAAUGUGAUUAUCUUGUUUCUAUGUAACUUAAACAUACCUACAAGAAAAAUAUUAGAUAAUAUAAGAAAUACUUUUUUCAGUAAAUUAUUAGUUAGGUAUUUUAUUUUAAUUUACUUUAAGAUAUUGAGCUUACAAAAGUCGUUAGAUAUAGUUGGCGCGAACAAGAUUAAAUAUUGGCUCAAACUAUUUUAAAAAUUCAUUAUUGUUUUCUAUAUAUGUUAGAUAUUCAUUUUCAAUUAUUGGUACAGUACUCGUUAGGUAUAGUUAGCAUAAAAUACCUUAAAUAAUUUUUUAUUUAUCGAUAUGUUUGACAUACCUAUUUAAAUAUUUAAUAGAUACUAGUUAGAUACAAAUAAUUGGCGCGAAAUAUUUGAAAUAUCUGUUAUACUUGCUUGGUAUUUAAGAUUAGAAUCUACUUUAGUACAAAAGAUAUAUUUUUAAAUGUCAUCUUGUUUUGGUAGUCUUUGUAAAAAAUUAAACAUAUUAAUAAGAACAUAAUAAUAUUGAGAAUUUUGAAGGUCAAAGCAGAAGUCUUAACUAUCUUACUAAAAAAAAUUAAUUAGUAUUUAAUUGAUAUCUUGGACUAUGAGAAGAAAAUUAACAGGUGGCCAAAAAGUAUCUGCAUCAACCAGUGCUUGUCCAUCUAUAUAAAUUAGACUUUUCUUUUCAAUUCCCUUCAUAUAUUUUGAGAUUGGUUUUACUUUUACAUAAGAUUAGACAAUAGCUAUGAGUUUAGAGAAUGGUCUGAAGGAAACCAAACCCGUUGAUGCUGACAACUGUACCAUUUGUCGUGAGCCAUUAGCUAACAAUGGUGAUGUUGUUAAGCUUCCAUGUAACCAUAUGUAUCAUUUAGGUAAUAUUUACUUAAUUUUUUUUUAUGAAUGAGCAUCAAAAGAAUAAAUCAAUUUUUGCUUGAUAUGUUUAUGUUGAUUUUAGUUACAUAUCACGUGCAUCCCUUUUCUAUUUGUUGUAGACUCGUAAUAUUUUGUCUUUUCUUGUUUUUUUUUCUUUCUCCGUAUAUAUUAGUGAUGGAAUUAGUUUUCUGUCUUAUUGGGUUUUCAGACUAUACAACACUCUCUAAGACAUCUUUGGUUGUCUAUUAUAUUUAUGCCGGCCAAAGAUGCCCAACAUAUAUGUGAUUAUUUAAACAAAUUAGGAGGAGAUGAUUGCAUGAGAAAUUUAUAAUUAUUAUCAUAAUAAUAAUAAUAAUUAUUAUUAUCUAAAAUUAUAAAUCAUAGAUCCGCUAAUAUUCUUGGGUUUUUAUAUAAGAUAUGUUGUGACACUGAUCUAUCAUUUUCUUUCUUGACAUCUUUCCCUCUUCAGACUGUAUUGCUAAACAUGUUCAGCCAGCCAUGGUAAUAGAUCUAUACUUUGAUUUUUUUAAAUGUAUUUGUAUAGUAUUUGAAUGAGUACUAACAUAUUCAUUUGUUGGUUCAGCCAACGAUGGAGUGGAGUGACAGUGAGUUGUCUCUAAUUAAAACUCAUCUCAAUUUACUCUUUACCUAUCCAUCACCUAUAAGCUUUGAAUAUCCUGAUCUGAGCCCUAUGCACACUCCAUAUGCUUGGAACCCAAUGAACACUCCAAAUGCUCUGAACCCGAGGCAUCCUUCAUAUGGUCCAAACCAAAUUCAUAACAAUGGCAACACUUGGUAUGGGAGAUUCAGGAAUCACAUUCCCUUGACGUGGAUGCAGCCUCAGGUAGAAGAACAAAGCUUUAAUGCAAUGAUGUGUGAGUCUCAAGGCAGCAUUGGAGCAACCGGUGAUAGUAGCGUUGUCGGAGGUGGUGAAAGCAGCAGUAGUGAUGCGGUGGCUGAGGAGGGGCAUAGUAGCAAUUGAAAAUGAUGGUGAUCAAACUAUCAAAUUUUAUUGUUCUUUUUUUUUGUAUUUGUGUUUGCUACAUUUUUCUUUUGUUUUGAUAAUUUGGCAGUCAAGUUCUUUUGUGGGCUAUAAUAAAGUUUUAUGGUUUUAUAAAUUUUUUGUUUAUUAGUACCACUUAUUCACUUUACCUAGCAUUAACAAAGACCAUAUCUAACAUCAUUCAAAAACAAAAAAAUUAAGUGAACGGAAAUUUUAUUAAAUUGUGUUUCCUUUAUACACAACGUGAAGAAAUUAUCAUCGGAUGUUUUAAAAUACGUUGAUAGAAAAAUAGUUAUCAUGAAGGGGGAAAAAACAUAUUAGAUAUUAAGACUUAUUUUCUUAUAUAUAUGGAUUUCUUAAAAUUGACAAACGAAACUAGAAAUGCCUUUAAGAAAGAAAUUGUUUUUCUUAGAAUUGAAUAUUGACCUAAAUUGAAGUCCUAAUAAUAAGAGGGGUUUGGUUUUGGUCUGGAUCAUUAAUUUUGACCAAUUUUGGGGUUUAGUUUGAAUCUGAUUUUUAAUUUGAUCCAAAUAAUCAAUACAAUAAACUUAUUACACUUCAGAUUUGAUUAACUACUAAUAAAUCAGUAUUUAUUAAGCUCUAAUUUAAUGAAUAAAAAAUAAAAUAAAAAUAUUUAAGAAUGAUUGACAAGUGAGUACACACAAUGACACAUCAUUUAAAUUAAUAUCCAAUCAAACAUUUUGAUUAAUACAACAGUAUUUUCUUAGAUUUGAUUAACCACUAAUAAAACAGUAUUUUUCAAGCUGUAAUUUACUGGAUAAAAAAGAAAAAUCAAAAAUAUUUAAGAAUGAUUGACCAACAGGUACUCGGCAUGAAACAUCAUUAAAAUUAAUUUCCACUAAAAAAAAUUGUUUAAUUUACAUAACAUUUGAUUAUUCACUAAUAAAUCCAUAUUUUCAAGCUGUAAUUUAAUGAAUAAAAACAUUACACUCAAAAUAUUUUUGAAUAAUUGAACAUCAGGAUGAUACAUCAUUAAAAUUAAUAUGCAAUCAAAAAUUUCAUUUAAUACACAUUAGAUGUGAUUAACAAUUAAUAUUUAGUAUUAGUCAAGCUUUAAUUUAAUGAAUAUAACUAAAACCCAAAAACUUUUAUGAAUGGUUGACUAGUGGGUAUUCACUAUGACACAUCACUAAAAAUAAUAUACAAUCAGAUGUAACACAAUAAUUAAUCACUAGUAAAUCAGUAUUUUGAAUGAUUGAACAUCCGAAACUCAAUAUGAAACAUCAUUAAAAUUAAUAUUCAAUCAAAUAAAUUCAUUUAUUACAUAUCAUAUUUGUUUAACCACUCGUAAAUAUGGAUUUGUUAAGCUGUAAUUUAGUGAAUAAAAAAGAAAACUUAAAAAGCUUUAUUCAAGCGUUUGAUGUUGCAUAAGGUAGCGGGUGGCACCGGAAAAGAAUGAAAAACGCAUGGAUAAUAAAUAAAAUUUUAGUAUUAAGCUCUACUAUAUAGUAAUAAAUAAAAAUAUAGUAUAUAGAGAGAGCAAACGCUUGAAUAAAGCUUUUCCAAGUUAACCAAUUUGAGAGAUUUAGAGUGGUAGAACCAAUCAAGCUCUAACCCCAAUACACUAUUUUAAAAACAUGAGGACACUAAUCAACGUUGGCCUAGAUUCUACAUAUAUAAUUUAUCUUUACAAAAAUAUUGUAGCAAAAUAUAUUUCCCAGAUUUUUUUCUAUUUUCCUUUUAAUUAUUAUACAAUAUAAUAAAUAUAUUUUUCUGUAUAAUGUUUGUUAGAUAUAACAUUUUAAUUACUUUAAGAUGUAGUAGCUUACAAAAGUCGUUAAAUAUAAUUGGCAUGAACAAUUUUAAAUAUUGGCGUAAACUCUUUUCAAUAUUCUUUAUAUUUCCAUAUAAGUUAGUUAUUCAUUUAAAAAUUGGUGCAAUAGCCGUUAAUUAUAAUUGAAGCGAAAUAACAACUUAUUGAUACUUUUUAAAUAUUAGUUAAAAAAUUAACGAUUAAUAAUCGUUAGAUACAUAUAAUUGGCAUGUAAUAUUUGAAAUGUCUGUUAUACUUGUAACAUAUUGGAAAAUUGUUUAAGAUUGGAGACUAAUUUAAUACAAAAUACAUAUAAGAUGUCAUAUUAUUUAGGUAGUCUAAUGUAAGGACUUUAAAAUAUUGGAAAGAACAUAAGAAGAUUGUAAGUUUAUAGGAUAGUCAAAGCAGGAUUCUUAACUAUCUUACCAAAGAAGAAAAAAAACAUUUAAGACAUAACUUAGACUAUGAGAAGAAUCUAGAUGUGGUUAAAAAAGUAUUUUCUUCAACAUGUAUCUGCCCAUCUAUAUAAAUUAGACUCUUCCUCAAUGUUCUCAUCAGAUAUUGUGAGAUUUUGUUAUUGUUUAUAUAAGAUUAUAUUAUAGCUAUGAGUUCAGAGAGUAGUGUAAAGGAAAUUACCAAACAAGUCGUUGAACCAGUUGAUGUUGGUGUUUGCGUAAUUUGUCAGGAGUCAAUUGCUGACAAUGAUGAUCAACGCACAGUCGUUAAUCUUCGUUGUAACCAUGUCUUUCAUUUAGGUAAAAAAAUAAAAUAAUUUUAGUUUAUGAAAUACCAGAUUCUUAAUAUAUGUUUCACAAGUCUUGUAUUAUUUUUUUGUGUGUGUGCAAUUAGUUGUGAAUGUAUUCUUGAUAGAAUAUUAUUGUUUACAGAUCUUCUUAGAUUCACGUUUUGUUUGAUACAUCCAUUAACUCAAAUCUAUAGAUUUAUGUAGACCAAAAGUGUCAAUUAUAUAUGAGCUAGUAUUAGAUUGUUGGCUGUGAAAGUUAACUAUUUUUAUAUUAUAUACUUUUAAAAUUAUAAUUUUCCUCUAAUAAUUUUGGUUUUUCUUUUUUUUUUUGAAUAAAAUGUAAAAUUUAUUCGAAAAAAAUACUUUUGUACAACUAGUGCAACGUUUUCUUUAACGGUCUAAUUUUGUUUUUUCUUAUGUUGUGACAUCAAUUUAUCUUUACAUCUUUCCCUCUACAGAUUGCAUUGGGUCUUUUUCAAUUCAAAGAAAAAAUGGAGUGUCCUUGUUGUAGGCAAACCGAGAGAGGUAACUGGUUGCUUCCAAAUUUUGCUGAGCCUUCAUCUCCGACUCCGGAUACCGAUUUUGAUAUUUUGGGUGAAGGAGCUGAUCAUAUGAGAUCGUUACCGGCCAUGGUAAUAGAUCUAAACCUUGAUACAUUAAAAUAUCUAUUAUUAUGAUAUUAGGUUUCGAAUUUGAUAUUAUUUAAUGAGUACUUAUCAUAUUAAUUUGUUACAUUAGGUUGAGCCAACCAUGAUGUGGAUCGACGAGAUGUUGUCUUCUGUUGAAGAUUAUGUCGAAAGACUCUUUGCCAAGUCUUUUAAUUCUUUGCAUUCUCCAUAUGAACCGAACCAUGUGCCCUCUCCAUAUGAUCCGAACCAUGUGCCCUCUCCAUAUGAUGUGAACCCUAUGCAGCCUCCAUAUGCUCUGGACCAAAUCCGUGACAUUGGUAUCAUGAGGUAUGGGAUAUGGAGGAUUGGCCUUUCCUUGGAGGUUUGGUUGGAACAUCAGGUAGAUGAACACAUACCCCUUAUUGUUGAUAGCCAACAUCGCUUACAAAGAAUGAUGUAUGAGUACCAAUGCAUUACCGGAGGAAUUGGUAUUGACGGUGAAAGCAGCGGUGGGGGAGACGGCGACAGCAGCAGUGGUGGUGCAAUGGCUGAGGAAGAGGUAGAAAUGAUGGAAGAGUAGCAAAGGGAAAUGAUAAUUUAGACUUUGCUUUUUGUUUCAAUUGUUUUGCUUAUAGUUUUUUUUUUCAUGUCUCUUUUUGUUUAUCAAACUAAAAAUUUCAGUGUUUCUUUGUUUUUGCUUCAUUUGGUUUCUUGUUUUAGAUAACUUGGCAUUGAAUAUCGUUUUAUUUGACAUCUAUAUUAUUUGAGUUUCACCCAACUUACAAAGUUAAAGGAUAAAUAUAUUCUUCUAAGGUUUUAGAUGUAAAUAACAAUAAAACUUUGACAAAAAAAAUAUAUAUAUAAACAUACUUCAAAAUUUUCAAAUCACUUAACCUAGCAACAAAGACCAUAUAUAUCAAACAUAUGGUAAAUAUAAAUAUAUAUAUAUAUAUAUAUAUAUAUUGACUCAAGUAUAUAGAAAUAACCUUUAAAAGGAACAAAAUAAUUUAUUUUUUGUAUAUUGAAUAUUGACUCAAACUAAAAUCCUAAUAAAAAAAUUAGCUAAUCAAAAGUUAUGAGUCCAACUUUACGACCACGGUUUUAGUAUUGGGCAAAAUAUUAAGUUAGCCGGGAUUGACUACAUCGGGGAUUGCUACAAUGGCAUAUUGGCAUGGUCUUUAAAUCGAAGAUAUGUAACAGCUAAAACAGAGCUUGUCUACAUUAUCCCAAGGUUCCCUGCUCAUUUCGAUGAAAUGAGUAAUGUAGUUCCCUGCUCAUUCAUUGAGGUUUGGUUUUUACGAAAAUCAUGAAAUUAAAGUAGUCUUUUUAUAUCAUACACACAAACACACUUCAUCACAAAAUACUAAUAGGCUCGCUCAUAGCAUUAUAAACUAGUUUAUCAAACCAAAUUCUUUAAAAUCAUUGAAAAUCAAAUCCACAUAUUGUUUUUAAUAACAAUGGAUUUUAAGGUGGAUUUUGAAAUGUUCGAUAACACUAAUAACACUAGAUUUCAUGAGACUUUUUAAAAUACUUGUUUGAAUAACAUACGGUUUAUAAAUUCUACACAAUUUUCUUAAAAUUCCACUUUGAAUACAACAUCCUUAGACUAUAUAUGUACAGAAAAAUUUAAGGGUUGUUAAAAAGUAUUUGCCCAUCUAUAUAAAUUAGUCUCUUUAUCUCUCUUCUCUCCACAUAUUACUAUGGGAUUAGGUUAUUGUCUACAUAAGAUUAGACAAUUGCUAUGAGUUUAGCGAGUUAUGUUAAGGACCAAACCAGUUGUUGAACCAAUUGAUGUUGGUGUCAGUUUGUUAAAUUUCGAUGUACCCACAUCUUUCACUUGGGUAAAAAAGAAUUAAAUUUAGUUUAUGAAAUACUAGAUUUUUGAAAUCUGUUUCACAAGUCUUAUAUUAAUUUCUUUUUUUGUAGCAUUUAGUUAUGAAUGUAUUAUUCAUAGAAUUAUUGUUUACAGAUUCUUAGUUUCACGUUUUGUUUGCUGCAUCCAUUUACUCGAAUCUAUAUAUUAUGCCGACCAAAGUUGUCCAAUAUAUGAGAUUAUUUAGCAAAUUAGUAUGAGAUUCUUAGCUUGUGAAAGUUAUUUGUAUUUUUGUUAUGAACUUUUGAAAUUAUAAAUCAUCUUGUAAUUGUUUUGCGUUUUCUUAUGUUGUGAUACCUAUCAAUUUGUUUCUUAACAUGUUUCUCUCUACAGAUUGUAUUGGUCAUUUCAAUUCAAAGAAGAAGAUGGAAUGUCCAUGCGGCAGAAAAAUAAAGAAAGUUGAGUCAUGUGGAGUCACGUCUCCAAGGAAGGGCCAUUGUUCAGCCAACCAUACCGUGGAAUGAUAGAAUGUUAACUCAUCCAAGUCCACAUAUACGCCGUCCAUAUAUAAAAUAAUAAAUAUUUUUUUUUCUGUAAAAUAUUGGUUAUAUAUAACAUUUUAAUUACUUUAAAACAUAGUUGGUUUACAAAAUUUGUUACACAUAAUUGGCGCAAACAAUUUUAAAUAUCUGUUAUUUAUCGAUGUUUUCCAUAUAUGUUAGAUAUUCAUUUUUUAAAAUUAGUGCAAUAACCGUAAGAUAUAAUUGGUAUGAAAUAAAAAUUUAUUGAUAUUAGUUAAAGCAAUUAACAGUCAAUAGUAGUUAAAUACAUAUAAUUGGCGCGUAAUAUUUGAAAUGUCUGUUGUACUUGUAACACGUUUUAUUUGUUAGUUAUUCGUUAUAAACUGAUUUUCCAUAUAAGUUAGAUUUUUAUUUUUAAAAAUGGUUCAAUAACUGUUAUUGACGCGAAAAAGCAACUUAUUGAUACUUUCUUACACAUAAGUUAAAAACAACUAACUGUCAAUAGUUGUUAGAUACAUCUAAUUGGCGCGCAAUGUUUGAAAUGUCUGUUAUACUUGUUAGGUAUUUAAGAUUGGAAACUAAUAUAAUACCAAAUACAUAUAAAUGUCAUAUUAUUUUGGUAGUCUAUGUAGAGACUAAAAAUUAUUGGAAAGAACAUAAUAAGAUUGUGAAGUUUAAAGGACAGUCAAAGCAGAAUUCUUAAUUAUCUUACCAAAGAAGAUUAAACAUUUAAGACAUAACUUAGACUAUGAGAAGAAGAAUCUAGAGGUGGUUGAAUAUAUUUGCUUCAACAAGUAUAUAUAAAAAAGACUCUUCCUCUCUGUUCUCUUCACAAAUUGUGAGAUUAGAUUAAGAUUAGACAAUAACUAUGAGUUCAGAAAGUAAUGCUAAGGAAACCAAACCAGUCAUUGAACCAGUUGACGUUGGUGAGAUUUGUGCAGUUUGUCGGGUACCAAUUGCUGACAAUAAUAAUGAACGAAGUCUCGUUACACUUCGAUGUACCCAUUGUUUUCACUUAGGUAACAUUUCAUUAAUAUUAAUUUUUGUUUUUGUGACAUUGAUCUAUCAAAACAUUUCUUUACAUGAUUCCCUUUAUAGACUGCGUUGGUUCGGCGUUUAACGCAAAGAAUAGAAUGGAAUGUCCGCUAUGCAGACAAACUGAAAAAGGUGACUGGUUGUUUGCAAAACCUACUGAACCCGAUACGGUAAUAGAUCUAUCUAUAUAUAUAUAUAUACUUUUUCGUUUUUUAAUAGACGAUAUUUUAGCCUUUUUGAAAAAAAUUAGAUGAUUUUUUCACAAAUCUAUUCAAAAUUAAUUCAUUUUUAUUGGUUUAAAACUUUUAUAUUCUACAGAUUAUUUUUUCAUUGGUUGAAUCGUGUUUAUAUAGGUAUCAAAUGAUGUUUUUAUUUUAAAAUAAGCAAAAAUUUAAUGAUUUCUUAUUCUAAAACGGAUGAAGUAUUAUAUAUCUUCACAUUAAAUUGCCAAUAUGAUAUUAGGUUUGGAAAUUGAUAUCAUUUAAUGAAAUAUUGAUUUGUUAUAUUAGGUUGAUGAACCAACGAUGAUGUGGAUCGACAAUGUGUUGUCUUCUGCUGAAGGUUAUAUCGAGGGACUCUUUGACAAUACUGUGAGUCCUAUACACCUUCCAUAUGCUCUGAACCCUACGCACUCUUCAUAUGCUCUGAACCAAAUCCGUGACAAUGACAACACAAGGAGGAAUGACCUGUCCUUGGAGGCGAGAAGACAACGUCAGCUAGAAGAACACUUAGCCCUAAUUGUUGAAAGCGAACGUCGCUUACAGGAAAUGAUGUAUGAGUAUCAUGGCAUCACCGGAGGAAAUGCUAUUGGCGAUGAAAGCAGCAUUUGGGGAGGCAGUGAAAGCAGUGGUGGGGGAGACAGUGAAAGCAGUGGUGGGGGAGAUGGUGAAAGCAGUGGUGGUGAUGCGGUGGCUGAGGAAGAGGUUGAAAUGAUGGAAGAGUAGCAACAGGAAAUGAUAGAGACAAAAGCAGGAAGUUGUGACUCAAAGAUAUUAUGUUUUGUCUUCUUGGUUUUUUGUUUAUCAGACCACAGAUUUCAAUGUUUUUUUUUCGUUAUGCUUCAUUUGGUUUCUUGUUUUGGAUAACUUUGAAAUAAAUAUGUUUUCUGAUAUCAUAAAAUUUUGUGGCUUCUUUUUAUUUGACAUAUCUGAUUAAUUAGCUUAACCCAAGUCCUUGUAAAGUUAAAAGGAAACAAAAAAAAUUCUUUCAAGGUUUUAGAUAUAAAUAACAAUAGCAUACAAUAUUGACCAAAAAUAUAUAAAACAUACUUCAUGAAGGGGGGGGGGGGGGAAAUAGAUAGUGAGAUUUUUAUUUAUAUUAAAUGAAAAGAAAAUUAUAUAUUGAUUUCCAAAUAUUGAAAAAUCAAAAUAGAAAUUUUUAAAAGGAAAAAAAUCAUUUAUUUUUUGUAUGUUGAAUAUUGACUCAAAUUAAAGUCUUGAUAAGAAAAUUAACUAAUUAAAGUUAUGAAUAAAAUUUUAUGACCAGGAUUUUGGUAUUAGACAUGAUCACCAGUUUUAACAGAUUUUUAUCACAUGAGAUGUAACUUAUUUUUUCCCAUCUUGCUCUUGUUUAUUUUUUUUUAACUUUAAGAGGGAGCAUGUUUAAUGGUGGUACGCAUUAAAAAUGUCUAAAACAAUUAAUUAUGAUGUUUUAUACAAAAGUGAAUUUAAACCCUCCUAAAUGUAUAUCUUAAAUUUAGAUACAAGUCUAAAUUUUUAGAACAAAUAUUUUAAUAAACUUAAUUAUUAUAUAUUAAGAUCUAUUGUUAAAACACUCAUAAAAUCACUGUCGUACAUGCUCUAAGACCGAUCAUGCGCUUAUUUUUUCCCCAAAUCUUUUCUAUCGAAACUCAAGUGGGGUGGGGCUGGUAGCAUAUCCCUUUGUACUUACUGAAUGUUCUUAGCAUGUUCAAGAUGAGAAAUUGUAGAGGAGCAAAAAAAUAUUUUACAAAAAUAUCUUCACAAUUUAGUGAUUUUUAAAAUUAUUUUAGGGCCUUCUAAAAUAUUAAUCCUCAUCAUAAGGUUAAAAAUAUAUAUUAGUACAGGGCCAAAUAUUUCAAUGAGCCGGGCUUGGCUAAAUCCGGGAUACUUCUACCUCUCCGUGCUACAAGAUUGGGAUAAUAAUCUAAAAGUUCAAAACCCGAAAAUAGUUUUGGAUUGUCAACCUUAAACCUUGAGGACCACUAAUCAUAGUUUUGGCUCAUUCACUAACGUUUGGUUUUCUUACGAAAAUCAUUAACAUAAAGUAGUCUUUUUACAUCACACACACACACGUCAUGACAACAUACUAAUAGGCAUACCAAAAUCUUAAAAAGACUCCAAAGGUCGACAUAAUUAACAAAAUGGAAUCACCAAGUUAUGGAAAUAUGGCUUCCUUGGGCCACAAGCAGAAGUAGCAGCUACAACACUCAUCCCACCAUGUCCAUCGACAAUGUCCAUGUUCCAUAACCCGUCCCAUAUCGCAUUAUCUUCAUUCGUAGUAUUAGCGUCAAGUAUGUUUACCGGAGCAAGCCUCCCUUGUAACUGCUCCUCUAACAAAUUAGGGUUAUAGCCAAAGGGUUUUGAUGAAUGUGUUACUUGAUGAGGAGCAUAGAACACAUUGCCAUUGCUGCCGCAAUCGCUGCUGCUAGUGCUAUUGUUGUCUUCGAGUAAAGAGAUGAUCUUUUUCAUAUCGAGUUGGUCGAACUGAAACAACUGUUGUUCUUGUUGCAUCUCUAAUUCUCUCUGUUGCUUGAAUUGUUCCCUUUUUAGGAGACGACUCUUUGUCUUCUCCACAUUGUUAGUGGUUGGCUUUGCCUUUUUCUUGAAAUGGGUUCUCCAAUAGUUCUUGAUCUCGUUGUCUGUUCUUCCUGGUAAACUACGUGCAAUUGUUGACCACCUAGACAAAACCCUAAUAAUUAAGACAAAAGCCAUGCAUAGACAAAACGUAAAAAAGAAAAAAACAAAACUGAUGACUUUGGUUUUUUUUUGGUUUUGAGGUAAUUUUUACCUAUUUCCCCACUUAGCGUGUAGCUCAAUUAUUAUACUUUCUUCGUGAGGAGUGAUCUGACCUCUCUUGAGGUCUGGUCUAAGGUAAUUCACCCACCUUAGUCUGCAGCUUUUGCCAUUCCUCUUCAAUCCUAAUGAUCAAAACAUUAUAAAUGAAUGAAUCAAUCAAUCAAUGUCUUAAAAAUUAUCAAAAACAUUUGUUUAAAAAUAUUGAAUAUUGUGAUAUAAUUAGGGAAGACCAUAUACUAAAACAUGCAAACACUAAAGAAAAGUGGUGGUACCUGCGAGUCUAGCAACAGAGUUCCAACGACCUUCACCGUGAACGCGAACGUAUUCGAUCAAGAGACGAUCUUCUUCAGCGGUCCAUGGACCUUUUCUCCAAACUUCUUCUACCAUUCCCCAUCCACCUCCCUUCACUCCCCACCAACUCAUUCUUCUUCUUCUUCUGAUUUUGAGGAAAAUUAUAUAGUUUUUCUCUAUUAGAUCUACCAAUCUGUUAGCUUUGUCUUGAUAUGGAAGCUCUGUGCUGUUCUGCUUUGAUGUCUUAUGUUCUUAUAUAUGCACUGACUAAAGCUUUUUGGGUCCACCACUUCUCUCCAUCACUAUAUUUUGUUGUUUUCUUUUAUGUUAAGAGAAAAUGGUAAUGAGAAGAUCAAAAGAAAAUGAAAUUAUUUUUUAUUUAAACAAUAUGUUAAUGUCUUUUUAGCAUAUCGUAUCAAAUAUUGAAGAGCAUACAAUCUAUGUAUAUGUGGGUAAAAGAGAUCACAAGAUAAGAAACCUCAUAAUCCAAAACAAAAGGGUAAAAGCCUAUAUAAAUUGUAAGUUAUGUCUAUUUAAUUAUUUACUAUUGAUUAUUCUGUAGAAUUUAUAACAAAUAAUUAGAUAAAAUUUGCUGCCACAAUUUUAGAAAAAGACAACACUUGUGUCGUGUCUUAUGAAAAACAAUUUAAAUUGAAAAAGGUCUCAUUGGUUUCUAAAAAGGGUAUUAUAGAGGUUAAGGAAUGAAAAUGUUAAGGCAUUGGGCAACAAUUUCUAAAGCAUCAAAUCCAAUACUCUUUUUAUGCAAAAAAAAAGUGAGAUUCUCAUAAAGUUAGAACUUUAAUUAUAUGACACGUACACUAUCUAUGUGUCUAUAGAGGCCUAUAUUGAAUUAUUCAUAUACAUGCUCCCUUAAUUAUAAUGGUUUAAAACUAACAACAAUGGAUGGUAGUGGAGUAACACAUAACUACACCACUCAUAUAUGUCCAAGUGUUAAGGAAACUUAUACAUGCGAUCUCACACUGAAGUCUUUUUUUAUGUUUAUGUUGUUCAUUGGAUUACACGUAAGGACUUGUGGCAAUAAGUUAAGUAAUUAUUUUAAGUCCUUUUAACGUCAUCACAAGACAGGUGGCUUAUAUUAAGGUAAUUGCCAGUAGAUAUUUGCAGUAAAAUUAUCACUAACUAGGUGAGUAUAGGAAAGGCUAAGUAGGUUUAUUCUAAGAACUUAGUUUCUUAAAUAUAUUGUUACCAAAAGGUUGAUGAUGUCAUAAACUUUGUUACAACUCAAUGAAGAUUUGAGAUAUGUCUUUCACUUUUCACGAAAACAUAUAAAAUUUGGAGUUACGUGUAUUUGAUGAUAAGAAUAUCAUGAGAAAUAAAACAUAAUUAACAUGGGUGGAAAGUAUAAUAUCGUGGACUUUCACUUAAAACCAAUUGACAAUGAGUUGAGAAGCUCAUAUUUUAUAUAUACUAUAUAAAAUUUUACUCAAUUUUCAAUAUGAGAUAUUGAUAUCUCUAAUAUAUUCCUUCAAGAUGAUGGCUCUUUCCGCCAUAAAUCUCGGUAUGUUUGGGCAUGAAUCGGUGGACUAACUAUUCGGCUAACCCGAUUGUGGAUUGGAUUGAGUAUGUGUGGACUGGGCUCUGAUACCGUAUUAGAUUGUGGAUUUCCAACUUAAAACCAAUUGGCAAUAAAUGAGAAGACUCAUAUCUUAUAUAUACCUCUGAAGAUCUUAGUCAACUUAUAAUGUGAGAUAUUAUUAUUCCUAAUAGAGAGUUCUAAAAGUUCUACAUAUUCGAUUUUUCGAUCUUAUCCCAAUUUUAUCCUAUUUGCUUGAUUCUUAUUAUGUUGUAAAUUAUAUAUAAUGUAUAUCUUGCAUACAAGCUUUGAAAGUAAAACAAAUGAAUAAAAAUGGUAGUGAUUAGGUAAGAUUAAGCAUAAUUAGUGAUGCUCUCUUAUUUUAUUUGUAGUGCUAAACCAGAACAUCUUGAACUGCAAAAGUUUGACCCGAGGAUCCAUAGAGCUGAAGUGUUACUUUCAUGCCCGGUCCAAAGCAAUAUAAAUUUUUUCACUUUUAUCCACUUCUUUACUCUUGGCAAUCUCCAUUAUUUUAUUGAUUAGCUAAUAAGCGUGUUUGUUACCCACUAGCUAAAAGAUUAAGAUGUUUUGCAUAAUUUAACCAUACGUGUGGUUGGCUAGAACAUAUCCAUAGCCUUUUCUUGUAGGUUGAAAUUUGACUACAUUGGCUAAUUUCUCUGUUUAGCAACAAGAUUUAGUUAAAUAACCUAAUAGAGACAAGAAACUUUUAUGACAACAUGGUAUCAAAGCUUGGAAUUUGGACAGCUAAUCAUCUUAAUUAUAUACAUAUUGUAAUGACUAUGAUUGGUAUUUGGUAAUAACAAACCCGAACCGCAACGAAACGGUUAACUGAACCGCAACGAAACGGCUAACCAAACCGCAACGAAACGGUUAACCCAAUCUCCAUAAACGUUGCUAUAACAACUGAGAAGUAUAUAUUCCUUUUAAUUAUACAUUAGUUUAAUGCAUUACAAUGGUAUUUCAAAAUAUUAUUUUGUAAUCAUUGUACAUUUUUGUGGUUACAAGUUAUUUGGACAAACUAUGAGCUUGUAAGUUGACAAUAUGAGGCUUAAUAAUACGUACACAACUGAAGAAACAAGAUCUUGUUAUCUUUUAUAAAACUGCUUAUAGUUUUUGCUCAACGAAAUUAACAUCGAUUAUAUAUCGAAAACGAAAAAUGUAAUGAAAUGAACGUAUGCGUUUUGGCUUACAUGGAUGUUAAACAAUACAAACAAAAGUAAAAUUUAGAUGUAGUCAUUUACAUUCACAUUUGGCCUACAUAGAGAUUGUUUUUUCUAAGUGGAAGACAUAUUAUAUUAGACAAUAUAUAUAUAUAUAUAUAGACCUAACUUAGAUAGCUAUUGUUGAAUAUGUUCCACACAUUUCGUUUUCAGAACCUUUUCUCAUCACUUACAUAUGCAUGUACGCCAAAUUCAAAAAGAGACAUAAUUAUUGUAAUUUUAUAACAUUAGUUAAUUUGUUACUUCUUUCCUUCUAUAAAAAACUCUUGAUCAAGAUAAUGAUUAUCAGUAAGAAUAUUGCAACUUGGUCAAGUUAAACCCAUUGUCAUAAAAAAAUAGUUUUGGUAAAUCCAUCAUAGAUAUGGAUAACGUCGUUUAAAAGAAUAAGUUAUAUGUGACUGUGUUUGUGUUAUGUCAUGUAUGUACCAGUCAGUUAUAAGGACAUUACUAGCUAUGUUUUGUUUUUUUGAAAAUAUUAAACCAUAAAGAUAAUUAGAACCGAUUAAACCCAAACAUAACGAGUAAAACACGUGUUUAAUCACAUUUCUCUAAUCUAAAAAUUUAGGAAAACACCAAAAUGGUGAAAGCGGUCGGAAAUAAAUUGAGGAUGCGAGCAAAAUGAAAUUCUGGUUCGAAGAUAUACCCGAUCCAAGUAGGUUGUGUGCAAUGUCGGACCACAUAGUGAAAGUAUAUGGAGAAAUGAAGGAUGCAUGAUCUUUUGUGUCAUUAGAAACGUUAGGUUUUCAAAUUAAGUUAUUUACUUUAAUCAUAUGAAUUUUGUUGGAAAUGAUCUCAUCAAAACCCUUUUAGAGUUUUACCUAAUGAUCAUUAUUAUAAAAAGAACUCCAUUUGUUUUUUUAAUUAUUAAUUAUUUUCAUAGAGUAUUCAAGAACUUUUAUACCUCUUUAAGUUUUGUUUUAGACACACGAAAAAAAAUGGUUAAGAAAAUAUCGAAUAAGCAUAAUCUUGUUAAAAAUAAUCUUAAAGAAAAUUAGGUUUAAAGUUAAUAUUUAGAAUUAAAAUAUAUAGUAUGAAUGUGUAGUAGAAUCAUUAUACUCCUAAACUAGACUAAUCAUGACUUUUGCAUCACCGGCCUAUGUUAAUGUUGAUUUGAUUCAUGUCUCUAACACAAAAAAUCACAAUCUUUGGGUCCACGUAAACGUCAUGAUAAAUUCGUUCCCGACAUUUAAAAAAAAAAUACAAUCUUACCCAAACAUGUAACUAAGAAUAUUUUUCUCAACAAUCACAGAGUUCUCAGCCAAAAUCCAUACAUCCCUCAGGUCCGAUACCAAAACAUAUUAUAUGGUGCAUUCCAAACUCUAUUCGAACCAGCGAUUUUUAAACUAAAAAUAUUGAGUAAAGAAAAUGCUCAAAAUCAUUGUUUAUUUUUGUCAUCUUUGAUCAAAGUUAAUGAUACGAAACCGAAUCUGGCUGUUGAGCACUUGUGACCAAACACAUCUCUACCCUUUUGGACUUUGACUAAACAAGAAAAAGUUGUAGAGCUUUUUGGACGGAUGUGUAUGAUUAGCUGGUCAAUACUUAUGGACAUUGGGGUCGAUUCGUCAUGAUUUUCCCACACGGAUGCACAAUUUUUAGUUUAGUUUAUAAUCUCUUGUCGUCAGUAACUAAUUCACUAAUUCUACUAGAUGAGUAGAACAUUAAAAAAAAUCCUAGAUGAAUAUCACAAAACACUAUGUACAGAGUCUUACCAAAACCAAUAAAAAGCUAUGUGACAAGGAAAUUUAUACCAAAGAUGUGACAAAGAGUUUUUUUUUUCUUAGCUUGGUUAAUAAACAAGACAAAUACGAUGAUAUAGACUUAUACAAUAGCACAAGUAGAAGUGGUUGUGCCAUCAGCAAAUUUAAUGGUUGUCUUGUAACAUAUAUAUAUGAAGCAAUACGCUUUAUCCUAAACAAGCAACAUGUUAUAGGCAAUGUUCAGAUAAUUGAUUAGGUCGUAAAUGCUGAUCACUUCGACAAAAUUAUGUAAACCUUGUUUCAAUGUAUUUAUCUAAUUUGUAACUAUAGAUAUAAAAGGUUAUCAAUCUUUCUAAGCUUGUAUCAAAGUUUAAAUGUUAGGCAAUGGUUAUUGUCUGCAUGCUUACCGCCUAAAUUUUUUCUAAAACAUCAUUUAUCGAUGCGACACCAUAUUGAUUCAAAUUCGUUAUGAUGCAUGUUGAUAAAAAUGAUCGUUAACUUUUGUUUUGUAAGUCAUUAUCCUUAGCCUAGAUCUCAAGUCCUUCCCCAAAUUAGGUUUCUCAAACCUUUCUAAACAAUCCAUUGAAAACGGUGGAGUCAUAAACAGUUUUCUUUAAUUGUCUUAUAAGAUGCUGAUACUUAGUCAUGGGCAUACAGUUUUUUUUUUGGGUUGAACUGGUCGGGUUAUUCUGUUUUUUUUUUUUUAAAUAUUGUUUACCAAAUAUCUUUUAGAACUAAACAAAAAUAAAUUUCAGUUGGAUCGAUGGGGGCUAAAGGGCAAAUUUCAACAUGGACAAUUUCAUAAAUGUAUAUUUAUACUUUAACUUUGCUAUCGUGUGAAUUUCAACCUAACUAAACAUUUUUUCGAAUAAACAACAUGAACUACUAAAUUUAUGCCAAAAUCAACAUUUUCCGGGAUUAUGUUGGUCAACCACGAUGAGUCAGAUGUUAUAUAUGCAAAUUUUGCCGAGUCAUAUGCCACAUGUGCAAAUUGAAAUUGUUCAGGUUGAAAUUUGCCCCUUACCCGAUCGAUGGGUACUCAAGUUAUUCAGAUCAAUUAUAAGCCGAGAAAUUAAUUAUGAACUGAACUAAUGAAAUUUAUUCUGGUUUACUCAAUUUUAAUUCGGUUUACUGAAAUUAUUAUGGGCUUAAAACCACCAAAUAUGAAACCUAAUAUCAAAUUUUGUCAUUUUAAAAAUACUUGGGCCUAAAAAAAACAAAAAGAAAACUCCCAUUUAAGAAGAAAAGAUAGUAGAGGAGAUCGUAGAGGCGAAACGCAUAAAGAGUUGAUUUGGUUUUCUCAAUCAAUUAAUUCGUGCUAGUUUAGCUUUUGUAAACUCAUAAACUAUUUUCUACCAAACUAAUUUCAACCCAACUCAUUUAACUUAUCAACGUCAAAAAUUAAAAUCCAAAAUAUAACGUCAAAAAUUAAAAUCCAAAAUAUUAACUCGAUGAAAUUUUAUGGUUUUUCUUGGAUUGAGAUGCCACGUUAAUUUGGUCCAUUUUAGCACCCCUAAUUAGUGUAUAAUAACUUUAAAUAAUUGAUUUCAUAUAUUUAGAAGUGGAAUAUGUAUGCCAAUUGGAUCUUUUCUAAUAAUACCAGGCAGUUUAAAAUAGAAUUGGGCUUAAUUUGUCCAAGAGAAAACAAAUGUUUUUUCAUGGAUUGAGCAACAUAUACCAUUUUAUCAUAAAUUUUUUUAUGUAUAUGCAUUAUUGUUUGAUAAUAUAUGGAUAUCGCUAGUCCUCUCAUGCUCUUAGUAUUUUACUCCUUGUCCCUUACCUUACUCACACGUUACGUGUGACACGUCUAGGGCCAAAUACUCAAUAUCAAUUGGUCACUUAUUAUGUUAUUAUGUUAUAUCAAUUGGUCACUUAUUAUGGAGAAUUUCGAUAGAGAAAUCAGCAAAAAAAGACAUAAAAAACAUCCCCGUCAUGUUCUUAUUUAUCUCCUUUGCGUUGCGUAACAUUUCUUAUACGGAAACUAUGGGGAGAUAGAACCGGAGAUCCACGUUCUAGUCAAGAAGGCUAAAAUGUGAAAAUACGAAGAUAUGAUUCUAUGAUAUUUUUCGGGGACAUUUAUAAAAAUGUACUAAAUUGUAUAAAAAGUUAGACAACUACACUAUAUAUUAUUGUUAUUUGAAAACUAUACUUUUAAUAUUAAAAUGGACGAAAAUACCCUUAUAUUUAAUCACCAAUAUUAAAUAAAUUAACUAAAAAAUAAAAUUUUAAUUUUAAAUUUUAAAAUUUAAAAUUAAAAAACGUAUUAAUAUUUGAAAAAAUAGCGCUGUAACACCGUUUUCAACUUUGUUAUUUCACUUUAACACUGUUUGAGACCAUGACACCGUUUUUGGCUGUGAAUAGACAAAACACUCCCUAAGUAAACUCUUAACUAAAUAACUUUUUUUUGUAAUAUUGUUUCACCUACAAAAUCUCGUUUCAUUUUGUAUAUCUUUUAAAGCUAAUAAAAUAAAAUAACAUAAACUAAGUUCUCAUCCACCAGUUCCAAAAAAAAAAAGAGAUUGAAAAAAAAUAUCUCGAUCUCUAGUUCAUCUUCCACAAUCUACGUGUUCCGCCGUUCUUCUUUCUACUCAUCAUCAUUAAACCCAGAUGCCUCACAAUCUCCCGAUUAUUGUUUUCGCUGGUACGUUACUCAGCUUUCUCUACUUCUCUUCUUCUUCUUCUUCUUUCUGACUCGCCUUAGUUUAGUUUUCUGGUGUUUUUUUCAAGAUAUUUAAUCUUUCUAUUGUAAAAAAAACUUUGCAUCGGAUGUGUUUCCGCCUGAUUUUUGGGUAAGGAUACUUAGAUCUUGACAUUUUUUUAAAAAAGAUUCACUAUUUUUGAUGCUUUGUCGGCUUUUGUUUUUGCUUUAGCGGAGUUUUAGUUUGAGAAGAUUUUGUUUUUUGGUUUGAAGUUUGGAAUUGUACGACAUCUGUGUGGAUCGCUUUUGAUGCUUUACCGGCGUUUGUGGACAUAUAAAUCAUGGACUUCAUCUGUGUGGAUUGAUUUUGCUAUAUAUAUAUAUAUGCAUAUCAUUAAUUUCUUUCUUGAGGUUUUCUCCAUAAUUUUGUGUCUUAGACCAUUAACGAUAUAUGGUGUUUGCUUGAAUAUGAUGUGUGUAUCAGAGGCUAGGCUAGCUUUGGGAAUCUAAUCACUUGUCUCACUACACCAAGGAAACGAUACCCUGCUACAAACAUUACCACAUGGCAAGGGAUUUUUUUCCUACUUAUUUCUUUAAUUUCUGGGUUUUGAUCCUUUUCCUUUGUUGUGAUCCCUUUAUUAUGUUCAUUAGAUAACCUUGUAUGAAUGAUCAUCAUGAAACAUUAACUUUGUGGACAACAAUUUGUGGAUUUUAGCUUUAUGGAUGUCUUAUAAUGACAACAUUAAAUAUACAUUUAACUAGUAAUACAACCAUGUUAAGUUGUUGACUAUGUGAAACAGAUAGCAGUAGAAGAAGUUUGAUUUCAGAAAAAAAAAAACUAAAGUUAAAUAGGUUAGAUCAUAAUGUGAUAAGCACUGAGAGAAGGUGAACAAAAUUGUGUUUUAUGGAUGUCUUAUAAGACAAGCUACUUGAACAAUUUUUAAUUCACCAUAAAUUCACUAUACAAUAUCCAUAGAUUCUUGAAGAAAUAUUUUCAAAGGAAAAAACACUAACCAUUCACGGUAAUCAUAACACAUGAAAUCCUUACAUUAAAAACUAUGACACAAACAUUUCUAACUGCUGGCCAUUCAAGCACAUCCAUGAUCUUUAUCAUUAAUUAUCACAUAAUUUGCGUCGCAUCCACCACAUCGCAACCAUCAAACGCUGCCAAUAAAUCACAUUGCAACCAUAAUUUGCAUCGCAUCCACCACAUCGUAUCCAUUCACCGAAACGAAACUCUGCCAUUGAACUUCAAUUUAAUUUGUGGACAACGAUUCAUGGACUUAACCAUCGAACCGCUGCCACCAAAUCACAUCACAACGACAACAUUGCAGCCACCACAUCGUAUCCACAGUAUCGUAUCCACCACAUCGUAUCCAUUCACCGAAACGAAACUCUGCCAUUGAACUUUAAUUUUGUGGACAACGAUUCAUGGGCUUCAUCUCUGUGGACAAAUUUUUCCUAAACUUGGUAGUCGCAUUGGAACACAAUGAUACUGAAAAUCUCAAGAAACGAAAGAUGCGAAUAAUUUAAGUGACCAAAAAGUAGCAAAUUUUUAAAAGAGAUUAAGAUGAUAAGUCAGGAUUUAAGAUACACAACUAUUUGAUUUAGAAGAUUUGGUCGACACACAACUAUGAAAAACAUGAAAACUGAAUAUCAUCAGAGAAAUCCCGAAAAAAUUAACGAACACAAAAACAAAUAUCAAACAAAGGAACACUUAAUCGAUUCAAUGUUUUGCAUAAUACAUAAAAAGACGAAUUUAUUCACCGUAGAUGAAAAGAGCUUCUAGAUCUCCUUUCCUAAAAAUUGUUAAAACUGUAAAGAAAAAAAAAUUAUGAGUAUAAUUUCACAAUUAUUAACAAAAGAAAGUAUCAAAGAUAAUUCACAUGAAUAUGAGUAAAGUGGCUCAAUUUCAUGGUGAGUAUAAACACCCACAGAGAAGAAAAAUAACUGCCGUCGAGAGUAGGAAGAAGAAGAAGAAAUUAUUAUUUUUAAUUUUACUAGAGAGAGAGAGAAAAAGAGAAUUUGAGAUAUAAUUUAACUUGUUUUAUCUUGUUAUCUAGAGUAGUUUGUUUCCCCUAUUUUGUUAAGGGCAAAAUGGUAUUAAAAAACUUGAAAUACUACAAAAACGAUGUACAUAGCAGAAAGGGUGUUAUUUUGCACACAAUUUUAGAAAACGGUGCUAUCCUGCAACUCUCUCUAAGUUAUAUACUAACAUGCUAACAACACCAUCAACAUGUUCACUCAACAUAUCACUUCAUAAGCUAAACCACUUAUGAGUUAUACAAUCACACACUUUUCAUCAUGGUCCUCUGUCAAACACCAUAUACACAUGUUUCAGUGAUUGAAUUUCAUUCUGCAACACCUGAUUCCUUUUUGUUAAGUCGUGAGCUCCGCCGGGCACCUCUCUUCACUUCCUUUUUGCAAUUAUUUUUCCAUGUCUCAAAAUCUCUUGAACAUAAACUGAAAUCCACUAAAUCACACAUUUAGAAAUCCAAGAGCGAAAGAGAAAAAUAAUUUUUCAAUGAGUGGUGAAGAAAGGUUUAGCGUGAGCAGUUGUGAUAUCACCACAGUAGUCACGGCACACCAGAGCAUGGCUCGAUUGAUCGAGCAAACAAGCACUAAGGUUUCUCCUGCCAUGGUCUUCUUCCUCCUUCGUUUCUCAAAGAUUGUGAUCCAACAUACGAAUUAAGCUAGAGAUGGUGAACCCAAAUCUUUCUUUUUCGAAAAUAGAAAGAGAAAACAAGUUCCAAAAGAUAGAGAAAAAAUAAUAAAUAACAUAUAUUUCAACAUUUGAUCAUUCAUAUGAGGGCAAUAACGUCAAAACACAUUUCAGUCUUUUACUAAACAAAGAACAAAAGUAUAAUACUAGCAAAAAAUGGACGUAAAAGAGAAUAUCUCAUUAUUUAUUGUAUAUAAUAUUAUUGUAAUCACAACUUAACUAAUGAUAAAUAAAAUUAAUAGAAUAUUGUUGAUAACAUAACUAAAAUUUUUGAAUUUUUUUUUAUAGAAAGUUGGAAACAUCAAUUAUUUCAUAUAAAAUAUUACGCGUUAUUUAUUUAAUACAUAUUAAAAAAUAUGUGCAGGUGGAUCAUUGAUAAAUGCUUGUGGUAUGUUUGGUUUGGUUCAAUGCACCAAACAAACACACCAUCAUUCAAAGCCGGAAUAGCUUAAAGAGAAAAUCUCGAUUAUCAAGAAAGCUCUUUUUUCACAUCUCCACAGAGAGAUCUUCGAUUUUUGCAUUUCAAAUACAAAAAAAGGUACGAAAUUUUUGAUUCAUCUUUUGGAGUUUAAUCAUAUUCAUACUUUAUGUUAAGAACAUUAAAUUUUGUAGGAACCAUUUGAGAGUAAAAAAGCUUUCUUUGAUUCCGCCAUGGAUUUAGCUUGAACCCAUAUCUUCGAUUGUGGCUGACAACUCGUUAAACCCAUUUCGAAUCUCGUUUUUGAAGAAAUGGGUUCGUCUUCUCACAUUCCACAUCUUGAUCCGUCUUUGAAUCCGUCACCUACACUGAUCCCAAAGCUCGAACCCAUCACUGAAUCAACCCAAGACUUGAGCUUUAAGCUCCCAAACUCAAACCCACAAGCCCAGAUUUCGUCACCAGUCUCCAAUUUCAACGAACUCACGAACUUGUUCUCUGAUUACAACAACGUCGCCGAGACUUUUAGGUCUGCGUUUGCUCAACGGCUUAAACGUCACGAUGAUGUCACGGUUCUUGAUUCUUUAUCCGGCGCGAUUGUACCGGUUGAGGAGAAUCCGGAGCCGGAGCCGGAGCCGGUUCCGGUGUCGGUUGUUGUUACUCGUAGGCCAAAGCCUCAGCAACGUUCGUCUGAGCUUGUGAGGAUCACUGAUGUUGGACCUGAAGGUGAGAGACAGUUUCGUGAACAAGUGAGGCAGACGAGGAUGGUUUAUGAUUCUCUUAGGAUUUAUUUGAUGAUGGAAGAAGUUAAACGUCAAGGGCUUGGUGGGAGAAAAGGUAGACCUGAUAGUAAAGCUGCUUCAAUUAUGAAAGAUUGUUUCUUGUGGCUGAAUCGUGAUAAACGAAUCGUGGGUUCGAUUCCUGGUGUUCAAGUUGGGGAUAUAUUCUUCUUUAGGCUUGAGUUGUGUGUUAUGGGUUUACAUGGGCAGACACAAGCUGGGAUUGAUUAUCUUACAGGCAGUCUUAGCUCUAAUGGAGAGCCAAUUGCUACUAGUGUGAUUGUUUCUGGUGGGUAUGAGGAUGAUGAUGAUCAUGGAGAUGUGAUUAUGUAUACAGGACAUGGUGGACAGGAUAAGCUUGGAAGGCAAGCUGAACAUCAGAAGUUGGAAGGUGGGAAUCUUGCGAUGGAACGGAGUAUGUAUUAUGGGAUUGAAGUUAGGGUGAUUAGAGGGUUGAAGUAUGAGAACGCGGUUUCUAGCAAAGUUUAUGUUUAUGAUGGGUUGUUUAGGAUUGUUGAUUCUUGGUUCGAUAUUGGGAAGUCUGGUUUCGGUGUGUUUAAAUUUAGGCUGGAGAGGAUUGAAGGUCAGGCUGAGAUGGGUAGCUCGAUAUUGAAGCUUGCUAGUACUCUUAAAACCAACCCGUUGUCUGUUAGGCCGAGAGGUUACAUCAGUUUCGAUAUCUCGAAUAGGAAAGAGAAUGUUCCUGUCUAUUUGUAUAACGACAUUGACAAUGAUCAAGAACCUUUGUAUUAUGAGUACCUUGCUAAAGCUUCGUUUCCCCCUGGCUUAUUUAUUCAACGGAGUAGUGCAAGUGGGUGUGACUGUAUCCAAGGCUGUGGCAGUGGCUGCCUUUGUGAAGCCAAGAAUUCAGGUGAGUUUGCUUAUGAUUAUCAUGGGAAGUUAAUAAGAUUGAAACCAUUGAUACAUGAAUGUGGACCAGCAUGUCAGUGCCCUCCAACUUGUCGAAACCGUGUGACUCAAAAGGGUUUGAAGAAUAGGCUCGAAGUGUUUAGGUCACUAGAAACAGGUUGGGGAGUUCGGUCUUUGGAUAUAUUACAUGCUGGUGCUUUUAUUUGUGAAUAUGCUGGGGUUGCUUUGACUAGGGAACAAGCCAACAUUCUGACAAUGAACGGUGAUACAAUGGUAUAUCCUGCUCGGUUUUCCUCUGCAAGAUGGGAAGCUUGGGGAGAUUUGUCUCAGGUCCUUGCUGAUUACGAGCGACCUUCUUACCCUCAGAUUCCUCCUGUUGAUUUCGCAAUGGAUGUAUCCAAGAUGAGGAAUGUUGCUUGUUACAUAAGCCACAGUACUGAUCCAAAUGUCAUUGUCCAGUUAGUACUCCAUGAUCACAACAGUCUGAUGUUCCCCAGAGUCAUGCUCUUCGCUGCAGAGAAUAUCCCUCCCAUGACUGAGCUUAGCCUUGAUUAUGGAGUAGCUGAUGAUUGGACUGCCAAGCUUGCCAUUUGUAAUUGAAAAUCUCCUAUAUAAAUGGUGGUUCGUAGCCAUAUUUUUCCAGGUAAAACUAAGUUAAUAAGUCUUACCAAAUAAGCCUUUAGUGUCAUUCUAGUUAAACUUUGAGAAAAGCACCAGCAAGAAACAUUGCAAAUGGGUCUUCUAUAGGUUUGCUUUCUCCAAUAGUCGUAUAGAUUGUAUGGAUUGUGAGAGAAAUGCUGCAACUUGGUGUAUUCUAAUGUCUGCUGCAUUGAGAAAGCCAUUGAUGUGCUCUUGCUGUUAGCCAUAUCAUGUUCAUUUGAACUCGAGAUAUACAUCGGUUUCUUGUGGAUUGCGAUCAGGCUGGUAUUGAAUCAUUUGUUUGGUUUUUGCUAGUUGGUGACAUGAAGAUUGUUGAAGGAAAAGGAAUUGUGCAGAAGCUAAAGUGUUUAUAAGAGUCCCCACUCCUCCCAUUUUGACUUUUUGUGGUAUCUUUGCACAUUUGGGAGUCUUGAGGUUUUGUUUUUGGGGGGUAAUAGUGUACAAAACUCAAAAAGAUGUUUGUUUUUGUCUGUACUAGCUUGUUCUUGUGUUUGUCUCCUACUUAACAAAAUGUUAACCACCUAUCUCUGUCUCUCUAAAUUAGUUAACUAUUAAAUGAAACCAUCACAUAUAAUUUGAUUCCACAAAGUUGCAACUUGAACAAAUUCCCAAAUAAGAAGAAGAAGAUCUUGUAAGGAUUCAUGUACCGUUUAAUUCUUAGAUUGCUUUACCUUACCAGUAAAUUUAGUGGUGGUCAUGUAUUAGUAGUGGCUUAAUGCAGCUGCAGAACCAAGUGAACCAUCAAUGAUCAAUCAAACCAAAGUAAUAAAUAUUGAGAGAUGGACAAUGGAGAUAGAGCGAGAUCAAUGGUUGAUAUGACAAGCCAUCAAUGAUCAAUCAUAAACCAAACUAAUAAAUAUUGAGAGAUGAAGAAUGGAGAUCGAGUGGAUUAAUGGUCGAUAUGAAAAGCUGAAAAUAUGGAAAAAAUUAAAUAUGAUUCUAUAAGAAUCUGAAAGAUUUACAAUAUUUUUUUUUUAAAUCAAAUUAGAGUUUUUCUGGCGGUAUAUUGUGGAGCAAAGUAGCAAACUUUUUUUCUUUUUAAUUUUAAAUUCAAUUUUUUGUAUAAUGUUGGAAUUUGUUUAAAUAUUAAUAAAAUUACAUAAUAUUAACCAUUAUUAAAUCAGUUUGAUUCGACACUUGUGUUAUUGAAAAAUAGUAUAACGAAGUUUAACCCGUUUUGAACUUUACAUUGCAUAUGUUUGUUAAAACUUUCUAUAGAGUUAAUAUAUUUAUAACACUUAAUCUUUUCAUAGAGUUUAAAUAUUUAUAAUAUUUUUUUUUAAUGUAAUUAAGCUUUUGCUAUGAAUAAAGAUCGAGCGACAUUAAUGGUCGAUAUGACAAGACGAAUAUAUGGAAAUAAGAAGAUAUGAUUCUCUAAUGAACUAGAAGAUUUACAAUAUUAUUAUCAAAUAUUGUGUAGUCAUUAUAAAAAUAUAUCUUAGAUAUUUGAGUUUAUCUAUUUUAGGAUAUCCUUUUAGUAUAUACCUAAGGUAAUCCUAACUACUAUUAUUAUGAGGCUAAUAAUAAAAAUCUUCCUAAAUAUUUGUGUGUUCUAACUCUCAUUAAUUUAUCACGACACCAGAGUCAGUUUAUGCGUUUAAAGACAAAAAUCAAGCGAAUUAUAAGAUUUGCGUUCAAGAACAGAAAAUAUUCUAAAUUAAUUCAAAUUGUAUAUUAUGUAUUCCCUCUGUUUCAUUAUAAGUGAUGUUUUAGCCAAUUUUUUUUGUUUCAGUAUAAUUGAUGUAUUUAAUAUUUUUUGACCAAUUAUAUUUUACAUCAUAUUUUCUUAUUGGUUGAAUUCAUAUUAAUUAAAAAUGUUUUUAUGGAAAAUGGAUAAGUUAUAUGUUUUAUUAUUUAGUGUGUCAAAACCUUAAACAUCACUUAUAAUGAAACAAAGGGAGUAUGAAAUAUAGAAGAUUAUGUCUUCUCAUUCACUCUAUAAAAGGAUUUGCUUUUCAAAUCAUAUAGUUUUCGACCUAGCACCAUCUUUAAUUUCAUAAGCUUGUCUGAAACAAAAGUUAUUUAUUUCAAUCAAUCACUAAAUCACACCGAAUUGUAUUAAUUUAUAAACGAGCUAAAAAUAAGAACCGGUCCAAAAUAAAUGUUCAUGAAAAUUUUCCAAGUCAUAUCAAAAGUUUUCAAGGAUCUAAAAUCAAAUACACCAUCCAUAUCGGUAUAUUGAUCUUCAAAUGAAAUUCAGUUCGAGAUAAACCAACUCGAAAAGUUUGAAUAUAAGUUUUACCAAACUCAAAAGUGAAUAAAGUACAUCUUAUCAUUCGGUAGUUUCAUCUACUUUUAUAAUCUUUUCCACAUUGAAUAAAAACGAAAUAAUAAAGCUUUCUCAUGCAUGUAAACAUGUAUCAGGACCAUUCAUGUGUAUUUCUUUGCUCACUAAAAAAAAAGAUGCAUUCAUAAACUCAAGGUUCAGCAAUAUCAGUAUCUUUUUUUUGUUUUUAAUCAAAAUAAUAGUUUCUUCAUCUUCUUUUAAACUAUCAAAAUUUAUAAGAAAACAUGAGAAAGUUUAUUAAAGACACAAACAAAACGAAAAAGACAUUGCAAGAAUUGGUUCUUUGCUGUUGUGUCGGAAGUUUGGUAACGCCUAAAAAUAACCAAAACAAAAAGUGAAGUAUUCCUCAAAAAUAGCAACACUAACCACCACCACCACAAUUAUCUCUUUUUUUCUCUAAACGUAGAACACACAACGGUUAAGUGGCUUUAAUAUUUCCAAUUUUUGUUCUUUUAGAGAUAAACAUGAACACAAACCGUGACAACAAAUCUUGAGUUUAUGAUACCCUAGUUUCUCCGAUCAAAAGUAACACAAGAAACAUCAAGAACGGUAAUGAUCAUAUAAACAAAAGGAAAGAAGAAAGAAAAGAAAAAGAAACAAAGAUUAAGGUAAAGGGCAUGGAAGACGGUCGUAGAGGAUCAUCUUCAACACCACAAUCACGUAAGAUCAUGGUGAUCGCUGAUCCAACACGUGAAUCAGCAGCUGCUCUUCAAUACGCUCUUUCACACGCCGUGCUCGAACAAGACGAGCUUAUCCUUGUACAUGUUGAAAGCACUGGUGGUGGUUCUUGGAAAAAUGCUUUCUCAAGUUUUCUUAGGUUGCCAAGUUCCAUCUCUUCGUCUAGCAGCGGCUCCUCCACCCCCGCAGCAUCUAUAGGUACCGCGACAGGCUCUAAUGCCGCGGCUGUAAGCGCUUUGGCCUCAGAGAUUGGUCAAGGAGAUGGGAACUUUCUUGAACAGAUGAAACGGAUAUGUGAAAUUGCUCAGCCUAAGGUACGUGUACACACCGAGUGUAUAGGUAUAGAUGGGAUUAAAGCUACAGGUAUACUUCUUCAUGGAGACAAGCUUGGUGUUGAUGUUAUCAUCAUAGGCCAACGCAGGACAAUCUCAUCUUCCCUUCUAGGGUAUGUUUUCUCUCUCUCCAUAUAUCCCUUUAAUGAAUGGGUGUUGGUUAUACAUUAAACCCAAAUUUACGAUAUUUUAUUAAUUUAUAGAGUUAGUAAUUUUAUAGAAUAUAUAUAAAAUGACCCGAAAAUUAAUUUGGAAUGGAAGAAAUGAUUAUAUUGAUUUAUCGAUAUAUAAAAUGACCCGAUCAAAAACAAAUUUGGAAUUGAAGAAAUAUAUAGGUUUUUAUCGAGUUAUUAAUUUGUCGAGUAUUGAUUUAUAAAGGUUAUACGGUAUAUAUACUAGUGGUGGUGUCUUUUACAUUUUCGAUAUGAGAUCUUAACAAUGAGGGUGUGGUUCGGGUUUGGACAGAACUAGGCGGCCAGGAGGGUCACUAAGAGGAUCAAAAGGAGUAGACACAGCGGAGUACUUAAUCGAGAACAGUAAAUGCACUUGUGUUGGGGUACAAAAGAAAGGUCAAAAUGGAGGAUAUGUUCUAAACACCAAGACGCAUAAGAACUUCUGGCUCUUGGCAUGAUCAUCUAUAUUACAUAGUCAGUUUUAUUGCUUUCAAGUAGCUGUGACAACAAACAAAAGGAAGAAGUAAGAAGACAAAAAUAAAGGUUACCUAGCUCCCAUGCACUCAUGGUUUCUUUAAGUGUUUUUAUUUUCCUCUCAUCUCUCUCAAUUCUAGCAAUGAAUGAAGUGUUCUUUUAUAUGUUUGUGCUUUUUUCCCCACCUUGAAAAAUGUGGGUAAACGCUGUAAAUAUCUAACACAUGACAGCCUGAUGAUAUCAAUGGGAAGUAAAGAAUGUAUAAGAGAAUCUAUAGAGAUGCCUCAAAUUUGAAAGAAGAAAAAAAAACAAAAUGAGAGGAGAAAAAUAUGUUCAUCAUUGUUGUAAAGAGCUAUGGAAGCUUUUGAUUAGUCUCAUGACUCUCAUCUAGUACCAAGAACUAUAGGAUCUGUAAUGUAUACAAAGAUAAUACAAUAAGAAUCUUAUUGAUGUUGCUUGUAUAAACAACUCUAUUCAGUUCCUCACUUAGAGAGGAAAAAAGCAAAAUAAAAAACUAUAAGAAAAUUAAAAUCUCCGUUGCCGGGACUCGAACCCGGGUCUCUCGGGUGAGAGCCGAGUAUCCUGACCAGCUAGACUACAACGGAUUAUUGUACAUUAGCGUUUUAUAAAAUUAUAUCUCUAUGUUUAAAAUAUUGUAACAUGCAUACAUUGCCCAGAUUUUUUUUUUUUUUUUUUAAGUAGUUUUGGCUGUUUAUUACAAAAGAACAUUUAUAAUCGAAAUUUACCCGGACGAAGUAAAACAAAAAUUGACUAGUGCAUUUUAUCAAAUGUUGUCUAAGAUGGUCUAACCACACUUCGAAACCCUCCUUUCAAUUUAAAGGCUUUGUUUCGUAUACAUAAAUGAACAUUGUUGAAAAACAUCAUCAACUAGUUAAGGGAAGUAUGUUUGAGGAUUCUCCUCUUGCAAUAUCGCGGGGGAGGUUGUGAGCUCUCGUCUCUUGCAAUAUCGCGGAGGAGAUUAUGAGCUCUCGCCUUCUCGCGAUAUCGCGAAGAAAUUAAACGAAAAGCGUGUUUUGUUUCUGAUAUGUUGAGAUUGUAUUUUUGUAAAAUGAUAUAAAUAUAUAAAAUGUAUGUAUUUUGAGAUAGAAAGUGAAUUUUUACAUAAUUGUGCAAAAGGUAGCGAGAUGUCCGACAGCAAUUGCAGUUUCCAUUGCGUUUAACGCGUCCCACCAACCCAUCUGCAUGCAACCACACAUUUCCAUAUUCAAGAAACUAAAAUGACCAAAAAAAAAAAAAAAAUAGACAUAAUCAAGAAAGGCUUACCCUUCGAGGCUGUUGUUCCUCUAGGUUUUCAUCAUCAGGCUCUUGCUGCAACGGUUGUUGGAGGGCUAGGUUCUCAUCGCAAGGAGGCUGCUGCACAAUUUAGAGUAUAAUAGGGUAUAAGACUAUGCUAGUACAUUAUGACUUCUAAACAUUAUAUAUAUGUAAAAAGUAAUCUCGUGUUCAUUUUCAGUUUUCACUAUGUGAAUUCUAAGGAAAUGUAUGUUACAAAAAUGAUACACAAAAUUGCCAACCAAAUAUUUUGACAAAUUGCUGACCAUUAUUAUUAAAAAUAUUUUAAUAAUUUCUAACUAAUUUCUUACUAGCUUUUAUUCAUCGGGAACUAGUAGAAAAAACUCGACGAAUUUCCGACCAUUUUUCCUCGAAAAUAAGUAUGUUUUCUUGUAGUAUGCUAAAAUGUUAUGUCUUUUUGAGCUUAGGGGGGGUUAUUGGGAGGAUGAUUUUAAAAGAGUUUAUGGAUUUCUAAAGUUUAGAGAUUUUAAGAUUCUCAAAAAAUUUUGUGGAUUCUAAAAUAAUGUUUACCCAGAUUUCUAGAGUUUAAUAGAUUCUUCAUAUGAUAGAUUCUAUAAAUACUUGUGAGAAUUGCAGUAUUUUGAAAGUUGUUUUUAAUGACUAAAUAUGUAAGGAAUCAUUAAACCAAUAACACUAGAAUUUGAUAGAAUUGGAAAAUCAAUAAAUACUCAACUUUUUGAAUAACAAAGGAUUUUAAAUAGAAUUACAAAAUACAUACACCAAUAACAAGAGAUUUUAUUAGGAAUCUAAGAAUCUAUAAACCAAUAACAAUGGAAUCUUAAACUCUAAAAAUCUUUAAAAAUCAUUCUCCCAAUAACUCCCCCUUAGUCUUUGUUUAUCGAAAUGUUUGAACUGUAUGUACACGUGUCAACACACAACCUAAAUUAUAGAAUUAACCAUUUGGUAUAAAGUUUCGAACAUAUCUAAACUAGUUAGGCAAUUCAGCGUCAUCAGUUCGUAUAAUCACGUCAUCAUUAUAUGCCAAUGCUAUCAAUUAAAGUGCGACACAUUUUCAAACGUCACGAUAUAUAGCUAGCUAUAUCUGGCCGCUAUUACAAACGCCUAAAUAGAUUACGAAUGUUAAAAAAAAGAACAACGUACCAGAUGAUGAGGGCUACGUUUAGACCGUAACAAGACAUAACUAUCCAAGAAGAGACAAUGCGAAUGAGUAUAGUUCCGUCGCAUAUAACACUUGACGCAGAGAUCAAAGGUUUCGCCACCUGGCGUGUCGAAGCAAGUUACACAUGUGAAGUGUAGACCACUGAGAGACUGAAGGCACGUCCGGCAGCUAAUGGUCCGGGUCCGAGCCACGUAGUAAAGCGUCAAGACCUCCCAAAAGUCAAGCUGGCCGUCUCUAUUACGGUCGAGCUCCCUGAACAUCUCAGGACAGACCCAAGCUAAACCCGCCGUUCGAUGCAAGAAGUCAAUGUACUCUUGAAAGCUGACACGACCAUCUCCAUCAUUGUCCAUUGCCCGGAAAAAAUGCCAUGCCAGAUCUUGUUGUUCCCUGGAGCCGUUGUUGUAAUAAGCAAUUGCGGCUUCGUGGAGCUCAUCCAUUAUUGAUCUUAUAGUUACAAAAGGGAAUUUUCAAGAUAAGUGGCUUAGACAAAAGAAAGAUGAAGAUGAAGAUACGACUUUGAAUGUAUAUACUCUAAAGCAUGUGGUGGAGGUCUCUAUGUACAAGCUAGAUGGAGCUGGAGACCCUACUUGAACGAGCCAAGAAUGAAAAUGUACAAGGAGCUCAGACCUCAGAAGCCAAGUUUAAUUAGGACCACAAGUCUUGUUUUGUUUGUCGCUAAGAUAGAAGAAAGAGACAAGAAAUAGAUGACUUUUGGGUGUCAAAGUCUAGUUGUAGUGUUGUUUAAUGCGUAAAUCACAACUUGUUCCAUGUGAUAUUCAAACCAGUAUAUAGCCUUCGUAAUAUUUGGUUUCUUACAGAUAUUGAUGUGACAAUUAGAAUGUGGAUAAUGUCACAAGACAAAUAAGAAUAUUUUCUUUAUAGACGAGUCUGGACUUAGGCUAGAACAAGAUGAUUACAGGUUGACUCGUAGAUCGCUUACAAAUUAAGGUGGCCGAGACCGAACUAAAUAACCGUUAAUAAAUCGUCAAUAUGAACUAUUCAACGAGCUAUUAGACUAACAAGUGUUUAUAUUAUUUUUUUGCCUUUUUAGGAAUGAUUCCUCUCUCACUUCAAGAUGUCGUACACUAGAAAAUUAGAAAUGACUGAAAUGAUCUUCCUUCAUCUACCUUUUCGGGCGCUAAGUGAAUAUUAGAAAAAUUUAUGGUAUUUGCGAUUAGCUUCGUAUUAUAUUAGGAAAAAUUAUGGUAUAUUUUUUUUAAUAUUAUUCGCUAAAAAAUGAGUGUUACCAUUUUUCACUUGUCCAACACAUGUCCAAAAUAUGAUAAUCUGGAUACGAGCCGAAAAUAUACAAAUACACAAAUUAUAUAAUGAUUUUCAUAUACAUAUAUAGUUAUAUAUUCUUAGUCAAAUCUAAAAAUACACGAGUUGAAACGAAUAUCUGACUUAAAAAAAAACUGAUAUUGUGAUUUGUUUUAUCGUUUAGGAAUACUGUAUAUUCCUAUUUGUUUUGCUUCAAAAAUUUCGGAAAGUAGAAAUUUUCAAAUUUAAUCAAAACGAAUAGUGAAUCGAAUCGAAUUUAACAAAUAUUUUGCCCACGCCUUAGGUGUAAGGUUGGCUCAAGGGGUUUUCUAUAAAGGCCUUUAAGAGUUGAUCCUAGACCGGGCCUAUUAAGGGCUAAAAUCCAUCCCUAACAAGAAUGAAUCACCACUAUGCUGCACUAGAAAAGCGAUUAACUAAAAGUGUCUUCCUAGGUCUAGCUUUCCCCUUGAUCUCUAGUGUCACGGUUGAGUUCAUUACUAAUCUAGUGGUGCAUACCAUGAGUAGUAUUUGAAAUAGCUAUUUUAACUAAAACUUAACGCUUUGCCACACUCUUUUCAAACUCAAUGACACAUUUUUAUAACUCCUAUGAGAAAAUGUGCAUAUAUGAAUGGUCCAGUCCUUUAGUGAAAUUUUUACAAAAACUCGCAUGAUCCCAAAGAAACCCAAAUCACAGUUUCGUCUCCUAAGACUUAAAUUCUCGAAGUGCUUAUGAAUGGUCUAGUCCUUUUCCCACAACUGCUGGCACAAAAACAUGUAACCUUUGCCCAAAUAUGGCAAAAACCACCUAACCUUAAAGGUAGCCAAUAAUACAUUAUAUAAGUAAAAAAUGCUUCAACGUACUUUUCUUCAAUAUUUCAUCAAAUAAUAUAUAUGCAAGGUUAUGUUAUUAGAGUCGGACUAUAUAUAUUCAAGAAGUCUAUGAUGAAAUUUGUAACCAAAAUCCACAUUAUCCAAAUUCACUUAAUGCUUCCUUGGUCGUUUACGGAAACAUGAAUUAGUACAUUUUGAGUUAAAAGUUAAUACAACGAAAACCAUGUAAAUAAUAUAGUUCAAGCCAAUAACUUAAAACGAUAGAGAAUUAUCAUGCAUGUGCUGCACAAUAAGUUAAAGUGCUAAUAAAUCUUAUCUCUAUGUGUAUUUUAUAUGUCUCUGACAAGUUUAUAUAAGUUUAUUAUAACAAUUUUUUCACGUGGUAAACAAGUAUGGAUCUACCAACCUAAAGACUCUAUCCUCAUUUGUCUAAAACAAAUCAAUUAAAUACAUUUGCUAUCCCACUAACUAACAAAGCUCCAUGUGAAUCAUAUAUAACCUUACUUUAGUCUCUCAAAGUUUUGUCAGAUGAAGUUGUCAAUACACAACAUUUGAUAGGUUCAAGAUCGAUCAUUGGCUUAUUGCACCGAUUCUAUAAGUUAUAGUGAUGUAAAAAAUGCAAAUAUGAUUGAAAAGGAAGAACCAAAUAUAUAUAUUAAGAUUCAAUUCCUAGCAUUUCAACUCUCCAAAUAAUUAAUUCAUUGCAAUCCUUGAAAAUGUUUUAAAAGUUAUUAUUAUCUUAUUUUUUGAAUUCUCUUCUUUUUAAAAUCUUUUAUUCAAUACCCCUUCCUAAAACUUAAAAUUUACAGUGGCUGAGUACAGAUUUUGUAAUAUGUAUUUUUUUUUCUAACUUUAUGAGGCUUUUUAUAAACAAACCAAGCUUGAAGUGAAAUAUCCGUAUAAAUUAAUCGGAUAUUUUUUUUACUAAUUUUAAUCCUUCUUUAUUAUCAAUAGGGUAAUUAACUAGAUAUUUUGUCAAAAAGGUACUAGGGAUAUAAGAUUUCAAUUUCUUAUGAUUUCCCAAAUCACUGUAUCAAUUUUAUUAAAAUCAUAUAUGUUUUAAUCAAAUAAUUUUCUAACUAAUAUUUACUAAUAUUCUUUUUUGUAAGAAAAUGUUAAAUUACAUAUAUAUAUAUACAUAUAUUUAAAAUAACUAUUAUACAACAAUGGUUGAAGUAGAAAUGUAAAACAAAAUUUUUGAGUGAUUCAGUCGCUCAAAACAAACCAAAUAUGUAACCUUAUUUAUAACAUCAAUCUCCCAUCAGUUAAAUCGCCGAAAAUUAGUUUCGGAUCUAUCCAUCAAAUUUUUUAUUAUUAUUCAUAAAUUAUAAUUAAAACCGCAGUAAAGUCAUCUUUCACCUAGUAGAAGUAUUUCCCUAAUCAUUUUUCAAGUAUUUGCUAGCUAUAUUUAAAAGUAUUUCAACUAUAAUAAACUCGAACCAAAAAAAAAUAUAAUUAAUAAGUAAUAACCAAAAAAAAAUGUAAGAACAAAAAAUUUUGUAUCAAAUCGAUUAACGAAUAUUUUCAUUCCUAUGAAACCAAAUUUUUAAAAAAAAAAAGAUAAAUUAGUAACACAAAUUAUCACAUUUUUUCUGGUGAAUCCACAAAUUAUCACAUGAUUGAGCUAUUAAUUAAUUUCACCAACUUAAAUGACACAAUCUAUUUGUUUUUAAUUGUCACCAACCUAUAGACUCUCUGUCUCACUCAGUCAACGCAACGUUUGUGUCAUAUUGUCUACUUAUUAUACAAAGACUCAAACUUUAUUUAUAACCUUAGGUUUUUCUCAACACACGCCUCAAAUCUCUUUUCACAGCUCACCCCUCACACACACACAAACACCUUGAAGAAGACGAAGAGAGCAACCAUGGCUUCUUCUGUUAUCUCUUCUUCUCCUUUCGUCUGCAAAUCAUCAUCCUCCUUAAAGGUAUUUUCAGUUUCUCUAUUUCGAUUUUCACAUUUUCGAGUUUUUCAAUUUUCUUAUAGCUUUUGUGUUUUUUUUGAUCGGAGCAGAAGGAUUUGGGGUUUUCUUCGUUUACGAAAUCGUCUCAGAUUUCGAUUCAUCGAUGUCAGAAGAAAUCGAUUUCUCGGAAGAUUGUUUCUGUUAUGGCUCCUCAAAAGGAUCGGUCUCCUGGUACCACAGGAUCGGUCUGUAUCUUCUUCUUCUUAUUCUUAGUGUUCGUCUCUCUUGUGGCAUUUGUUUGAUUUCUUUUAUUUUGCGAUUUGUUUUAGGUGAAAACUGGGAUGACAAUGACGGAGAAGAUUCUAGCUAGGGCGGCUGAGAAGUCGUUAGUUGUUCCUGGUGAUAAUAUUUGGGUUAAUGUUGAUGUUCUUAUGACUCAUGAUGUUUGUGGACCUGGUGCUUUUGGUAUCUUUAAGAGAGAGUUUGGUGAAAAGGCUAAGGUACUAUGCCUCUUCUUCUUAUUCUCUUCUUAUGUUACCUAGAGCUUGCUAGGUCUUUGGUAUGAGUGGUAGUAGUAGAAUUCAAGAAUUGAUGUUGUUGUUGCUGGUUUUACUUUGGAAAAGUGGGAAGAUUUUGAUUGGUUUAGGGAUUUGAUAGGUUGGAAUCUUGUUAUGAUUAUGUUGUCUUGCUUCUUCUUGUUCUCUUCUUAUGUUACCUUGUUUCAAGGUUUUGAUCUAAAUGGACCUGGAAGUUUUGUUUUUUACGAUCUGGUGGUAGUAGUAGUAGAAUUCAAGAAAUUGAUGCGAUUGAUGCUGGUUUUACUAUGGAAAGUUGGAAGAUUUUUGAUAGGUUUAUGGAUUUGAUAGGUUGGAAUCUUGUUAUGAUUAUGUUAUCUUGCUUCUUCUUCUUCUUCUUCUCUUCUUAUGUUAGCUUGUUUCAAGGUUUUGAUCAAAAUGGACCUGGAAGUUUCGUUUUUCACGAUCUGGUGGUAGUAGUAGAAUUCAAGAAUUGAUGUGGUUGCUGCUGGUUUAGUAUGGAAAGUGAGAAAGGUUUAGGGAUUAGUGAAUGGUGAUCACAGAUUAUUGGAUUUUUUUUUCCUCUUCUGGUUUAGGGAUUUGAUAGGUUGGAAUCUGGCUAUGUUUAUAUUAUGUUGCUUUAUUGUAUUGUUUUUCAGCUAGUUGAGAAGCUUUUGUAGAUUUUGUAUUGACGCUUGAUCACUUUUGUGCCGUUUCUUAUCGUGAUUACUUGCAUGUUUAAGGUUUGGGACCCAGAGAAGAUUGUUGUUAUUCCAGACCAUUACAUAUUCACUACUGAUAAGCGUGCAAACCGGAAUGUAGACAUUAUGCGGGAACAUUGCAAGGAACAGAACAUCAAGUAUUUCUAUGAUAUCACCGACCUUGGAAAUUUUAAGGUAUGAUGGUUUCAAACUUCUUAUGGUGUUUCUCGAUAUUGUGACUUGCGUGAUUAUGAUUGAUUCUGCGUUCUUUCAUUCGGAUGAAACUUAAGUGUUUUUUCCCCUCAUAUGUAGGCUAAUCCUGACUACAAAGGUGUUUGCCAUGUCGCUCUUGCACAAGAAGGUCAUUGCAGGCCAGGAGAGGUACCAAUCUCUUUCACUGGAUAUGAUUUGCUUUCUUCUAAUUGAAUCUGGCGUUUUUUUUUUAUUCUGCUCUAAAUAAUGUGUUUCCCUGUUAUAGGUUUUGGUAGGAACAGAUUCACACACUUGUACUGCUGGAGCAUUUGGUCAAUUUGCUACAGGGAUUGGAAACACUGAUGCAGGCUUUGUGUUAGGCACUGGAAAAAUCCUCCUUAAGGUUUGUGUAAUAGCUGAUUUUCAUGAUCAUUUAUGCUAUAUCUCUAUCCAGUGUGUUAAACGGAAAUAAGUGGUUCCCGUUUCAACUUGAAACUUGAUAGAACAAUUUCCCCCUCUCCAGUUUUGUAUAAUCAAACUGUAGUUUCUGAAGCUCAUAUCCCGACUUUGCAGGUUCCACCAACAAUGAGGUUUAUCUUGGAUGGGGAAAUGCCCAGUUUUUUGCAAGCAAAGGAUCUGAUUUUGCAAGUGAGUGUGAUAUGUCUUAUAGCUUUUAUUUCCUUUUCCAGCUUCCAAAAUCUUUACAGAUCAGUAUUGACAGUAGUGUGAAGUACAUUCCCCCUUUUUAUGUGAUCUAGUUAUGUCUUCACCAAUUUGCAUAUUUAUGUGAAGUCAAUUUUUUUCAUUCUAAAUUGAUAGUUUAUUUAUUUAACGUUUCCUCUUUGGAUUCUAUCUGGCGUCCUUCAUCUGGAUCUUGAACUUACUUCCAACUUUGUAGAUUAUUGGUGAAAUUUCUGUUGCCGGUGCAACUUACAAGACGAUGGAGUUCAGUGGUACAACUAUCGAAAGUCUGAGUGUAAGAUAUUACUUUGUGUCCUACAUCAUGGAUCCCUUCUCCUACGGGAAUAAAAAAGUAUUUGGCAUAUGAUGUUUUCGGUGAUUUUAUAAAUCUUUGCUUCAAUCAUUUUUGGCUGCUAGAUGGAAGAAAGAAUGACAUUGUGCAACAUGGUUGUGGAAGCUGGGGGAAAGAAUGGUGUCAUCCCACCUGAUGCGACGACAUUUGAUUAUGUUGAGGUAUGUAUGAUAUGCUUUCUUGUGAAACAUCUGAUUUUCCAAGUGAAAUGGUGUUGUGAUAUGCGUAUUCCUUAUCUUAUAUUAAAUGCAGAAUAGGACAUCUGUACCGUUUGAGCCAGUAUACAGUGAUGGAAAUGCAAGGUACAAUCACAAGGCACCCUAAGUUUUAUAAUCAGUGAGCGGAGUAAAUACAUGUUUCUGGUAUCUAUAUUUUAAAUUUUAGUGCAACUGGAUAAACCGUAGUACCCUGGAUAUGUAACAUGUGUUUCGAACCUACUCUUCAGAUGAGUAAUGCAACUUGAUAGAAUGGUCUAGCAUGUUAAACUAUAAUUUUUUCUGUUUUGGUUUUUCGGUUGUGGAUUAUGAAAGUACCCAGUUCACUAGCGUUACAGAUUGCUCUUUGCAGUUAUAUCUCUGUUUCUUAACAUUUCUUUUUGUAACCAUAGUUUUUUUGUUGUUUUCUUCCACAGCUUUGUCGCAGAUUAUAGAAUUGAUGUGUCAAAGCUGGAGCCUGUGGUAGCUAAGGUGGGUUUACUAUAGUUACGAAUUGAAAACAUUGAGUUCUUUCCACCUCUUCAUGCCAAUUGAACACCAAUUUAAAAUAUUGUCAUUGUCAUUCUUGUUUUCAGCCUCAUUCUCCUGACAACCGGGCUCUAGCAAGAGAAUGCAAAGAUGUGAAAAUUGACAGAGUAUACAUUGGUUCUUGUACUGGUGGGAAAACAGAGGAUUUUAUGGCUGCAGCUAAACUUUUCCACGCUGCAGUAAGUUCCACUUCUUGUCUGUCUCUUAUUAGACAUGUGCACCACUGUUUUACUCGAUUUUGGGCAAGAAAUUAUGAUUUCAAUCUUGCAAUAUACGAAGUUAUCUUGUAAUUUGAUUUAUCUGCGACAAAGCUGAAAUCUUUGUUUAAAGCUCUUUCAUCUUCUCUAUUACCUCGAUUUCCGUUUUAGCUCAAUCAAAAUUAAUGAUUGUGUAUUUGCAGGGAAGGAAGGUCAAAGUCCCAACUUUCCUUGUCCCAGCUACUCAAAAGGUUAGCACUACAUUUCGACAUUGCUACUAUCUCAAGUAGUUUAUGCACUGAAUACAAAUGAUCAAAAUGCAUUGUAUCUUAUCUUUAUGCUCAUCUCUUCAGGUUUGGAUGGAUGUGUAUGCUCUCCCUGUGCCUGGGACAGGUGGAAAGACAUGUGCACAGAUCUUUGAAGAAGCUGGCUGUGACACACCAACCAGUCCUAGCUGUGGUGCCUGCCUUGGUGGCCCAGCAGACACAUACGCUCGCUUAAAUGAACCACAAGUACGCACCCGUCAUUUACCCCUACUCAUCCAAUUAAAUAUGUAGUGAGACUAACUGUUUUAAAAAUGGCGUAUUACAGGUGUGUGUCUCAACCACGAACAGGAACUUCCCCGGUCGGAUGGGACACAAAGAAGGGCAGAUUUACUUAGCUUCUCCAUUCACAGCUGCAGCCUCGGCCUUAACCGGCCAUGUAGCUGACCCAAGGGAGUUCUUGCAGUAGGGCUAAUGUAAUGUCUUUGUGUGAAAAUGCAUUGUCGACACUACUACAUCGUUUAAAUGAUGAGCACUGUGAACUAUAUGUAUGUAUUUUUCUUUAUUUUCCUGUUUGGACUUAGUUUCAAGCACUUUGUUAAACUUUUUUAUGUUAUGAGUUUGAAUAAUAAAAGAGAGAAAGAGAGAGUUAGAUAAGUCAGUAAUCAUAUUCUAAUUCUAAUAUCUUCAUGACUCUAUCAGUGAUUUGAUUGCAUGAAGUAAAUAAUGAUGACUUAGUGAAAACUUGGCUAAUAUCUAAUUUUGUGGUUUUGUAAUUGCUGGACAUUUGUCAUUUACAAAUUCCAAUAACAUUUGUUUGAGUUCCAAAAUAUAUUAAACUCCAAUAAUUGAAGCUAUAAUUAAGUCAAAUAUAUUCUCUAGGGACUUAAAAUAUAGAAGUUGAACAUUUGUGUUAGAGAAAGGGAAUAUAUUUUGGUAAAAGCCAUUGAAUUAGCAAAGUCUGGCAUGAGAGAAAUGUACAAGUUUAACCCUUAAUAAUGCCAAUAAAUUAAUUAUUAACCCUCAAUAAUACUUAUUUUAAUAUUGAUAAAUUAGAGAGGCAAACAUUGGCUGAGGGGCCAUUGACUUGGGAAAAAAGAGCCCGUGGAGAUAAUAUUAUAAAAUUUGAUUUGUCCUCCGUAAAUUAAGUGAAACCAAAAAUAUCGAAUCAAAACCAAACCAAGAAAAAUCGAAUAGAAAUAGAAGAAAAAGUAAUAAUUUUCGAAAUAGUAAAAAAUGAAAAAAAAUAAAAACCGAAAAAAAUUUGAAAUCGAGAAAAUCGGCACAAAACCAAAAUAUUUCGGAUAUCUAAGAUACAAUUAAAUGAUAAAAAAUUGCUUGAAAUAUUCGACCAAAUGAGGACAUAUAUCUAUCUUAUAACUUAUAAAUUUGCAUAAUGAUAUAUCUUUUUCUUAGUUUUUUUUCCGAAUAAUUAAGAGGUUUUGGGAUUCUCUCAGACCCGAAAUCAAAACAUGUAAUAUGGUUUCGUGCCAAACUCUGCUCGAACCGACGACCUCUAAACAUUUGUCAGAAAUAUUUAACUAUUAGUACUUGGUAUCUCUCUUAAUUUACUUCUGACCUUAUUUUUUGUGGUACUUCUAACAUUAGUUUUCGCUCAUCAUCUUGUCUGGUAAUACUAAACUAAGCUUCCCAGUUCCCACUAAAACUUCUACAUCAGAAAUAAGAUUCGGAAAAUGCUGUUCGUACGUAUUAUUAUUAUCAAUCCCUAUGGAAUAUUCCGGCUCUGUCUUUCUCUCUAGCUAAGUACAUCUCUCGAAACAUUUUUGUAUAUAAAAAAAAAAAUGUAGAUUUAAAUUAAUUAUUCUAAAAGUUUAUAACAGCCGGCAAUACGUGUUUGAGACGCGUCCCUACCACACUAAACAACUCUUAUUUCCACAGACCUGGUUGAGUUCUUUUUUGGUGUUUUGUUUAAUCAAACACAAGUCAGCUAUAUACUCUUAAGCCUAUAAAAACCACUUGAGAUAGAACAGUUUGGAACACAUCUAACUAGCCUCAUCUCUGUCUCAAUUUUCAUACAACACCAAAACCCAAAAAAAAACAAAAACAAUGGAUGGUGAGGAGGAACAUCAAAUAGAUGGUGAAGUUAAUAACCAUCAUGAGAACAAGUUGAAUGAGAAAAAGGUAUGUUUUUGUUCCUCUCUUUAGAUCAUCUCUCGUCUCUCAUCUAGCUAGUACAUAUAUAUAUCAUACUAUAUAUAUCGUAAAUCAAAUUAUUUGUUUAUUAAGUUUCUAAAUAAGAAAUGUGAAAUUCCGUCGCAUUUCCAAUACGAAAAAACGUGUGAGUUUCUAUCAUGUUUCCAGAAAAACAAAUUUUAGGAAUCAUGUUUUCUUCAAUUUUUUGUGUUUCCAAAAGUUUAUGUUUUUGAAACGUUUCGGAAACGAGAAAUGGAUAUCGACAAAAGUUUUCAUGCAACCUAGCUAGCUAACUAUUUCUAAUAGUUAAUAUAUGUGCAUAUAUAAGUAAGGGGAAAAUAUACAUAUUUUUAACUUAGUUAUAUAUAUAUUAUAUAAUUUUAAUUCAUACAAUCAUCUGAUUUUUAAAACUUCUGUUUGGAAAAAAUCAGAAGCACGAUUUGGAACAACUUAGAUUUCAUGAUGAUAAAAAGAUAAAAUGAAUAGUUAUAUAGGAACAUGUUUACCAAAAGCUCAAUUAUGAAUCAACAAAAAUGACCAUUGUGAAUUAUAUAAAUCAAUCAAAAUCAUAUUUCUCAACACCUUUUGGCUAUUUCAUCAGAGAUCAUGGGGAAAACUAUUUCGUCCCGAUUCAUUCAGCAUCGAAGCCGGGAAAACUCCAACGAAUACGAAUCAUACCUCAUUGGUAUGUUUUUCAAAUCCUUCCUAUUCAAUAAACAAGACGAUCAUCAUCAUCAUAACUUUGUAUAUAUGUAACCUUUUUAAAAAUAUGAAAUAGUUGAGUUGGAGAACGACUUUGAGUUUGGCAUUUCAAAGCCUAGGAGUGGUCUAUGGAGACAUUGGGACAUCACCUUUGUAUGUGUACGCAAGUACUUUCACUGAAGGCAUCCAAGACAAAGAUGAUGUUAUUGGUGUUCUCUCACUUAUCAUAUAUACUCUUACUCUCGUUGCACUCCUCAAAUACGUCUUCAUUGUUCUUCAGGCUAACGACAACGGUGAAGGUAAUAAAUUUACGUAAAAUUUGCAUUAAAAAUACAAAAUGAAAUUUAAAGCAAAUUGAUAAACAAACACUUAUAAUAAAUUUAUUUGUGAAAUACAUAAAGUAAAAUCAUAAACCAACAUUUGUUUUAAGACAUAAAAGAGUUUCUUCAUUGGAUCACGUACCCAAGAUUGGGAAAAGAUAUGUACGUACGUCAAUAUAUAUAUAAAGUACGAAUCAAAUUUAAGGUUUAGAAAUGAAACAUAUGACUUUACUUAUUCUCUAAAUAACAAAUUAUUUUUUUCGUUUUAGUUUUUAUACUCUCCUAGUAAAUAUUGUAGACUUAUUAAACAAGCAAGAUCAUAUAUAAUCAUAUGUAAUUGUUUAACAAAUAUGCAAUAGUACAAAACUAAACACGAUGGUCGCGCUUUUGUUGGAUCCACAAUUAUAGAAUUCAAUUAAGAGAUCUAUAAACGAGUUAAUCAAGAAUCAAAACUUCUAAUUAGAUGUAUAACGAGUUAAUCAAGAAUCAAGACUUCUAAUUAGUUUUUUUUUUGUUCUUUUAAUAGUAUAAGCUAAAUAAUAAACACAAUUAUUACUAUUGACUUUUUAGUAUGUGACGCACGUCCUAGAGAUGAACAUUUUAAUUUGUACGAUGUCGCAUGUUGACCAAAUUUAUAUAAUACUCCUAGUGUCAAGUGUGAUGCGAUUUGCGCGAUCCAAUAUACGUAAACUAAUCUUAGAUUCCUAAGUUCGUACGAGAACGAUUACGAUGUUGACUUUUUAUUAACUUUUUAUUUUGAUAUUUGUUAUUACUAGAUUGCAAUUGCAUCAUAUAGAUUUUUGAGUUUUCAGGUGAAAAUGUCAAAGACUAGAGUUUUUUUGUUUUGUUUAUAGAGUUUUAGUGUCUAAAUUAUGACUUUGCAUGAUUUUUGAUUAAUCUUUUUUCUAAGUAGAAUUGAUUAUCAAAUAUUUGUAGAACGAUUUGUAUUAUGUAAUAAUUUAUUUUUCUUAUUGGUUGACUGUUUUGGCUUUAAAUUUCUAUGCAAAAAAAAAAAACUUGAUUUGAUAUUUUGUGAAUUUUUAAGUUUUCAUUCUCUUUUAAUAUAAGUUUAUUUUUAACUAAUAAAUUACGUUUAUAUAUAACAUUUAUCAAAUUUAUGGGAUUUCUUGAUAUUGCGUGCGUUUAGGUGUAUAUUUUAAUAAAAUAGAUUAGUGUCAUAACAAUUGACAUAGUUUCUACCAAAUCAUAUGAAUGCAAUAUAUAUAUAUAUUUUGAUGGUGAAAUAAAGAUCUCAGUGAAGUUAGGUACUACAUAAUAUUUGAAUAUCACAGCUGAAAUAAUAAUGACGUUUUUAUAUGUAAAACAUUUGGAUGCAGGAGGAACAUUUGCAUUGUACUCAUUGAUAUGUCGUUAUGCAAAAAUGGGACUAAUUCCAAACCAAGAACCAGAAGAUAGAGACCUCUCAAACUAUACACUUGAACUCCCAACCAAACAAUUAAGAAGAGCCCAUAUGAUCAAAGAGAAGCUCGAGAACUCUAAAUUUAUGAAGAUCAUACUUUUCCUUGUUACUAUUAUGGGCACUUCCAUGGUCAUUGGUGAUGGAAUCCUUACUCCUUCCAUCUCAGGUUAGAUCCAAAAUCAUUAUCCCUUAAUCUUUUUCCAAUAUGACCUUGUCAAACAAUAUCAAGAAUCAUAUUAAUGUAUUAGAUAACAUUAUAACUAACAAUUUCAAUGUUUAUUCUUUUUUGUAAUUUUUGAAUCAGUACUAUCAGCUGUGAGUGGAAUCAAAUCGCUCGGCCAAAGUAAUUCUCACCGCAUUCAAAUUCUCGUUUAUCAAUUAACAUGAUAUAUACAACAAUGUACUAAUGUAUACAUAAAUGUGAUUUAAUGUGAUACACUUUGAUGAUAAAAUGUUCAGACACGGUGGUGGGCGUUUCGGUCGCAAUCUUGAUACUUCUAUUCGCAUUUCAACGGUUUGGAACCGAUAAAGUUGGAUUCUCAUUCGCCCCGAUCAUCCUCGUGUGGUUCACAUUACUGACGGGAAUCGGUCUCUUUAAUCUUUUCAAGCAUGACAUUACCGUCUUAAAGGCACUUAACCCACUCUAUAUCAUUCAGUACUUUAGAAGAACUGGUAAAAAGGGUUGGAUCUCACUUGGAGGUGUAUUCCUUUGCAUUACUGGUGAGAGAGACUCAAUAAUAUGUAUUUUUUUGUUUUGUUUUUAUUACAAUCCUAAAGUAAAAUAUUUCCUUCCUAAUGAUUGAAAUGUAAUUUGUGAAAUUAGGGACUGAGGCCAUGUUUGCUGAUCUAGGUCAUUUCAGCGUUCGAGCCGUACAGGUGAUUUUUACAUUCCCUAAAGAAGUUUUUGACAAGAUAAAAAUAAUAAUAUCAAACCUCAGAAAAUAUAUACACUUACUAACCCAAUGUUUUGAAAUUUUAAUGUCGCAGAUUAGUUUCUCAUGUGUCACAUAUCCAGCGCUACUAACAAUAUAUUGUGGCCAAGCUGCGUACCUCACUAAACAUACUUCUAACGUUUCAAAUACUUUCUACGACUCAAUCCCAGGUUGUUACUUUAUAACUCAUUUCGGAAAAAUAAAGUAUGAUUAUCAAAAAUUGUUCUUAAACAUUGUCUAUAGCGUUUAAAAUAUAUGUGAAAAGUUUAUAAAGUUUUAUAUCUAACAAUAUAGUAUUGGAUGCAACUAUCAGAUCCUAUAUACUGGCCAACAUUUGUGGUGGCUGUAGCAGCAUCGAUCAUCGCGAGCCAAGCUAUGAUAUCGGGGGCAUUCUCGGUUAUCUCGCAGUCUCUUCGUAUGGGUUGUUUCCCUCGGGUGCAGGUGAUUCAUACCUCGGCUAAGUACGAGGGACAAAUCUACAUCCCCGAGAUCAACUACGUGCUUAUGCUUGCAUGUAUUGCUGUUACACUCGCCUUCAAAACAACUGAGAAGAUUGGUCAUGCUUAUGGGAUAGCUGUUGUAACCGUUAUGGUCAUCACGACAUUUAUGGUGACUCUUAUAAUGCUGGUUAUAUGGAAGACCAACAUAGUAUGGAUCGUUAUGUUCUUGGUUGUGUUUGGUUCUAUAGAGAUGUUGUAUCUAUCUUCGGUCAUGUACAAGUUUACGAGUGGUGGGUAUUUACCGCUUGCGAUAACCAUUGUUUUGAUGGCAAUGAUGGCGAUUUGGCAAUAUGUUCAUGUCCUCAAGUACCGGUAUGAGCUAAGGGAGAAGAUUUCUGGUGAAACCGCUAUACAAAUGGCUACAAAUCCUGAUGUGAACCGUGUUCCAGGGAUUGGUCUGUUUUACACGGAGCUUGUUCAUGGUAUUACUCCAUUGUUCUCCCACUAUAUCUCAAAUCUUUCCUCGGUCCACUCGGUUUUCGUCUUGAUAUCGAUCAAAUCACUUCCUAUAAACCGUGUGGCAUCAUCAGAACGAUUCUUUUUCCGUUAUGUCGGACCAAAAGAUUCAGGAAUGUUUCGGUGUGUUGUGAGGUAUGGUUACAAGGAAGACAUUGAAGAGCCUGAUGAGUUCGAGCGUCAGUUUGUUCAUUACUUAAAGGAGUUUAUCCAUCAUGAGUACUUCAUGUCCGGAGGAGGAGAAGAGGACGAGGAGGGAAAGGAAGAGGAAGCAAAUGUUGAGAGUACACUUGUUCCCUUGUCUAGCUCCGUGCCUUCAUCGGGGAGGAUAGGUUCCGCGCAUUCAUCUUCGUCGAACAAGAUUAGGUCGGCAAGAUUGGUCCAGGUGCAAUCCGCGGAGGAUCAGACAGAGUUAGUGGACAAAGCAAGAGAGAAAGGAAUGGUUUAUCUAAUGGGAGAGACAGAGAUUACGGCCGAGAAAAGUUCUUCAUUGUUUAAGAAGUUUAUAGUGAACCAUGCUUACAAUUUCUUGAAGAAGAAUUGUCGGGAAGGAGACAAAGCACUUGCCAUACCAAGGUCCAAGCUACUCAAGGUUGGUAUGACUUAUGAGUUAUAAGAUUCUUGAAUUCGUCUUUUGUUUGUGUAGUGUGUUCUCGUGUUUGUGUCAUGUGUGUCUUUUACACGUAUAGUCUAAGUUGUUGUAACCCAAAUAAAAGUGUCUCUCAUGUAUUUACUUUAAUUUGUACUGAUGUGUAAUUAAUAUUACCUUUUGUUUUGUGAUUGUUAAUGUGUAUUUUAUCAUCUUUCCCUACAAACAAAAUUUCAUUUUCUUAAACCAAAUUGAUUUUUGUUUUUCUAAUCUUUAAUUUUUUAGAAAACCAUGCCUUUUGAUUUCUUUGUAUAAUACCAUAAGAUAAAGAGAGGAUUCUAAACAUAUAUGCACGAAACACGUGUCAUGUUUAUUGAUUAGAUAUUAAUACGUGUCAUAAUUUUAACUUUUAUAUUUCUUAAUAGAAUAGAAAAUUAAUUAAUAAAUACAUAUUUAAUUACAUAUAUAGUUUAUAUGCUUAUUUAUUAGUUUUUUUUAAAGAGAGUUUUUCUUGUUGUUAACAAAAAUGAUAAAUCACGGGUAAGCAAGGGCAUUGUGAUUGGUAUUGUACAGUAAGAUAUGUGAGACCAGAACUCAUGAAUCAUGAUGUAUACUUUUGUUUAGAGUUUGAUGGGUACCUCUUCUAAGUUUUAACUCUCAGGACACAAUUACAUGAAAGGGUAAGACUUGGAGACAUAUCGGUAUGAGAAAUUGCUUGAACAUAUAAAGUAAGUCAUAGAAACAUAGGAAAAGUUAAGACAAGAGAAACGUGUUGCUCGAUACAAGAAGAAGAAGCUGAAUGAGUCGGAUUUGAAGAUGAAAGAGCGUAAGACUUCUUGGUUAUAUUAGAAGGAAUAUAUACGUACCUCUAGCAAGAGUUAUAAAACAUAUUAAGUUGUUUGCAUUCGAUAGUAUUCACAGAUUGUUACAUUCACUGGAGUUAAGGGAUCCUUGUUGAUGGAGGAGAAGGAUCUAUGGAUAGGACUAAGAUUAUAUCAAAUCAAAAUAAAUAUACUCCCUCCGUUUCAUAAAGAUGAUGUUUUGGGAUUUUUUUUUGUUUCAUAAAGAUUGAUGUUCUACCGAUUUUAAUUAAUUAAUAUUAAUAUUUUGUUAAGUUCAAGAAAUAAUCAUUGAUAAAUUUUGAAUUUCUGAAUUGUUAUUGGCUUUUAAUUAAAUAAAUUUUUUUGGUGAGAGAAAAUAAAAUUUUUUAAAAUAAUCAUGAUUGUUUCUUAAUUUAGGGAAAAUCUUCUAAGCAUCGAUCUUUUAGAAACAGAGGGAGUAUUUUAAAAUAAAUACAACUAUAACUAAUUUAACUUCUCGAGAAAUUGUCACCUGAUAUAUCCCCUAGUUCAAUUAUUAAAAUGCCACACAGACACAUUUAAAAAUAAAAUACCAUCUUGCGAGUAUCGCGCACAUUUAAACAAUCAAUUUAGAGAAAAUAAGGCAUUAAUUCGAGUUCAUAAGUUGAUAAUGAUAACCCUCAAAGUUUUUAUAAAUAAAGAAAAAAAGAAAACCAACUUCUUAAGCCACAAGCGACCCACGAUUAAACUUGACAACAGCUGCAAAACAACCAGAAAGAGUCAACAUCUAGUCCAAGUAAUAGACUCACUUGGACUUGGACAAGAGAACCCAAAGUCAACAUCACUGUCGGCAUAGGGAAUAACUGCUAGUUGAAACAUCAGGGAGUCUUAAGACUUCAAUCCUCUCAGAAAGUCUCUUCUCGAUAGCGUCGUCAUGCCUGAGGUUGAAGCAACUGCUCAAAUCAAGGUGCUCCAAGUGUGGACAGCCGUCAAGAAUGGCGUUCAAGCCCAUGUUAUCAAAUUCAUUCCAAAGAAGCUGGAGGUGGCGUAGCUCAGGCAUGGUUUCUCCAAUUGCUAUGGCGAUAUUAUUCAGCUUUAAAUAAAAAAAACUGAACCAUCCCAGGGCCGAGGUUUAGCUUCAAUGUCUUCAGAUUUGGACAAGACUGGCCUACAACCCUCACAGAAUCUCCUGAAAAUGCGCAGUAUGAAAUAUCAAGCUCUUCAAGGAAUGGUAGUUUCACAACUGCUUUCGCAACUCCCUUAUCUGUUAUUUGACUACACAGUACAAGUCUAAGACUUCUCAGAUUACUUGACAAGUAAUCGUGUGUAAAAGUUUAAAACAUAACCUAAUACAUAUAAAGUUAAAGAUCUGAAAGUUAUCUACUCCAAAACGAAAUAAAAGCUAAACAAGAACAGUCUCAAACCUAAAAAAUAAACACAUUCAUCAUAAAACCAAUACAAGAAUAAAGACAGAGACAAAUCUAGCUAAAUAUUAGAAAGAGAUAGAACCUAUCAGCGAUGUAAUUGAGGAGGUCAUCAGUACCAAAGUGCCAAAUAUCAAUCUCAAGCAAACCACCUUGGCUACGAUCAACUGCAUUACGACACAUGCUCUCGAGAUCAUACUUCUUUAAAAAUUCUUCGAGGGUUUGCAUGUCAAUCUUUCGCCACAUCGAAGGGUCUUUACAAACGCAAUACCACGGUUUGCAAACCUUCUGAGCGUUUUCUAGUAUAUCAAUCACGCUAAGACGAGUCAGUAUCAAAGACGUUAACUCCGAAGGAAGCUUCGCCCAGUUUCUUGGCUCUUCAUCUUUCAUCAAAGAAGGAACGGAAGAUGAAGAAGCCAUUUUAGAGAAAGCAAAAUGUCAAAGUGAAGAAAUGAAUAUAUAUUAUAUAAUGUCAACGUGAAUAGUAUAGAAGAAAUGGCUGCUUGUCUUAUUACAUGAGAGAUUUACAGUAUAUAUAGGUUGUACAAUCAAGGGUUUCAGUGAUCUACAAAGACUCUAUUAACCUUUCCAUAUCUAUCUCUUACAUGCCCCCUCAAGAUGGAUGGACUUUAGUUACUCCAAUCUUGGAAAUGACUUCUUGGAACCGAGGACGUGGCAAAGCUUUGGUUAACGGGUCAGCAAGCUGGUCAUGAGUGGAAAUGUGGCUGACACACAACGUUCCAGCUUGGACAUUGUCUCUUAUGAAAUGAUAAUCCAAGGCAAGAUGCUUCAUCUGAGAAUGGAAGACAGGAUUGGCAGCAAGAUGUGUGGCGCCAAUGUUAUCACAGUAAAUAACUGGUACCUGUGGGAUAACAAUGCCAAGUUCAGUAAGAAGAGAGGAGAUCCACCGGAUCUCAGAGGCAGCAUUUGCCACAUCGCGAUACUCAGCUUCGGUUGACGAGCGAGCAACCCCCUUCUGUUUCUUUGAGGACCAUGAAAUAGGACUACCACCAAGAUAUAUCACAUAUGCAUUGGUGGAGAGAUAAUUGUCUGGAUCCCCAGCCCAGUCUGCAUCAGAAUAGCCAUCAAGAGUAAAACCAUGUAGAGACAGAGGAGUAUUCGCACGAAGAAGGAUACCAUGAGACUGUGUUCCAACUAGGUAACGUAAGACGCGUUUAACCGCACACCAAUGAACAUCCGUAGGUUGGUGCAUGAACUGCGAGAGGCGGUUGACGGCAAAUGCAAUAUCCGGGCGAGUGAAGGACAAGUAUUGUAAACCACCAAGAACCGUCCGAUACUCACGCGGAUCAUCUAAUUUGCUCCCACUGGUUAACGAAAGCUUCGGACUUGUUGCCAUUGGUGUUGAAACAGGUUUUGCACCAAGCAUCCUUGUUUUGGUGAGUAAAUCGACAAUGUACUUCUUUUGCAGGAGAUGCAACCAUGUGGAUGUCCGUGUUGCCUCCACACCAAGAAAAUACUUCAACUCGCCGAGCUUCUUUAAAGAAAACCGAGAAGCAAUGGAAUUAAUGAUUUGAUCAAUCAAAUGCGGACUACUACCCGUGAUCACCAUAUCAUCUACAUAGACGAGUAUAUAUGAUUUGAUGUCCUUGUUGCCUAAUGAAUAAGGAUGUGUCAGCAACUGAAUUAACAAAUCCAAGAGAAAGUAGGUGAGUCCGCAACUCCUGAUACCAAGCACGAGGCGCCUGUUUGAGACCAUACAGGGCCUUUUUGAGACGACACACAUAGUUAGGACGUUCCGGAUCAACAAAACCAGGGGGUUGAGUAUCAUAAACCUCCUCGUGAAGUCGACCUUGAAGAAACGCAUUGUUCACAUCGAUUUGUUCGAUCCGCCAAGCAUUAUUGACAGCAACUUGAAGGACAGAGCGCACCGUAGUGGAUUUUAUCACCGGGCUGAACGUAUCUGUGAAAUCACGUCCAUGCUGUUGAUGGAAACCACGGGCAACAAGUCGUGCUUUGUACCUGUCAAGAGAACCAUCAGCUUUAUACUUGAGGGUAAAAAUCCAUUUGCACCCAACAAUAUUAUGAGCACGAGAAGGAGGAACCAGUUCGUGUGUGCCAUUUCAAAUCUGGGCAUUGAUCUCAUCGCUCAUUGCAGCACGCCACUUUGGAUCCUUUAACGCCUCAGUCACGGUCUUUGGAAUUGUUGGUUUAGGGAGACUUGUAAAAUGAGCAAAUUUCGGAUUGGGUUUAACGAUGUUGUUCUUGGCUCGGGUUCGCAUAGGAUGAUUAUUUGGUGGUGGUGGAGGACUGGGCGAAGGUUCAUGGGAUGCGUUUGGGGAAGGAAACGAGGAAGAAGAAGUAGUGUUUGGGUUUGAUGGAAUUGGGCUAAUAGGAGGAGUUGAAAGAUUUGGGCCUGAAUGUGUUGAUGGGCUAUGAGGAGGUGACGAAUUUGGGCCUAAAUUUGGUAAUGGGCUUGGAUUAUGUUCUGUUUGUGUUGUCGAGGACUGAGUAUUGUUGUGAGAGGACGAGGUUCGUGGUGACUGAGGUGAAGAAGAAGCAGUGGUUCUUGUCUGCGACGAGAGCGACGGCGAAGACGGCGGAUGCACAACCGGCGACUGCUGGUGAGAAUCUUCGACGGGGACUUGGGGAUGAGUUUGUACGAGCGACCGGAGUGGAACUGACGUCACGUGAGGUGUGAGUUGUGACGCCCAUGUCGUCUCAGAACCAGAGACCGAUUGCGACGGGAAAGAAGCAAACGGGAACACAUUCUCCACAAAAUUAACAUGACGAGACAUAUACACACGACCUGUUGUAGGUUUCAAGCACAUGUAGGCACUUUGUGUGGUGGAAUGUCCCAGAAAAACACAAGAUGAUGAUCGAGGCUGGAGUUUAUGUGUUGUGUAGGGUCGUAACCAGGGAAAGCACUGACAUCCAAACACCCGCAGCUUCAAGUAGUUUGGUGGUGUCCCCAACAGAUUCUGAUAUGGUGAAUCGUGAUUGAGAACUGCUGUAGGUAAUCGAUUGAUUAGAUACACGGCAGUUGCAAAGGCAUAGCUCCAAUACUCUUUCGGCAUACAGGCUUUGUUGAGGAGUGUAAGUCCGGUUUCAACAAUAUGACGAUGCUUCCGUUCUGAGAUUCCAUUGUGUUGAGGAGUGUGAGGUGGAGUUGUUAAGUGUGUGAUCCCAUGAGAUGACAAGAAGGACCGCAGCGCUAUAAACUCUCCACCAUUGUCCGAGUACAAAGUUCCAAUCCGCUGUUUGUACUGAUUCUCUACAAGGGCUGUAAACAAAGGAAAUACAUCCUUGACUUGCGACUUCUGUUUCAAAGGAUACCACCACGUGUAGCGAGUGUAGUGAUCAACCAACACUAGAUAGUACUUGAAGCCAUCAACGGAGUACAACGGUGAAGUCCAAACAUCAGAAUAUAUAUAAUGUAACGGAUGUGUAGACACAAUAGUAUUUUCGUGAAAUGGAAGCUAAUGACUCUUAUUGAUGAAGCAAUCGGAACAUGACAAUUGUUGUUGCAAAGACGAUGAAGUUGGUAAAGAAAACUUGGAAACAAGAAUUUUUAAAACUGCAGAGGCUGGAUGACCCAAUCUUGAAUGCCACGACAAAAUAUCCGUCUUAGAUGUUGGUGAAGCAAACAACAGUGUCGGUUUAGCAAUGUUGACUGGCCACUCGUACAACUCAUUUUUAGUCCUGCCUUGGAGUUCGAAGAUCCUUCACCUGGAAGUGUGCGGGGAAGAAUUCAACAGAAACUCGAUUAGCGUUACACAUACGAUACACCGAGAUUAGAUUCUUCUUAAUAUCCGGCACAUAAAGAACAUCAUUUAAAGCAAGAUCACGAGAUUGAGUAGGUAGAUAAGUAGAACCAGUUUGAGCAAUUUGCAGAGCGGAACCAUCAGCGAUUUGGAUAUCCUCACCCCCAUUGUAAGGCUGAUGUAAAGCCAAAUUGCUGAGAUCAGAAGUCACAUGAUGUGUAGCUCCGCUGUCCAUCAGCCAUGGUGCAGCAUCAUACCCAUUUGCCAUCACCAAAUUGGCUCGUGGCUGCCAUGGGGGGUAUGCACGUUGCUGUGGUGAGACUCCAGUGUACUGUUGUUGUAGUUGAUAGCACGUUCGAGCACUGUGCCCAUGAAUUCCACAAAUCUGGCACCGACCUUGAUAACCACGUGACUGAGACUGACCGGUUCUCUGUGAAAAAUGUUGUUGUUGCUGCUGUUGUUGGUUACCACGGUAGUUGUUCUUGUUACGUUGUUGCUGGUUGCCUUUACCACCGUUGUUAUUAGCACCUCGAUAAGUCACCGCAUUCGCCGUAACUGGUAACGUUUGAGAAGACGCAUCAGCAAGGGUUUGUAGAGUUACCUCAUGGUUAAGUAACUUCUCAUACACUUCAGGGAGUUGAGGUGCUUUUUCACGACCAGCAAUCUGGUCCUUUAUGGGCUUGUACUCGUCAGGCAAACCACCAAGUAUCGCUUCAAUUUGAUCAUCAAGACGCAUUUCGUUUUCUAGGAGCGCUAGUUGAUCAAAACGCACAGUAAGACCAUGGAAGUAGUCUUCAAUGGAUCGUGAACCCUUCUUCCACGUCUGAAUCUGCAGUUUGAUUUGUCUCACAUGACCACGACUGGGAGCAGCAAAGGUGUCAAGGAGCGUAGUCCAGAUUUGAUUCGCCGUUGUUGCUUUGGAGAGGAGAGGCUGAACGGUUGGUGCAAUAGCACCCAGAAGAGAGCUAUAUAGCAGUCGGUCUUGACGCUUCCACAGCGAGUAAUCAGGGUUGUGAGUCACGACGCCGUUAGUGGUGACUGUAGGUGACGGAGCCGGAACCGAUCCGUCAAGAUAACCCAUGAGAUCAUAACCAUCAAGGAGAGCAUGAACCUGGCGGCUCCACAUGAUAUAGUUGGAAGCAGUAAGCUUAGUAACAUUAGACAUGUUAAUACUAAGCAGUUGAGGAGGAUUGACCAAAGCAAUGGUUUCACUCGUGUUUGACAUGGUAGAGAAGAAAAAGAAGCCAACAGCAGAGGAAAAAAACAAAUUUUAGGUCUAGAUCUACUGCUCUGAUACCAUAUAGAAGAAAUGGCUGCUUGUCUUAUUACAUGAGAGAUUUACAGUAUAUAUAGGUUGUACAAUGAAGGGUUUCAGUGAUCUACAAAGACUCUAUUAACCUUUCCAUAUCUAUCUCUUACAAAUAGUAGCUAUAUAUAGUUGGACCUUUCAGAGUAGAUAGGGCACUAUGAUCACUUUUAUUGCUUGCUUCCCCUUAAGAGCUCCUACGUCGUCUUCAUAGUUCAAACACGGCAGAGGAAGAAGCUGUCCAAAGCUCUCCCUUGUAAAAUCAAAACAUAACAAUAAUAUGAUUGUUAUGACCCCGGUGGUCACACAUAACAAUAACCCAUCGCAAUGAAAAACUUUCGAUAUCUUAAUGAGUGGAUUAAAUAAAUUACCUAACUCCUUUAUAGUUGGAUCCACGAAAGCUUCUUCUUUAAAGGGUCCAUGGAGAUCAAACUUCAUUGAGCAAAGCUUAUACUUCUUCAUCAUGAAUCCAAGAAACAGAUGCUUUGCUUCUGCUUUACAUAGAAUCCGAUCUUUGGAUAGUGUUCCAUCUUUUGCAAGUGGUUCUCACAGCUCCAAGAGAAGUUAUUGGAAUUCUAGACAGUAUCUCUUCUACCAAAUCCUGGGAAAGAUCAGAGAUCGUCGUCAUUGUUUUUGAAAUCUCUCUAGCUUGGCAAUCUCUUAUAUAUAGCUUCACAAUAAACAUUUAUUGAUUAAUGUUAAUUUUUAAAAUGUAUGAAUUUUCUAUUUUUUUCAAAAAAAAUCUAUAGAAAUAAGGGAUAUGAUAAUAGAUAGAUUUUUUUUUUUUGCUAUUAGUAUACAAAGAAAAUAACUAGUACUAAUCACACAAAAUUUGUUAAAAUUGUACUUUAUAAUUAAGUUCAGUCACAUCUAUCUAUCUACAUAAACAUCGAAUCACAAGUAGCUAUACCAUUAAUUAAUAUUUUUAAGUUUUGUUAAUUUACUACACUAAGAUACAUUUAUAUAUAUAUGAAAAUAAGAGAAAUAUAAACUUUUAAAAUUGAAAUAUUUACUAUAAUCAACCAUUAUUUAUUAGCCUAAUAAGAUUUAUUAAUAUUUCUAUUUUCAAACACAUUUAUAACCAUUACAUUAAAUAGAAAUAGUUAAUGACUAUUUGUUAAUAUUUCAUUUAAAAAUUAUAAUAUUGCGAAUAUAGUCAAAAAAAUUUGUUUUGUUGGUUUUCUGUUAAUAUUAAGAAUAUAAAACCUCAUUCGACCACAAAGUCACACUUUAAAAAAAGAACCAUCUUGCCAGUAUCGCGCACACAAAACUUAAUAAAAAAGUUCAUACUAAAUAGGGCAUGAACGAGUUCAUAAGUUGGUAACCCUAAAAGUAAAAAAAAAAAAAAUAGAAGAAGAAGCCACACACGAUCAGACUUGACAAGAGAGAAGCAAAACAACCCGUCUCUUGGCUCUGCAUUGUUCAGAAAGAGUCAUUAUCACUGUCGUAACUACCAUGAUAAGGGUCAUAUAUAUCAUCUUCAUACUCAUAAUCGAAAGGAUAACGGGGAGUCUUAAGACUCUAAUCCUCUCAGGUAAUAUCAUUACUAGAAAUCAAACUACAAACACAUACCGUACCGUCAAGUAGUUAAACUUUGGUAGUUAAAGCCAAGAAGCAAUAAAAGACAACAGAUCGUUGAAGUGACGCAAAAGCUUUCAACAAUAUGAAAAUGUGCGUGAAAGGCCUUGUGGAUUCAGGAAUCACAGCGAUGUUUCGAGCAAAAGCCUGAAAUCGCCACCACCUCCCAAGAAUCUCACCAUCAAUCUGAAAGGAGGAAACGUGGUGGAGAAGAUUGGAGAAGCUGCUGAAAAAUAAGGAUUGUUUUAGGUUGUGAAUCACGGCAUCCCCGUGGAGGUUCUGGACAGGAUGAUGAUCCAGGGGAUUUGCAGCUUUCACGAACAAGAACCUAAGGCAAAGAAACCUUUCUACUCUAGGGAUCAUAGUAAAGGUGUGGAAUUACUACACCAAUUUAAUAUCAUAACUAAAUCAGCAGCUGAGACAUCGGGGAGUCUUAAGACUCUAAUCCUCUCAGGUAAUCGCAUCUCCAUAAGGCUGACAUGCGUGAGGUUGAAACAGAAGCUCAAAUCAAGGUGUUCCAAGUGUGGACAGCCGUCAAGAAUGGCGUUCAAGCCCGUGUUAUUUAGUCUAUUCCAACCAAGCUCGAGGUAGCGUAGCUCAGGCAUGGUUUCUCCAAUUGCUAUGGCGAUAUCAUUCGACUCACAAUUCGACUCACAAUGUAAGAACUCGGUCGCAAGGCUGUCGUUUAUCGUCAAUGUCUUCUGUUGAAAUGUGAUUCAAUGCUUGGUCAAAGAAUAAAUGUGAGAGUUUAAGUAUUUGUCAGUUAUGAUUUUAGUAUUAAUUUGGGGGUUUCAAAUUAUGUUUAAUGUAGGACAAUAAUGAGUCCAUGGGGUAAUGGGAGUAAGUUACAUUUCUAGUUUCUAUAUAAGUUAUGUAAUCUCAUUGUGAGAAAAGUGAACAAGAGUGAACUAGAGAAUCAGAGAAAUAAAAGAAAAGUAUUAUUCAGUAAAAGUUCUUGUUCGCUGUACGUCUUACAGCUCUUCUUUGUUCCGCACGUCUGUUAGUAUAACAGAGUGGUUUUGUAGAAUUCGGUUCUACUUUCUUUGUUUUUACAACAUCUUCAUCUUUGGACAAGACUGGCCUACGACCCUCACAGAGUCUCCUGUAAAUCCGCAGAAUGAAAUAUCAAGCUCUUCAAGGAGUGGUAGUUUCACAACUGCUUUCGCAACUCCCUCAUCUGUUACUAGGAAACAAUUUGGAAGUUUAAGGCUUCUCAGAUUACUUGACCUGCAAGUGAUCGUGUGUAAAAGUGUAAAACAGAAUCUAAUAAAGAUGUAAAAUGGAAUAAAAGCUGAACAAGAAAACAUUCAGUUCAACCUUGUACCAAGUACGACUCGAUUUCAAAAAGUGCAUUCAUCACUAAAAGCUAAAAAUGAUCGACUUGUUUGUGUUUCAUAUGGACUAUGGAGAGAGAGAAAGACAAGAUCAGAAAGAGACAGAACCUAUCAGCGAUGUAAUUGAGGAGGUCAUCAGUUCCAUAAUCCCAAAUAUCGAUCUCAAGCAAACCACCUUGGCUACGAUCAACAGCAUUACGACACAUGCUCUCGAGAUCCUUCUUCAUAGCAAAGUAUCCAGAGUUGCUCAUGUCAAUCUUCCUCCACAUCAAAGGGUCUUUAAGACGCGAUGCCACGGUUUGCACACCUUCGGAGCGUUUUGUAGUAUAUCAAUCACGCCAAGCCGAUUCAGUAUCGAAAACGUUAAUUCCGAAGGAAGCUCCGCCCAGUUUCUUGGCUCUUCAUCUUUCAUCAAAGAAGGCAUGGAAGAUGAAGAAGCCAUUUUUGAAAUUAAUAUAUUGUACAAUGGCAACGUGAAGCAGUAUAUAUAGUUGGACCUUCCGGAGUAGAUAGGGCACUAUGAUCACUUAUUGCUUGCUUCCCCUUAAGCCGUAAUAUCGACAUGCUCUAUAGUUUCUUGGAAACAUGCAAAACCUCCCAAAGUAAAGAUUUUUGUUGGAAUGUGUUUCCAAAAACGAUGUUUUCUAUAGAAAACCAAGAGACAUGGUAAAAAAAAAACAUGAAUUGUAUUAUUUUCCCAAGACAUUCAUUAACUAAACAGUUUUCAAAUUUGAAGUACAAACAAUACUAUAUUUUUCAGAAACAAAAAUCAACGUGUUUAAGACAAAUUAAAGUCUAUUAGUUUUGAUAUUUUUGGGUUUUUAAACUAAACUUCUCAUGUGUGUUUUUAAUACGAUCUUUUCCAUUUCGUGUGGUUCAAAUGAAAACAGCAACAUAUACGCACUUGUCCGAAGCUGACAGGUUUUGAAACGUUUCCGAGUUGGUCAUGAUAAGCGUAAACCAUAUUAACACUACUUUAUUUUUAAUAUAAUUUAUUCUGAUUCUUAUUCAACAUUUUGAAAAGCAUGUAUUAUAAAAAUUACAAAACCUUCUUCCUUAAUUUUUUUGUUUGUUUGAUAACAUACACAAGAUUCUCUUGUUUUCUCUUCCACAUCUUUGUCAGCUGCUUUGGAUAAGGAGUAUACUAUUCCCACGUUUUACACUCUUGUUGACAACUUGACAUAACAUAUAUAGAGAAUUUUUUAUAAAAAAGAUAUAAUAAAGUUUUCACAAAAAAAUGGGAAAUAACAAAGAGAAAUAGAAUAUACAAAUACAUUAUAUAAGAAAAUGCCCAUCUGAAAAUAAUAUAAUAUUGUUUUAUGUGAUUUAAAAUUUUAAUUAUUUUUAUCUGUUUAAUCCAAUAAGAAAGUGACACAUGUGAAUAUGGUAUAUGAUGAGUUUCUCAGAAUUUGUCUCCAGAGAAACGAAUCUCGCCUCUUUUAUCUAUGUAUAUUUUUUUUGGAAGGGAGAGUCUCUAGGUGUUUAUUAAUCUAUAGAGGAGCAUUAAAAUUCACAAAAUUAAGAGUUUGAAUGGUGACAGCGUAUUUGUUUGUGCGAGAAAAGCGGUUUUAAUAUACGGUGCUGUUCAACUGAUGUAUUUAAAAAAAAAAAUUUGUGGGAUAAGUACAUUUUUCGGUAUUUUUGGACCGCUAAGUAAAUACUACUUAUGUUUUUAAAAGCGUUUUACACCUAUAUAUAUAUCGGUUAAUUCCGCAAAUCUCAAAAAAUAAUUUCUUUCUCAAAAAAUGUUAGUUAAAAGAAACUCGGGUUGAAUGGUAACAUAAGUGCGUUAUUGUGGUUCGGGACGAAAAACUCUCCGUUUUUAAGUUUACCAUUCAUGACCUAACCGUUUGUCGUAAAAAACAAUUGUGCUUUAUGUUAUUAAUUUUCAUUAUUUUGUUUUGUUUUGAGGCUUUAUCCUUGACACUAGGUUAUGAUUCCAGGUCUUAAUAAGGACUUAAACUUGGACUCAUUAUUCAAUAAAGUGGUUCAGAGAAACUCCGGCCAACGCUGGAGUUGAAUCCAUGUACAUAGUAUCAAUAAAAACUAUACAUCUUAGGGUUUAAUAGAAAUUGUGUUUACACUCAAAACUUGUUUUUUCAAUCAAACUUUCUUGCUAAAUAUGCUUGUAACACUUCGAACCUUUUAUUCUGAAUAUGUACGUAUCACAGCCACGGUUGUAUCAAUGUUAAAUAAUUAUCGAAAUUUUGAAAAGACAAAAAAAAAAAUUGAAAACUACUAACAAACUCAAUGUUGUCUUUCUGCAAUUAGAAUGUAUUUUCUCUCGCAUCCCUAUUAGUUACUUGAGGUACGAAAUUAUUCCCACGUUGUGAUAUUCUCAUACAAAAAUAUAUAUAUAAAAACAAUGAGUACUCUUUACUUAAAAAUAACAAAGGAGGCAGCAUUUAAAAAUUCUAAAGUCACUGAACUCAAAAUAAAGAAACAUGUUACAGCUUCUGAAGCCUCUUCUUUUCCUAUACGAUUCAUCUCUUGCCCUCCUCUCAACAAUGGUAAGCCAUGAGCCUCUUCAUACCUUUUCUAUCCUUAAUUUAACAUUUUUUUAGUAAUACACUAAACUAUAUAUUCUUUUCAUCUCUAUAGAUUCUCCACCUCGUUGGUUUGUUAAUUCUCCCAUGUUUAGAGUUUAUUUGUUUAUUGUAAAUGUAACUGUCAAACACAAAUAAAUUUAAAAACUAACUUUUCACACACUAAAGUUUUGUUUUGUUCUACUAUUAUGAGAAAAGUUCCAUGGAGGAGGUCUUAAAGCAUCCAUGAAUGGUGUUGGGAAUGGGAUAAGCAUGAACACUAUGUGGAAAGAAACAAAGAGUACACUCAUAGUUCCAAUGUUUAAGUACAUAGUGGAUGUGUGUUUGAUCCUCUCCCUCUUAGUUUUCGUAGAGUGGGCUUACAUGAACCUUGUAGUACUCUACGUCAAGUUGUUUAACCGCAAACCUGAGAGAGUCUACAAAUGGGAGGCAAUGCAAGAAGAUAUGGAGCUUGGUCCUCAUCAAAACUACCCAAUGGUUCUUGUCCAAAUUCCCAUGUACAACGAACGAGAGGUUGAAAUGUUUUACUCCUUAUCUCUUUAUAUUAUCUUUGAUAUAUAUUUAUUGAUAAGUAAAGACUAAAAGUAAUAUUCAAGUUUUUGUGUAAAAGAACAAAUUAUCUUUCUGUAGAAGUUGGCUCCACCAUUUUAUUUUUGAGUGGACUAGCAGAAUUUAUGCAAAGUGUCUGCCAUUUUUGUCUAAAGCUUCUUUAUUAAUAUAUUACCAAAAUGAACCAUACAAAAAUAAAUAAAUAAAAUACUUAAAUAUCAUUCUUUUUCUUUAAUUAAUUACUUGGUUUUUCAAAUUGAAAAGUAAUUUUUAUAUUUUGGGAAAGUGUUCAUAAUACUACCAACCAAUAUCAUUAUAUAAUAUAUUGACGUACGUACACAAACUUGAAAAUAGUUAUAUUUUUUUUGUUUUCCAAACUUGUUAUAUAUAUUUUUAUAUAAUUUUUAAGAUAUUCAAACUUGAUUAUUGUAAUUACUUUGGUUAUAUUUAUAAGUUUGUUUUUCAUGUGUGAUGGAUAUGUAAAAUAAAAAAAAUACUGACAACAUUAUUUUGACUUUUAAAUCUCCAGGUCUUCGAAUUAUCUAUAGGUGCUGCAUGCAGACUGAUAUGGCCAUCCGACCGCCUAGUUAUUCAAGUUUUAGACGAUUCCACCGAUCCAGCCAUCAUGGUCCGUUCUUAAUCAACUCUCCAAGGACAUAGUAGUGCGCUAAUAAAACUUAGGGAAAAAAAGAUAUGACUUAAUUAUAUGAAUAUUAUUGGGUUGGUUGUAUACAAUAUACUUAAUUAGUUAAUAAAAUUUCAGGAACUGAUAAGGAUGGAGUGUGCAAAAUGGGCAUCUAAAGACAUAACCAUACACUAUCAGAGGCGAGACAACAGAAAUGGCUACAAGGCUGGAGCUCUUAUGCACGGCAUGAGGCAUAGCUACGUAAAGCUUUGUGACUAUCUUGCCAUAUUUGAUGCUGAUUUCCAGCCCGAGCCAGAUUACCUCCAACGCGCUAUCCCAUUUCUUAUCCACAACCCUGAGAUCGCUCUUGUCCAAGCUCGAUGGAGAUUUGGUAUGUACAUAUUUAUAUAUAAUAAGAAAUCAAAAGUUCUAGACAUUUUAAUUUGUUUCCGGAAUUAUGGGUUUCUAACUCAAAAUCGAUUAGCAAUGAGUAGAGAUGAUCAUGUAUAUAUAAAAUGUUAGAUGUACAACUCCAUUUGGGAUGUGGAACAUUGUAACAAAAUUUGACAAUGAGAGAAAAAAGGGUACAUGAAAAAAAUGGUACUUGACAAAUAUGAGUUUGACAUAUAUAAAGUUAACGUGAAUGUGGGUUCGUACGAGACAUAUAUGAUUUGGUUAUGCAGUAAACGCGAACACAUGCUUAAUGACGAGGAUGCAAGAGAUGACUCUGAACUACCACUUCAUGGCUGAGCAACAAUCUGGAUCAACAAGACAUGCUUUCUUUGGCUUUAAUGGUAAAAGAAACGUUACAAUAUAUAUAACAUGCUUUGGUCUCGGGUCUGAAGGGAUGUAUGGGUUUCGACCUAAAACCUCUUUAAUUAUUCAAAAUAUAUAUAUAUAUUGAUAUGGAGUGUUCUCUAAUGUAGGAACUGCGGGAAUAUGGAGAAUCGCGGCGAUGGAAGAGGCCGGAGGAUGGAAAGACCGAACGACCGUAGAAGAUAUGGACUUGGCCGUUCGUGUUGGUCUUCUCGACUGGAAAUUUGUGUUCAUCAAUGACCUUGAGGUACGUUAUAUGUAAAAUGCAAAGACUAAUCACAAAACAUAUAUUUUAUAUGCAUCUUCCACUAUGAGUGUACAUAAUCAUUAUAAAAUAAAGUUAGCUGUGGUUGUAGGUGAAAAGCGAGCUACCAAGCAAAUUCAAGGCUUUUAGAUUCCAGCAACAUCGAUGGUCGUGCGGUCCAGCCAAUCUCUUCCGGAAAAUGACGAUAGAUAUUAUUCACAAUAAGGUAUUUUACCACUAAAUUACUUUUAUUUCAUUUUCAGACACAAAACUUCCCACAUGCCAACUACAUUUUUUGUCUAGCGACUUUGAAAGAAGACAAGUUUCUAACCACUACCUAAAACCAAAAUAAGAAGAGGACAAGUUUCUAACAGUAGCUAAAAACAAAAUAAAUAAACAAAACUAAAAUGAUUGGUCACUCACUUAUCUCAAUGGGGACAAGUCUCCUGGUUCAUAUCAAACCACAUAUAAACGUUAUAACCAUGUGCAUGGAAAUCAAACUUAUAAAUUUACAUUUGUAUAGUUGAAAUUUUGUUUUUAAAAAAUAACUAAAAUAAAACUCAUGUGAUUUUAAGCGGUCGAGGCGGUUAUCUAGGCGUUACAUAAAAAUCUAGCGCUAAGAGACCGCCAAAACCGCUUUCUAGAACAUUGGUUUAAACAUGUCACAUGUGAAAUAGGUAUGUCCUAAUAAAAAUCAUCUGAAUAUUACCUAAUUAUUGAUAUAAUUGAGUAAUAUGGAAUUUAGUUUUGGUUAACCAAGUGGAACCAAGGAAACAACAAUUGAGAUAUUCUUUUAUGAGCAAUACUUGGGUUCACUUCUAGGGGUGAACCAACCUUGUUCACCCCUAUUGAUUAGCCAAUCAAAAUAAAACAAUAUGCCAUAUCAUAUUAUAUUUAAAAAAUAAAACAAACCUUAACCACUCUUUUAUAAACCCAUACCGAAAUAUAAUUUCGUUUAAUUAUAAAAUCUAAACUCUAACCACUAUUUUGUCAACCCAAACCGGAAUAUAAUUUCGUCUAAUUACAAAAUCUAAACCCUAACCACUAAUUUGUCAACCUAAACCGGAAUAUAAUUUUGUUUAAUUUUUCUUUCAUUUAAGAUAUUUUUUCUUAAGAGGAGUUUGAUUUGUGAUAACCUAAACCUAAUUAAAAAAAAACUUGUGAUAAACAGAGAGUGAAGAUUUGGACGAAGUUUUACGUGAUCUACAGCUUCUUUUUCCUAAGAAAGAUCAUUGUCCACUUCUUCACUUUCUUCUUUUACUGUGUCAUUCUUCCUACAAGUGUCUUCCUUCCCGAAGUUCAAAUCCCUACUUGGUCAACUAUAUACUGUCCUUCUAUCCUCACCAUCUUCGGCAUCAUCGCCACUCCAAGGUAAGUAGUAUACUAUAAUGGUCAUAUUCAUUCACUCUAUAUGUUACCUUAGCUAGUUGUUACAUUUUCACUGUAUGCAUGUGUCUAGAUCGUUCUACCUCGUGGUCUUUUGGGUUUUGUUCGAAAAUGUAAUGGCUAUGCACCGGACCAAAGGAACUUUCAUUGGCUUAUUUGAAGGAGAAAGAGUCAAUGAAUGGGUUGUCACCGAAAAACUAGGAGAUACUCUUAAGACUAAGCUGCUUGCCCGGAAUGGAGGAAUUCUCAAAAGGUAUAUAAUCUAAUGAUAACAUAACAUAACAUAAAUUCUUACAUAUUAUUUAGUCAUGUGUGUUUUGUCUAGUGAUUUAUUCGGACAGGUUAGAAAAAUAUGAGUUGAUAAAAAGCAAUAUCUAUGGAAACUAAUGAGUGAAAGAAAAUGUUUUUGUUGCUAGAGUGAAUUUGAAGGAAGUGAUGAUGGGUAUAUACAUAUUAUGUUGUGCUUGCUACGACUUUGCCUUUGGGAACGCAUUUUUAUAUUUAUACCUCUUCAUGCAAGCCACUGCUUUUCUCAUCUCCGGAGUUGGCUUUGUUGGAACCUAAUCACAUGCUGAAAAUAUAUGAAUUCAUUUUUUUAGCAUGAUGUUAAUAUGAUAUAUAAAAAAUGGGUGAAUUAUAUUGGGAGUAUAUUAUAUUGUAUCAUUUAAAUUUUAUCGCAAAACUAAGUGAUACGAUUUUAAGUCUGUUAUUUAAUUUAUGUAUUUUUAUUUAUGAUGUUAAUAGGAUAAACACAAAAUGGGUGAAUUAUAUUGGGAGUAUCAUUUAUGAACAAUUCUGGAAAAUUAGUAAAUUGUGUAUUUCUAAGAAACAUUGGGAUGUCGAGAAGAGUUUCAUGAACUCAAAUAAAAUUUCUCAAUAAGCAAGAUUUCCACCAAGAAGAAAGAGAUGUCGUGCGUCCUUUAAAUCAGUUAUUUAUAAGUAAAUUAAAUAUACAUAUUUUAGCAUCAACUAUAAUAAUUGAUGUUAUAAUAAGCUAGUUUUGCAUCAAUCUUAUAAAAUUGAUACAGUUUGAUCUCCAAUAAUUUUCUUUAGCAGUUGCAUAUAUCAUUUGAACUUUGAAUUAGUCUCCUGUACUCGAAAUUUUUAAUAUGAUCGGAUGUUUCAAGACGCCAUUUAAUAACCCACUGCAAAUUUAAAAGCUCGUGCCACUUUAAUUUACCAAGUUUAGGGUUCUAGGUGGCUAUAGUUUAAAGUGUAUACUAAAGUGUUCUUUAGCCAAGGAAACUAUAUCCAUCACUUUCUCAGUUACGAUAUCCAUAUUUUGUUUCUUCGACCAUAUGUACAAGAAAUGGUGGAUAAAAUAAGUUAUGAGAAGAUGAGUGAUGACAUUAACCUCAACUAAAGUAUCAUUCUUGAUUAUUCUCUACUAUGGUUAAUAUCAAGUGUGCUUCAGAUGGACGUACGUGAUAGAAAUAAAUCCCAAGAUUUCCACAUUACCAUCCAGUUCCUUUUAAUUACUAAAUUGUUGUGCGUUAUUUCUCGCGUACUCGUUUCCAUUCCCAUGCAACAUAUUUUCCGUUCUGCAUCUAGUUAAAAAACUAGACCAGCAAGUUCGAAACAGAAUUUUGUCGAUUCAAGAACAAGGGGACGACAUGUUUCAUGCUUUGCAUCUAGAUAACUUCGAUAUUUGUUUAGUUUAAUGUUCUUUUCAUUUUAAACCGUUAAAGAAAACGCUGCACUAGUUGUUCAAAAGUAUUUUUUCUAAUAAAUUUUGAAUUAAGAAUAAAGGAUAUUUGAUUAAAACAUAUUUUAUCCCACAAAUCGGUAAAAUUUGAUUAACCCAUACAUAUAGAUUAAAACAAGAGAAAUAGCAAACCAAAACACAACAUACAAGAAAACAUGCAUAUAUUUGAAGACGCAUUCGAAACUUCAGUAGAGGAAGGCGGAGGAAACGGAACAUCUAGCCACGGAUAAGCCGGCGGUGGGAAGUACUGAUAUGACAUAGCGUCUUGAAACUGAUCCCUCGCAUCAUCAAGCGACUGCUGCGCAUUCUUCUUCUUCAUAGCGUCUCGAACGCUUUCAAGCGUCGGCGAAGUCGGAUUACUCUCUUGCUGAGGACUCUGAGUGCGUGGAGGACGAAAGCUUUGGGCGGCCAUCACUUUAUGAUCUAUAUGGGGAAACACAAGAAGAAGAAGAAGAAGGGGAAAGAGGAACAUGGAAGAUGUCAUCUUUGUACUCAUGUUUUAGUUUACUUAGCUUAUCAGUGUGACUUAUGCUUAUGCAUUUAUAUAGAAAAUAUGUAGUGAAGAGAGAUAAGAGAGAGAGAGACAAGGUUGGAGUUGUCGAUGACUUGGUCGUGUCAUGUAAGGGUCUUUUAAGUUUUGGAAGUCUUUGGAGCCGUGUGUUUCAAGGUUUCUCAUUUGAAUACAAACAAGAAUAAUUAAUGAGAGUGAUCAAGCUAAGGUUGAAGUUGUCAAACGACGUAAAGAGCGAAUUCAGACAAUAUAACUUUUCAUGUCUUGCAUGCUUCUUUCAUGUCUUGUCGUGUUUUACUUCUUCUUUUCUUCUAUCAAAUUUGCAUUAUUAUUCGUAAAUGAGACCUUGUAGAAGAUAUAUAUGAACUAUUUUUUUAUUGGGGUGUAUUGAAUUACAAAUUUUGAGAGAUUUAAGUGAGUUUUAAAGCUUAUUUUGUGGAAUUUUAGAUUUUUAUUUUAUUUUAUAUAUUUUAAAAGAGAUUAAUGACUUGUUGUCGGCAGUAUUUUGAGAUCAUUAUUCAUUUAGCUUGAAUUUAUAACUUGAUAUAUUUUCAUAUAUUAUUUUAAAUUUGUCAAUUGGUCGAUCAUAAUUUUCACUUCGUUUACCAUAAAUUUCAAAAAGACCAACAUAGCAAUAAUGUCUUAUAAGAUUACAACUAAAUCAAACAAAUAGAUUAAAAAAAAGAAAAACAUCAAUUUUUGAACUUAAAAUUUUGAUACGAUAUCAAAUGAUCUAUAUAUAGGUAAAAACAAUUUGAUAAAAUGAACUAGUUCUUAUAAAAUUACACAAAAAAAUUAGCUAGGCAAAAUAAAGUCCACUAUUUAGACUUUUUCCACUCAUGUAUAUGUAUUGGUGGAUAAUUAUCCAUCCUAAAAUAUACUCCAUCUACGUUGGCAGUAUAUUCACGUAGUUGACCUCUCUAGUUUAAAUCUGGACGAUAUGCUUCAGUUUCACUAUAAAAUCUCAUGUUCAAAAAUUCGUUAUGCAAAAAAUUAUAUUACAAGUAUUAAAGAUGCUGAAGAUAAUACCUACAGAGGUGACAACGAGAUUGGAGCUCAUGCACAACAAUUCUUCACUAAUUUAUUUUCUACCUCUGGUCACCAAGUCUCUCCAAUCGAUUUUGGUGAUUUUGAAUCUACUGUAUCUACUUCAAUGAAUGAAGACUUGACUAAGGAUUUCAGUUCUUCAGAAAUCUAUGAGGCGGUUUGUACCAUUGGUGAUGAUAAGGCCCCCGGACCUGAUGGUUUAACAGCAAGAUUUUAUAAGACUUAUUGGGAUAUUAUUGGUGACGAUAUAGUGAAAGAGGUCAAAGAUUUUUUUCAAACUUCGUACAUGAAGCCUCAAAUAAACCAUACCAAUAUAUGCCUCAUUCCAAAAAUUGAUAACCCAACUACUCUCUCUGAUUUCAGACCCAUUGCCUUAUGCAAUGUUUUGUAUAAAAUAAUUUCUAAAUGCUUGGUCUCUAGAUUAAAAAAUCAUUUAGGUUCUAUUGUCUCUGAAUCUCAAGCGGCUUUUAUUCCGGGUCGUUUGAUUACGGACAAUAUUCUUAUUGCUCAUGAUGUUAUGCAUUCUCUUAAAGUUAGAAAAAGAGUUUCUCAAAGUUAUAUGGCGGUCAAGACAGAUGUUAGUAAAGCUUAUGAUAAGGUAGAAUGGGAUUUUUUGGAAACAACUAUGAAAUUGUUUGGUUUUUCCACCACUUGGAUAAACUGGAUCAUGGCAUUGGUAAAAUCAGUCAGAUAUUCUGUUCUCAUUAAUGGAUCUCCUCAAGGCUGGAUUGUUCCGGAGAGAGGAAUACGUCAGGGUGAUCCCUUGUCACCAUACCUUUUCAUUUUAUGUGCGGAUAUUUUAAGUCACCUAAUUAAAACAAGCACAGCCACUGGAGAUCUCAGGGGUAUCCGUAUAGGUAAUGGUGUUCCGGUUAUUACCCAUCUUCAGUUUGCCGAUGACUCUCUCUUCUUUUGUCAAGCUAAUAGCAGAAAUUGUAAAGCUUUACGAGAUAUUUUUGAUGUUUAUGAGUAUUAUUCAGGCCAAAAGAUCAAUACAAGUAAAUCUCUAAUAACUUUUGGUUCUAGAAUAAAUGGUAGACUCCGUAACCAUCUAAAGGCAAUUCUAAAAAUUCCUAACCAUGGCGGGGGUGGCAAAUAUUUGGGUCUACCAGAAGAAUUUGGGAGGAAAAAAUCAGAAAUGUUCGACUACAUUAAACAGCGUGUUCAGCAAAGAACUAGCAGUUGGAGUUCUAAAACCUUAUCUCCAGCAGGGAAGGAAAUUAUGCUUAAAUCAGUAGCAAUGGCUAUGCCUGUUUAUACCAUGUCUUGUUUUAAAAUUCCACAAGGCGUUGUUNNNNNNNNNNNNNNNNNNNNNNNNNNNNNNNNNNNNNNNNNNNNNNNNNNNNNNNNNNNNNNNNNNNNNNNNNNNNNNNNNNNNNNNNNNNNNNNNNNNNCAAUUUUGGUGGGAGAAAAGCAAUAAUAACAAGGGCAUACCAUGGGUUGCUUGGAAGAAGCUUCAAAGAUCAAAGAAGGAAGGUGGUCUCGGGUUUAAAGAUCUUUCGAAGUUUAAUGAUUCUUUACUUGCUAAACAAGCUUGGCGUCUCUUACGACAUCCCAAUUCUCUUUUUGCUAAGGUUAUGAAAGCUCGCUAUUUUAAAGAUGAUCACAUUCUUGAUGCUACCACAAAACCUUAUCAAUCUUUUGGAUGGUAUUCUAUUCUUUGUGGUUUGCAAAUUAUUAAAUCAGGCUACCGAUAUAACUUGGGACUGGGGUCUUCUAUCCGUUUAGAUAAAGAUAAUUUGUUACCGUCUCACCCGCCAGCACCUGUUCGCAGUAUUAGGCCUGAUCAACCUCCUUAUAUUUCGGAUUUGAUUUCGACUUGGGGAAGUUAUAGAUGUUGGAAUAACCAUAAAAUUACCGAAUUGGUUCAUUUUGAAGAUCAGUCUAAACUAACUAAUAUCUAUAUUUCCCAAACGAUUUCUUCGGAUAAAAUUAUUUGGCCUUAUACAAAUUCAGGGGAAUACAAAGUUCGCUCGGGAUACUGGUUCAUUACUCAUCAUCCUGAUAAUAACCAUAACCAAUUACAAAUUCCUCAUGGUUCGAUUUUAUUGAAAAAUCAAAUUUGGAAGUUAAAGAUCAUGCCGAAAUUAAAACAUUUUCUCUGGAGAAUUCUUUCUCGUGCCAUUGCAACUAAUGUAAGGCUCAACACAAGAGGGAUGCAUUUAGACCCUACCUGUCUUCGUUGUGGAUCUGCUGAUGAAGAUAUUCAUCAUAUUUUUUUCGGCUGUUCAUAUGCUCAGAAUCUCUGGCAUGCUUCAAACACUCCCUUAGUCUCUCUUUACAAUGAUAAUAAGUCAACNNNNNNNNNNNNNNNNNNNNNNNNNNNNNNNNNNNNNNNNNNNNNNNNNNNNNNNNNNNNNNNNNNNNNNNNNNNNNNNNNNNNNNNNNNNNNNNNNNNNCGGACAUCUUACAAUUGCAAAUUGCUGUAGGAGUAUCUCAAGAACAAAAGCUUUUACCUUUUUGGCUAUUAUGGCAUAUUUGGAAAUCAAGAAAUGAUCUAACUUUUAACCAAAUUCAACAAAGUAUCUAUCAUACUAUUAUUAAAGCUCAAGCAGAUGUUUCCGAAUGGAUCACAGCUACAACUCCAGCGAUCCCAUCUAAUAUUAAUCAUAUCCCAAUUCAGUCUCAUAAAAUUACUUGGAGUAGACCCCCUUUGCCUUUUAUGAAGUGUAAUGUAGACGCAGCUUUUGAUCCUUAUACUUACAGAACAUCUUGUGGUUGGAUUUUACGAGACAAUGACGGUAAUCCUAGAUGUUGGGGAUCUUCUCUUCUUCCAAACUCAUCCACACCUAUUGAAGCAGAAGCAAAGGCGUUCCUAGCUGCGAUACAACAAAUCUGGAUUCGAGGAUAUCGCCAAGUCUUUUUGGAGAGUGACUGUUCUGACUUAAUAGAUAUGCUUCAAGGGAAAACUCACAAUGCCUUAAUUGAAGGGAUCUGCCGAGAUAUCUUACAAUGGACUAUUUCUUUUUCUGAUAUACAUUUUGUCUUUGCUAAGCGUUGUUGUAAUGAAGCUGCCCAUCUCCUUGCUAAGUUUGGUGUUCUAGAUAGCAAUUUCUUAUGUACGGGUGUUUGUCCACCUCGAUGGUUGCAGAAUCAAUUGUAUGCUGACAUUAUUAAUUCUUAAUCAAUAAAGUUUUUCGUUGAAAAAAAAAAAAAGAGUACACAUCCAACGUGAUACAUCGUUUCCUGCAUCCUUGAACUUAAUGACUGCAUUAGCUUUGUAGUUUAUGUAUUUAACCCCUGAAUUUGCAUUGCCAGAUCGACAAUGAUAUUGGAGAGUUCUACCUAUACAUUGACUCCAAAAAAACUUGCUAUAAUUGUUAUGAAACAUAUUAGUCGAUUCAUAAUUCGGGUCGAAUAUAAUAGUUGGAGUAAUAAGGGCAUUGCUUUGUAGUAUUUGUAGUUUUUAUUUUGUGGAAGAUGCUUUUUGUAGUAAAUAACACUAUUUGUAACAUUGAUAACUAAAUUUAGAUGCGACCAUGCAAGAACAAAUUGGAACUUUGGUUAGACGAGGUUUUAGGAUCGAAAUUUAUGGUUGGCCAAAAAGAUCUAACUACAGUUUCUUUGAAGUCCAAACUAAACUAUUUCAAAAGUCUAAGGGAGGAUUUACUGGUUUAAAGAACUGAUUUCCUGACAUCUAAACCAAAACCAUAUGUUAUAUAAACAUUUAUUUCAAUUUUUUUUGUUGAAAUCACAUGUUAUUCAUUCAUUGAUGUCUAAAUACUAGUUUAAAUCAUGUGUAAUUUUUUUAACGAUAUAAACUUGGAUUUCAAAUUUUAUAUUAGAGCACGGGCAUCUCCGAUAAUAGCUUUUGAGAGGGAUUCUAAAAAAAAAAAACUGAAGAAAGAGAAAAAACCAGUACCUAAGGGGUAAGUUUGAUUUUGAAAUCAAUCAACCACACCCAACGCAAAUCUAGGAGAGGUGGGCAACGUGAUGAGUCUCCAUGAUACUGAUUGUUAGGGAUUCAUAAAACGAUGGAGACAUAUUCUCACGGAAGUGCAAAACAUAAGUCGCUCUUGUUUCUACUUCAACUUAACCCUACUCCUCUUGUAACUCCAACAUGAGAUAGGCCUUUCUUAAGCCCAUUUCACAUUCACACUAAUUAGUUUUAUUAAGCCCAAUUAGCUUAUGUAAAAUGUAGUUCCAACACUAAAUACUAGAAGUUGUUACAAAGUUCUUGUUUGGUCUGCGACUUAAGACCAUCCUCGUUGGGGUAUAUCUUAGGAGGCUAAAAUACCUCCACUUUUUCAAAUAAAAUAUCUUAUAUAAGUGAGUGUAGGGUUCUGAAUAAAAGAACUGCUAAAGCAAACACUCAUCGAAUCUUCAAUUCGAAAAUCCUAAACUCACGAAACAACGUCAUUUUACUUAACUCUGAUGUCUCUCCAGUAUCACGGUGUCGGCUCACUCAUCGCCGUUAAGUGGUUAGCUUACAUCGUUUCAGUAUAUGUUGAUUUUGGCUGAUUUCAUAUAGUUUAGGUUAAAAAUUUAAUUUUUUUGUGAAUUUAUGUUGCUAUUUACCAGAUAUCGUAGUUUGGUAUAAAAAUACCGCUAGCAAAGCAGCAAAUAGUGUGAAUUGAUUUUUGCUAUUUCCCCCGGUCACAUGCUCAUAGUUUUACAAAAAAAAAUUAAAAUUUAGUAAUAAUUUUGUUUUGGACAAUUUUUUUUUUUUUUCAAACUGUUUGGACUAAAUAUUUAGUAAUUGUUUUAUUUCUCUUAUUUCUAUCAAUUUAGUCAGUUCCAAGAUCUCCGGUGUACCGCCGAGUUCGUUUCUCUUUCACCGUUCUCGCUCGCCGACGUCGUCCUUAUCCUUUCUCUCCUCGUCUAAUUACGUACCGCCACAUGUCUCUCUCGUCGGACUCCACCGUUCCCACGGUUUCCACUGUCACCGUAUCUUACUCAGAGCUCAAGGUUAAAGAUUGAGCCCGAACUUGUCUAUACUGUUGUCUUCUCUGUGCUCUGUUUUUGUCUUCUUUAACUCUUCUUUCUCUUUCGAUUUGACUGUUUAUAAACAGAGCGAUAUAGACUUGUCUGAGAGGAUUGAACAAGGAUUUGGACCUAAUGGACUUGGAAUACUCUCGGUUAAAGAUGUAUGGAUCACUCUUCUUACAACAACUAUGGUUGUUUGCUUUGUUCUUAAUUGGUUCAAAGAUGUAUAAAGUUUACAACUUUAUUGAAUUUGUCAUCUCAAUUGUGUUGAUUUAGGAGUAAAGAAUUCAAAUUUGAGUGUGAAGUUUGUGUUUUUAGGUUCCAGUGUUCUUACAACAACUAUGGUUGUUUGCUUUGUUCUUAGUUGGUUAAAAGAUGUAUAAAGUUCAUAACUUUAUUGAAUUUGUGCAUGUAAUUUUGUGUUGUAUAGUUAAUUCUCACCUGAAUUGUGUUGAUUUAGGAGUAAAGAUUUCAAAUUUUUGUUUUAGGUUCCAGGGUAUUCAGCUUUACGACAGAAUCUACUUCAGCUUGCACCUAGGUAAUGUUUUAAUUUUGUAUAAGUGAUUGAUUCAAUAAAAAGGUUUGAUUUUUUUUGUUUGAAUAGCUCUUAAGGGUUUACUUGGUUCCUCUGUAAAGGUUAGCUGGUCUUCCUGAAGAGGUGAAGAGGGAGCUUGAAGAUGCUCAUAGUAGGUGAAGAUUUGAUUUUCUUGUUCAGCUUAGUUUUUAGUUAUAAUCUUCUUUUCCUUUUUUGUUUCCAAUUCCCUACUCUUUUGCUUUGUUUCUUCUCAGGUACAAUUUUGGUUGGAGUCAUGGCAAAGAGAAACUUGAAUCUGGGAAGCUUGGUGAGCUUAUACAAACUUUGUUUUAUUGCUGCAGAACAGAAAUGAAAUUUCCCAGUCUAUGUCUAUGAUUAAUACUUAAUAAACAAAACGAGAUUUCGCAGUUCCAAUUAGGUGGCUAAGUAAAGCUUUUCGUUUAACAUCUUGUUUGGUUCGAUUACAUAUUACUAGAUAACUGCAAGAAAUUAUUUAGCUAUACCAUCUAUUUAGCCUUUGUAUACAAGAAGUUGAAAUGUAUAUUUUUUUUGGUGGCAAUGUAUAUCUUUGGCCUGCUCUGAUGAAAGUACUGAAAAGAAAGUUUGGGUGUUGUUUGUGCAGACAUGUUGAAAGGUUCAUACUAUGCUAAUCCUCUACAAGAUGUUCCAACAAGUAAUUCAUAUGAAAUACAGCGGUAAAUAACAUCAGUACUUAUGUUUGCAAAGUCUUUGGCUUAUGUAGCAUUCUUGAAAUGUGUUGAAAUAUUGACUGCCCGAUGGAAGUCUUGUGUUUACAUGAACUAUGUGUUCAUGUAAGGAAGUAAUAUUCUGUGUUAUGUUAUGUAUUGCUGUGUUCAGUAUCCAAAUCAGAAUAUAAAGUAGUUUUCUGUGUUAUGUUUACAUGAUCUAUGUGUUCUGCUAAAUUUAACAGACUGUUUCUCUUAUAUAAUUCAUUAAUACAUCUACGUAUUAUUUUCUUUACAUCAUGAUGUAGGUAUCCAUCAUAUUGUGGAUCAAACAUAUGGCCAAGGAAUUCGUUACCGGAACUCGAAGGAGGUAACUAGGUGAUACAUGCUUUAAUUUGGAUGUUGUUAGUUUUGUUUAAUCAGUAAUAAGCUUUUGGUGUCUCAACUUUAACACCUUGCUGUUUUUUUUAUUACGUAUCAAUGAUCACAUAUAUUGCACAAGUUUGAGAAUUUCUGGUACUGCUCGUGUUUGCAACCUUAGCUUGUUUUCAUUGAUGCUCGCUUUUGUUUUUUUCAUCUUUCCUCCAAUUAAAUGUGUGUUCUUUUUCAUUACAUAACAGCUUUCAAAGCUCUUGGUAGUCUGAUGUUCAAAGUUGGGCUUAUGGUAGCUUACCACUGUGAUCAAUAUGGUAAGUACUUUUAUUGGGGAUAUUGAAUCUAUACUUAACAUCAUUGAAUACAUGUACUCGCGACAUUGAAUCUUCAAUUGCAAAGAUUUUCUUGGAAUUGAGCGGAAAGCUGAAGCUCUCUUAUGAAUUUCAAUCCAAGAAGCAGAAAUUUUCACUGAAGUAUUAUUCCGGAAAACAGGAUCAUUAUGUGACUAUGCCUGUAGAGUAGCCUAGUUGACUUCUUACUUGUGAAAUGACGAAUAUUUAAUAUAAGUGGGUGAAUAUAAUUUCUGAAACCAGUCUAUUUUCUGGAUGCUGGCAUGGUCUUUAUAUUGUGCAUUAGCAUGACUCUGGUCCUAAAUUUUUCCAUGGUACUAGUAAUUGUCUUGAUUACAUCAUUGUCUAUUUUCUGAAUCUCUUUACAAUCCAUGAUCUGCAGUGUCAAAGGGUAUAAAACAACAUGAAAAUCAAAAUCUUGAAAAGAUACUACUUGACUCUCGUUGUCACAAAGGACGUCUGCUUUAUUAUUUUCCUGCCCAAGAAAGGUAAAAUUAGAUGCCGGCCCUUCACAAGCUCUUACUCUGCUGAUUUACAUUUGUGAUUCAGUCCCUUAGCGGUUAAUACUUGUUGAACUCAUGCUAUCUAUGCCGAAAAUUCAUCUGGGCGAAAAAAGUACUUCAUUGUCUGAUAUAUUGACAUAUUGUCUUCCAUUCAGCACGAUGCAUGACAAAGAUUCCAUCUCAUCUUGGUGCGGAUGGCAUUCGGACCAUGGUUCACUCACAGGUAUCAGAUUUUCUUCUCUCUUGCUUUUCUGAGUUGUUCAUGUUUGCCUAAGUUUAGUUGGCUCCUUUUUUUAAAGGCGGUUUGCUAGAUAUAACUGUAUAAGCAUACUUAUCUUCCUCUCUGUAUAGAUGAUAUGCAUAUAUGUUCCUCAUUUGUGAUGUGCUAUUAAAGUGUAUCCUUCUAUGAAUAUCCACAGGUCUUACUCGUGCAAUAUUUUCUAGAGAUUCAGUUGAAGUACCUUGCCCAGAUCCUGCCUCUGGCUUAUACAUACAAACACGGUCAGGUCAGAUUGUAAAGGUAAAGUAUACUGGUCUUUCCUGAAGACUGUGCAUAGUUCAGUGGAGCCUAUUUGAUAUCUAAUGGCGAAACAGAAUUUGUUCUGUCAUGAAUAUGAGCUACACACUUUGCUUAGUUGUUAUGCUUCCUUUACAUUUGAAGGUUGUGUAUGGGGAAGAUGAAAUAGCAUACCAAAUAGGCGAGACGACAGCAAUUCUGUCAAGGGGAUAUCUUUGUGCUACACCUCAUUGUGUACGGGUAAAUAUUUCUUGUAAAUAUUUCUUUGUGCCUUUGCGGAUAUGGCUCCUGGAAUAAAGAAACAUAUCUGUUCAGCAUAGAUAGUUCCUUCCAAUUGUAUUAAGCCUCAGAUCUCUCUCUCUCUCUCUCUGUACACCAAAAUGAACCCAUAGUUUCUUAUUUGUGUUCAGGCGCCACAAGGAGAAGAGGCUCGUGGUCUAGAGCGAUCGACAUUUGCAUUGUUCAUGCAACCCGACUGGUAUGAUUCUGAACUAAGAUAACUUUGGAUUGAUUUAGCAUUGGAAACAUCUUCUUGUUGGUACAAAAGUUGAUAACAACAAGAAAAUGUGAAUGUGAUGUUUUGUAGGAAUCAGAAGCUAACAUUCCCAAAGGAAGUUACAAUCCAUGAAGAGUUAUCUCUCUCUGAUAAAGUCUUGACGUUUGGAGAAUAUACAGAGAAACUUCUCAACAAAUACUACGAUACAAAACCAUAGGACCUUCUCUUUUAAUAUCACUCUGUAAAUGACGAUUCCAUUGGUGUAAGUUACUGUAUAAAAAGAACAACAAAAAGUCUCACCAAAGUUAGUAUGUUAGGUUGUUUAGAAGUGAUUUGAUUUGUCUUAGUUUGAACUUUGAACCAUAUAAACUUUACAGAAAGUACAAAAACUGGUUUGGAUUGUGUUACUAUGAACGCGUUUGGUUCAAUGUUAUAGAAGAACAUACCAAAUUACCAAUACUACAAUGAAUCUAGGGGAAAAAAACAAAGAACACAUGUCCGAACGUAAAGGUAAAGCCAAAAUGUAUUGAGUUCAAAUCGUUCAUGUGUACUAAAUGAAGCAUUCGGUACCGGUUCGGGUUAUUCGGGUUAAGAGGUAUAGCCGUAUAGGAUUCGUUCGGAUAUUUCUUAUCUUUGAUUGGGUUCAAAUAUCUAAAAUAUUAGAAAUUUUUUAAAAUGUUGGUUAGAUUUAAAAAAAAAACAUUUACUUUUUUAUAAACUUAAAAUUAACAAAUAUUUUGGAUAUUCUAAUUUUUUUUUAAUCUAAAACGUUUGAUAUUUUUGAAUUUAUAAUUGUAGUAUUGGAUAAUUGGGUUAUCUAAUUUCUAAGGAUAAUUAAUAUUUUGUAUAAGUAAUUAUAUUUCGGGUUCUCAAUUCAAAUUUCAUUUGUACGGUUUAGAAGUUUAGAACUCGUUCGAAUUUCUUUUAGUCUUCGGUUUGGAUUCGAUUUGGAAAUUUUUAAGUCGGGUUUAGUUCGGAUUUUUCGAAUUCGAGUAUUUUGACCCGCCACUAUAUUAAUCCUUUAUUCGAAUCCGAUAUAAGUCCAUCUUUUGUUAACACUUUUUGCUUCUGCAAAUUGUGAUCUCUAUAUACUCCAUUAACUAAGGUCGGUUAAAAGUUUUGGAAUCUGGUUAGGUUGGUCAAACUAACUCUACGAUGGUCCAUCAUCAAACCGAGACGUCGCUUUAGAGUCCUCAUGGACGAAUGGAUAAGGUAAGCAAAAACAAAAUUUGAGUACUUCAUUCAGACAAUGAGACAAUAGUUAGGAGACGUGGCUGUCUUAUGUUUGAAGAGGUCCACACUGUUAUAUAGUACAAUAAAAGAGUUUUGCAAGUAGUUAAUAUAUCUUUACACGGCUACACGCUUUUAAACUCUCUAGUGGCCUUUCGCAGUUCCAAUAGUGUACUUGUCAGCAUCUUCUUUUCUAAUUCGAUUCUAUCACUUGGCCAAUAAGGAGACCAUACCCAUAAAAAGUUGUAAAGAAAAAUAUAAUGAAUAUGUCGUUGUGGUACCAAACAGUUAUGGGAAGAUCUAAUGCCAUGCACUAAAAGAGAUAGAGAGCUCGGUAUAUAAUCCGAAUCUGAAAAAUCCGAUCAAAAAAUCUAUAUUAUGAACCGGUUUUGGUUAUUUAAAUAAAUUCCAAUCGGCUAUAAUUGCAACCGUAUUUCUGCUAAAUCGUAACACUAUACAUACAUGUUAUCAAUUUUAUGUUUAAUUUAGAAUAUACCUUUUCAUUCCAAAUUAUAUUUAUUUAUCCGUAUUUGGAAUGAAAUAGUAUAUUUGGAUUUGUUCGGAUAAUUCAAAUCCAAAUCCAUAUUAUUAAUUUUAUGCUUAAUUCGGAUUGGGUAAAUACGGAUAAUUCUGAUUUGUUUGGACACUUUGGAUUUCUGAUAAAAAAAAUUAAGUUUAUUUGGGAUGAAAUAGUAUAUUUGGAUUUGUUCGGAUAAUUCAAAUCCAAAUCCAUAUUAUUAUUUUUAUGCUUAAUUCGGAUUGGGUAAAUACGGAUAAUUCGGAUUUGUUUGGACACUUCAGAUUUCUGAUAAAAUUUUUUUAUAAACCAAUGCAAAUUACCUGACAGAUUUGAAUUCAAAAGAUGAACUAUUCGAUCCAAUUCGAACUCCCCAACUCUCAAGUAAAGAAGAAAAAGAGUACGAGAAUGAUUUUUGAUGGAACAAAAUAAAUUAGGAAAAGACAAUUGUUAUACGUAUAUUAUAUGGUCCAGUGUCUGCGCUCCCAUAUGGUAGAAGAGUCAAAUAAGUAUGUUAAGAUUCCAGAACCUUUUAAUAGAUGCAUAUAAGAUUGGAUCCACUACUCUUACAGAAUCCAAAUACAAAAAUUUAUAAUCUAAAAUCUAUAAUUCCAAAACAGCUUAAAAUCUCUCAAACAUUCAUGGCCUGAAUUUUAUGAAAAAACAAUAAUAUAUUUCGUAUAUAACGUAUAUUUACUAGUUUAAAUAUUAAAAAAAAAUUUCAAUAUCCAAAACUUUUAUUAUCUAUUUGAUAUUGUGGGUAUGUUUGGAUAUUUAUCCGAGUUCGGAUUUGGAUCGAGUACGAAAUCGGUUUAUCGGGUUCGAAUAUUAUACCGACACCUAUUUAAUUCAAUAAAAAGAUAUAUCACAAUUACAAAUAGAAAGAUAUCACAAUUUUUUUUUAAGAAAAAAAAAAAGAAAAAAGAAAAAAUCACAAACAGAAAGAUAUCAAAUUACAAAAAGAAAAAAUUGGAUAUAUUUGUAUAAAGAUUAGAAAGGGCAAUAACAUAAAAACCAACAAAUAGAAAACGUGUAAAAGAUAAAGAUAAAAAAAAAAGAUGAGAUUCGUAGAAAGAAACUACUAAAGCGUUACGUCCAUAGGACCACGUAGCAGCCGCGUCCUCUUCUCCUAUAAAUAACUCUCACGACGUCACUCAUCAUCUUAACUCUUAAGUCUCUUUUCACACCAUCCACCAUUAGAACCGAUCUUGCUCUAUCUCUCUUUCUCAGACACACAUAUAUGUCCACUUCUUGUCCUCAGACUAAACCGAACCGGAUCAAAACCAGCUUCGGAGAUCGGUGUUUACUCAUGGCUAAGCAGCAAAGAACUAGGCUUUAUAUACUUCGACGUUGUGUUUCUAUGUUGCUUUGUUGGCACGACCACUCUAUUCAUGAUUAGAGGAAGGAAAGAGACAAUCUUUGUCGGAAGCAUGAACCGGAACUGACCAAGAAGUAGAUAGAUAUCAGAAGAAGAAUGUUUUUGUGGUUUAGUAGAGUUUGUGGUUCUUUUUUUAACUUUGAGAACUCUUUGGGGAAUCUUUGUAAUUUGAGAAAGAUUCUAAUGAAUGGGCCUUUUGGGCUUUUGUGUACAACUGUGAAAUAGCAUAUGAUCCUUUUUAUUUUGGGUACUCAAUGGCCAUAGUUAUAUGUCAUCAUUUUACUAGUAGUAGUGAAUUACUGCUAGUGGUGUUAUUUACUUUUUUUUUUUUCAACAUUGGGCCACAACUUGCAGGCCCGUUAGUGUAAUCCCUACAAAUAUAUAGGAAGCAUGACUCGAUCCCUAGUGUGAUAGUGCAUGUCCAUCAGUGGACUUAUCAUUUGCCACUAGACUAAGGUCAUUUCAUGAUGUUAUUUACAUUUUUGCAACACUUUUUGAAAAAACCUUGAAGUUGGAAGUUAAUUACAAGGCUAUGCCAUUGACAUUAUUUAUUUAGUCAAAUUUCUAAAAACUAAUAAUUAUUAUUUUUUAACAAAAUCCCUAAAAAUCUUCCUAAUAAAUAUAAUAUCAUUUCUUAUUUUCCACAUUUUCUCAAAUAUUUUUCCAAAGUCUUUAUAUGAUCUUAUUUGUUUUUAAUUUAUUUUAUUACAUCAAACAUAUGUAUCGUAAAAAUACAAUUUUUCCACAUAUAUAGUAAUUUGAAUUUUUUUAAACUAAUGUAUAUUACAAAUUUUUUUGGGGGAAUUUCAAAAAUACCCCUUUUCAAAUACCACUUUUUAUAAGUACCCCUCUUUUUAAUUUUAUCAAAAAAUCACUAUAAAUUUUGAAAUUUAUCAAAAAUCUAUGUGUAAGCUUAUAUUUAAAGACACAAAUUAUCUUUAUAUGUGUGUAAAUUUACAUAUAUAUUUCAUAAAUACCGUAUACAUACCUUUUAAAAAUCAUUUAAAAACCUUAUAAAAACCUUGUAAACCUUUUAAAACCUUAUAAAAAUCUUAUAAAUGCCGUUUAUAACCUUUUAAAACCUUAUAAAUAUUUGGAUUUAGUCUCCCAGUAGUAGUGAUGAUCUUGAUGUACCUUAUCAACCAUAUAAAAGUUUAUAAUUUUUCAUAUUUAAAAAGAGGUAUUUUUGAAAAUGGAUAGAAAAGAGGGGUAUUUUUAAAAAGGGGUAGACCAAAAAGGGCAUUUUUCAAAAAUUCUCAAUUUUUUUAGCAUAUAUACAACAUCCAAUAUCGAUUAUAUUUUUUUGAUAAUGGUUCAAGACCUUUAUAAAUAAAAUUAUAACCUUCCAACUACGAAUGACAAGACUAUAAACAUGGGUUUAUUUUUUUGGGGAAUAUAUGACGGGACGGGUUGUAAGACGGGAAUGAUUGUAAACUAUUUAUAAAGUUUAAAAUAUUUAAAAUAUUGAAAAUUUUUAAAAUCUUCAGUGUUAUCAAUAUUUUAGCUCUACACCAAAUUUAUACUAAAAUAUUAUUGACUUUGCCAUUCUUUUAAAUAUGGAUUUACUUUUUGGUGAUUAUGACAUGACGGGUAUAACACGAGAAAUGUUGUAAUAUGCAACCAACAUAUUAUAUGACGUGAGAUUGUAAGACGGAACGAGUUUAAGUUGAUAUUACUAAAAGAAUCUAAUAUUAUUAAUGUCACAGUUCAAUACAUGUCAUUUUACAUAUAAAACAUGUAUAAUGAAACUGGUUUAGUAAAGUUUGAUAUUAUGCAAUCUUUAUAAUUAUUAAAUAAAUUCCAACAAAACCUAUCAAUUUUUAAAAACAUGAAUUACAAAGAAAAUAUUUAUCGCGCGGUGUACCGCGGUUUAAAAUCUAGUUCUUAAUAAAAUAUCAAAUUUUUUUGCCUUUUUGGUAUCGAUUUAGCAUUGUUAAGACUUAGGGCUUGAUUAGUUUAAAUGCAUCGGUUAGUUGCGGUUGCAGGAGCUUGCGGACGCUGGCGAUUGUGGUUUCAAGCGGUAUUAAGCGUUUGAACGAUUGGUUUAGCGUUUAAAAACAUGUGCAUUUUCGGAAGCUUUAUGACUGGUUAGCCAGCGGGGGUAGUAGCAAUUAAAUCAGAAAUCUCAUUUUUGUUUUUGUUUUGGCAAUGUUACAUUUAUAGGUCUUGCUUGACGUGAUAGGCUGAUAACUAUAGUUCCUAAAUCAUAGAAAUCCAUAUAGGCAUAACCAAAAGCUAAACUUAACCGUAUUACUAACCGUAACCGGACCGUUUAUAAACCCUAACCGUACAAAACGGUUAAGAAACGUAAUUAUUAGCCGUACAAGUAAAUUAAUUACGGUUUAAAAAAAUACUAACCGUAACCAUUAAUUAACCGUAACCGUAAUAAACCGCCGGUUAACCAUACCGUUAAACGUUUGGUUAACCGCACAUUUAAAGCCUUAAUUUUCACCUUAUUAAAAGCAACACGACAAAUUGAAUUUGUAAGGUAAUCAAAACAUUUCAUACUAAACUAUUUUUACUCAUAUUUUUGUGUGUAUUUGAUGUUGAGUUUCUCAGUUUCGAUCCAAUAGCCAGACUUAACUAAUUCACUGCAAAUAUUUGAAAUCACAUAUUUUUUUUACCUGUAAAAUAAAUAGUAUUUCAUAAGUUUUUGUCUCCAAUAUUAAUAUUAUAAUAAUCAUCAAAUAACUGUAACUGUGUUUAACCGUAACCGUAUAUACCCGUAACCGUCUUAACCGUAUAUAUAAUGGUUAAGAUUAUUCUUAAAGAAAAUUAUAAUCGUUAACUGGUGGUUAAUUAACCAUAACCUCAUUAACCGUAACUCUGGUCAUGCCUAAAUCCAUAACCAGAGGACGCUCUAUAUAUCAUGCUUAUUUAUAAGAUGUUUAAGGUCUGAGCUGUAAAACUAACCAAAAGAUCUAAUUUUAAAAAUGACCACAACUUAUACUAUAACUUGGAAUUGAUUCAAUUAUAUUUUAUGUUCAAAACGAGUUAUACUUUUCAAUUAUGAUUGAAAUUUUACUAAUCGGAAUUAUAGUAUGUCCGUGAUUUAAUUUUAAUACAUGAUGAUUAUUUUUAAAAGUACAUUAUAUAUCUAUACAUGUUUUCACAUUUCAUACGUAUACUCGAAUCAUAAAACAAAGCCUAAGAAAUUGCUUGUAUGAUCCCACAUUCAAUUAUACUAUCCAAGGGUUUGGAUGAGAAUUCAUUGAAAUGGGUGGUUAUAAGAUCACGUAUUUGAAAACUUAAUUAGUCAGGAAACUGGUGAUAAUAUCAUCCGCAUUGGGAAAGGUAAAAGAAUCAAGAAGUCUUAAAUAUAUAUACUAUGUUCGUUUCAUAAUCACAAGCGGCUGCGAUAGCGAUUUUAAAAUUGUGAGAUGUUGUUCAUUUAGUAAUCACGCGAUUAAUCGUGAUUAAAAAAGCCGCGUCGCUGUUUUCCGUCAAUUAAAAAUCUUAGACGUAGCAACAGUUAAUCGCAACAUUUAGUCGUAUGGCCAUGCUACUGUCAAACAAACAACUUUCACUCGCAAUCACAAUCACAUGCCUCAUGCGACUGUAAGACGAACAUCCCAAUACUAUGAUAUCCUAUGUGUGUUUUUAUUGUUUCUUGAUAACAACAAUCUAUCAUUUCAAAUGAAAUGGAGAAAAUGAAUUGAAUUGGAUGAACGAUCUCAAAAAUGUCUCCCCAUUAAAGAUGGUUCACGGCUCUACAUAUUGGAUAGAGCUUAUAUUAGGAAUCAGAGAGAGCAUCAUGCAUAAUAGACUAAUCUUCUGUUUAGGAGUGAGGAGGCAUAACUUUUAGACCUUAUAAGAAUAUAUAUAUGUUUAUAAUAUGUAAUAAAGUUACUUUUCUCUUAUCCAUUAAAAUUGUUAACAUAAAAAUGAUAUUAUUGGAUGCAUUUUAAAAUUAAAGCUAAUACUAAUAAGAGAGAAACUAAAAAAAACUAUUAUUUUUCUCUAAUAUAUAAUAAAAUAAUAAAGUAUCACUAAGUAGAUAUAGUCCAUUAUCAUGCAAGUUUCUCAUGGUUCCCACCAAAAAAAAAAUGCAAGUUUCUCAUGGUCGAUACUAGUUUUGACUAAUGUUCUAUCACGAAAUACAACAUGCGUUAGGAUUUUCAUCACUAAACAUCAUAUAUCUUUCAUCAGCAGUACUUGGGUUUAUAUAAACACCUCUUAAAUGUUCUUCGUCCCUUUUCUUUUUCUCCAUUUUUUGUAUCCUUUUACGCAUCCUUUUCUUAAGUUUCUUCAAUAAUUUCUCCUUAUCAAAGUCGCCAGUGAUUACAAUUUUUUGGUUUACUAUAUCGACAUCACAUGUUUUGACACCUAUUCAUACAAAAGAAAUGAUUAUAGACCACAUUUUGUUAUAUUCUUAUCUCAUUAUUUUGAAUAAAAGUAGAUUUAUUAUUUACCUUCAAAUUUAGAAAUUACUUUUCCGACAUCUUUCUCGAGCUUAUCACAUAGAAAUGUCAAAUGGAUUUCGACUUCUUUUGUACUACAAAAAAAAUGAAUAAUUAGGACACAUGUACGCCCUAAAAAAGUAGUUUUGUUGCAACUUUCAUAAUUAAUGGAAAUGGUUGAUUAGUAAAAAGUGAUAAUACACCUUGUUUGAGCUGUAUCAAUUUGUUCUUCUACUUCAGGAUUCUCAUUAUUUUCUGUAAUUGUCUCAUGUUCAUCAUUUUCUUCUUGGAUUUCUUCAUCUUCUUCGAGUUCUUCAUCUUCUUGGACUCCAUCGUCUUCUUGCUCAUUCACCAUCAAGACUUUUGCAUUUUUACGAGUUUUUUUCUUGAGUGUUUUCAAUAGCUUCUCCAAAUUAAAUGUACCAGUGACCAUGACUUUUUGAUUAGCCAUAUCCGUUGUACAUGCUUCAACUCCUAGCAAUCACAUAUCAUUUAAAGUUAUUAUUAUAACAUGAUUACUGUAUCAUCCUUAAUAAUAUAUAUAAUGGGUUCAAAACAUUACGAAAUAGCCAAUGCAUUAUGGCCACUUUUCUUCAUGAUAUUUUAUUUAGCAAAACAUGAUUGUUUUGAAAUUAAAUCAUAACGAUAGUAUUAAAUUAUCUAUUACACCAAAAUAUAGAAAAUACUAAGUAUUUAUAAAAAAAUAUAGUUCAAUGCAGAAACCCUAAGGUCUAAUUUGUACCACAAAUAAGAAUCUAUUUGCUUGCCUUGGAAUUUGCAAAUAGCUCUUUUGACAUCUCUUGCACAUUUACCACAAUGCAUCCCAAUCUGCAACUCGACUUCGAUUGAAUUGCUGAAUAUAUGUUCAAAAGAGAAAAUAAUUGUAACAUCGUAAUAACAUAUAAAAGACACAACUCUUAUUUAAUUUACAUAUAUAUGUAUAUGAGGAAUAUAUAUUAUGUUUACUCAACGUUUCUGGAAUAGUUCGUCGUGACCGCUUUGGCAAACAACCCAUGGAUAUCUCAAUAAGAGAAGAAUGUUUUAGACACACAAUGAUAAAAAUUUUCAUCAAAUUACAAAUAGAGGACUUAUAUAGAAAAUAUUUUCCAUAAUAAUGUGUCAAAAUAUACAUAUAUUUAUUUUAAUUUAUUUUUGGUAUCUAAACAAUUUAAUCAUAAUUUUAGGGAAAUGAAUAACUAUGUUGCUUUCUUAUCAAUUUCCUUAAAAGUUUUUAUUUUUUGACCCAAAAAUUUCCCAUUUCAUUUAUAUUUUUUUAAUAAAAAUCUUAUAAUAUUUAAUUUUGAUGGUGUUCUUAAGUUAAGAAAAAUUAAUUUUUAUCUAUAAAUUUUUCAUAAUCAUUAAGCCCAUGUCAGCUUUAUCAACUAUUUGACAUGUGUAAAAAUAAGACUAGAUAUAGGAAUUGAAAAAAUAAUAAUUAAGAAGCUAUAUAUGAAAGAUUUCUUUGAUUGAAAAGGUUCUUUCAACAAGUAUACAAUUUAAUUAACUAUGAGAAAAGUGUGGUCGGGAUUCACAACUCGUGAAUGUAACUAUGAAUCACAUAUAUGAAAACUCAGUUAGUAGGAAACUGAAGAUAAUAUCAUCUGAAUUGGGAAAUGGUGAUAACUAAGAAGUUUUAAAUAUAUAUACUAUGAUUAUGAUUCUUGUACCAUUCCAAAUGAAAUGGAUAGCAAAACGAGAAUUGGAUGGUUCACGACUUUACAUAUCAGGGUAGACUAUGAUAUGAAAUAGGGGGAGAGAGAAUCAUGCGUAAUAGACUAUUCUUCUAUUUAUGAGUGUAAUGGAAGCAUAGCUUUUUUGGACCUUAUAAAAUUUUUUUCUCUUAACCAUAAAAUUUUAUGUAAUAAAAAUUUUUUUCUCUUAACCAUAAUUUUUUCUGUAAUAAAAUUAUUUUUUCUCUUAACCAUAAAAUUUUUAACAUAAAAUGAUAUUAAUUGGGUGCAGUUAAAAGAUAAAGCUUAUACUAAAAAGAGAAACUGAAACCAAACUAUUAUUUUUUCUCCAUUAUAUAGUAAAAUAACCAAGUAUCAUCAAAUAGAUAUAGUAUGUUAUCAUGCCAAGUUUUUUAUGGUUGGUAUUAGUUUCGACUAUGUUAUAUUAUAAAAUAGAACAUGUGUUAGGAUUUUCAUCACUAAACAUCAUAUAUAUGGCCAUCUCUUUUUCAUCAGCACUACUAGGGUUCAUAUAAAUACCCCUAUCUAUAUCAGUUUCUUCAUAUUUAUUUAAAGGUUCUUCGUCCUUUUCUUCUUCUCCAUUUUUUUAAUCCUUUUACGCAUUUUUUUCUUUAGUUUCUUCAAUAAUUUCUCCUUAUGAAAGUCGCCAGUGAUUACAAUUUUUUGGUUUAGUAUAUCGACAUCACAUUUUUUUACACCUAUUCAUACAUCAUCCAAAAGAAAUGAUUAUAGAACACAUCUUGUUGUAUUUAGUAUCUCAUUAAUUUAGAGUAAAAAGAUUUAGUAUUUACCUUCAAAUUUAGAAAUAACUUUUCCGAUAUCUUCCUCGAACUUCUCACAAAGAAAUGCCAUAUGGAUUUCAACUUCUGUUGUACUACCAAAAAAAAAAAUUAUAACAGAUGUAAUAUCUUAAACAAAUAUCCUUAAACCAACAAAGAAAACCCUAAAAAAAUAGUUUUGUUGCAAGUUUCAUAGUUAAUGAAAAUUGUUGAUUAGUAAGAAGUGAUAAUACACCUUGUUUGAGGUGUAUCAAUUGUCUCUUCUACGUCAGGAUUCUCAUUAUUCUCUGUAAUUGCCCCAUCAUAUUCAUCAUUUUCUUCUUGGACUACUUCAUCUUCUUGGACUACUUCAUCUUCUUGCACUACUUCAUCUUCAUGGACUACUUCAUCUUCCUGGGCUACUUCAUUUUCCUGGGCUACUUCAUGUCCAUCAUCUUCUUUCUCAUUCACCAUCAAGAUUUCUGCCUUUUUACGAGUUCGUUUCUUGAGAGUUUUCAAUAGCUUAUCCACAUUAAAAUUACCAGUGAUCAUAACUUUUUGAGUAGCCAUAUCUAUUGUAUAUGAUUUAACUCCUAGCAAUCACAGACCAAUUAAAUUUAUUAUUGCUAUAAUAUCCUUGAUAAUAUAUGUGAUCCAAAGCAUUGUGGCCAUUUUUCAUUAUGAUAUUCCAUUCCCCCCACUAUAACUCCACAAUCAUUUUUUAAAAAAUCUUUUAAUAUGUAAUAUGUAAAUCAUUAAAAAGAUUCAGAAAAAGUGAUGUAAGCCUAAUGAUAGCUUUAAAUUAUCAAUUUCACUAAAAUAUAAAAAAGGUGAGUAUUUUUUUAUAAAAAAAUAUUAUUCAAUGCAAAAUCCAAAGGUGUAAUUUUUAUCACAAAUAAGAUCUAUAUAGUAUCAGGAGUAUGAACUAUAAUAUAAUAUAUAUAUAUAUAAUUUGCUUGCCUUUAAAUUUGCAAAUAGCUCUUUUGACUUCUUUUACACAUUUCUCACAACGCAUCCCAAUCUUCAACUCGAUUUCAAUUGAAUUGCUGAAUAUAUUUUCAAAAGAGAAAUGAAUGUAGCAUCGUAAGAACAUAUAAAAGACACAACUCUUAUUUAAUUUACAAAUAUAUAUGAAGAAUAUAAAUAUAUGUAUAUAUAUAUAUAUAUCUUAUGUUACUCAACUUUUUUGGAAUAUUUCGUCGUGACAGCUUUGACAAACAAUAAUAGAGGACUUAUAUAUAAAAAAAAUUCCUNNNNNNNNNNNNNNNNNNNNNNNNNNNNNNNNNNNNNNNNNNNNNNNNNNNNNNNNNNNNNNNNNNNNNNNNNNNNNNNNNNNNNNNNNNNNNNNNNNNNNNNNNNNNNNNNNNNNNNNNNNNNNNNNNNNNNNNNNNNNNNNNNNNNNNNNNNNNNNNNNNNNNNNNNNNNNNNNNNNNNNNNNNNNNNNNNNNNNNNNNNNNNNNNNNNNNNNNNNNNNNNNNNNNNNNNNNNNNNNNNNNNNNNNNNNNNNNNNNNNNNNNNNNNNNNNNNNNNNNNNNNNNNNNNNNNNNNNNNNNNNNNNNNNNNNNNNNNNNNNNNNNNNNNNNNNNNNNNNNNNNNNNNNNNNNNNNNNNNNNNNNNNNNNNNNNNNNNNNNNNNNNNNNNNNNNNNNNNNNNNNNNNNNNNNNNNNNNNNNNNNNNNNNNNNNNNNNNNNNNNNNNNNNNNNNNNNNNNNNNNNNNNNNNNNNNNNNNNNNNNNNNNNNNNNNNNNNNNNNNNNNNNNNNNNNNNNNNNNNNNNNNNNNNNNNNNNNNNNNNNNNNNNNNNNNNNNNNNNNNNNNNNNNNNNNNNNNNNNNNNNNNNNNNNNNNNNNNNNNNNNNNNNNNNNNNNNNNNNNNNNNNNNNNNNNNNNNNNNNNNNNNNNNNNNNNNNNNNNNNNNNNNNNNNNNNNNNNNNNNNNNNNNNNNNNNNNNNNNNNNNNNNNNNNNNNNNNNNNNNNNNNNNNNNNNNNNNNNNNNNNNNNNNNNNNNNNNNNNNNNNNNNNNNNNNNNNNNNNNNNNNNNNNNNNNNNNNNNNNNNNNNNNNNNNNNNNNNNNNNNNNNNNNNNNNNNNNNNNNNNNNNNNNNNNNNNNNNNNNNNNNNNNNNNNNNNNNNNNNNNNNNNNNNNNNNNNNNNNNNNNNNNNNNNNNNNNNNNNNNNNNNNNNNNNNNNNNNNNNNNNNNNNNNNNNNNNNNNNNNNNNNNNNNNNNNNNNNNNNNNNNNNNNNNNNNNNNNNNNNNNNNNNNNNNNNNNNNNNNNNNNNNNNNNNNNNNNNNNNNNNNNNNNNNNNNNNNNNNNNNNNNNNNNNNNNNNNNNNNNNNNNNNNNNNNNNNNNNNNNNNNNNNNNNNNNNNNNNNNNNNNNNNNNNNNNNNNNNNNNNNNNNNNNNNNNNNNNNNNNNNNNNNNNNNNNNNNNNNNNNNNNNNNNNNNNNNNNNNNNNNNNNNNNNNNNNNNNNNNNNNNNNNNNNNNNNNNNNNNNNNNNNNNNNNNNNNNNNNNNNNNNNNNNNNNNNNNNNNNNNNNNNNNNNNNNNNNNNNNNNNNNNNNNNNNNNNNNNNNNNNNNNNNNNNNNNNNNNNNNNNNNNNNNNNNNNNNNNNNNNNNNNNNNNNNNNNNNNNNNNNNNNNNNNNNNNNNNNNNNNNNNNNNNNNNNNNNNNNNNNNNNNNNNNNNNNNNNNNNNNNNNNNNNNNNNNNNNNNNNNNNNNNNNNNNNNNNNNNNNNNNNNNNNNNNNNNNNNNNNNNNNNNNNNNNNNNNNNNNNNNNNNNNNNNNNNNNNNNNNNNNNNNNNNNNNNNNNNNNNNNNNNNNNNNNNNNNNNNNNNNNNNNNNNNNNNNNNNNNNNNNNNNNNNNNNNNNNNNNNNNNNNNNNNNNNNNNNNNNNNNNNNNNNNNNNNNNNNNNNNNNNNNNNNNNNNNNNNNNNNNNNNNNNNNNNNNNNNNNNNNNNNNNNNNNNNNNNNNNNNNNNNNNNNNNNNNNNNNNNNNNNNNNNNNNNNNNNNNNNNNNNNNNNNNNNNNNNNNNNNNNNNNNNNNNNNNNNNNNNNNNNNNNNNNNNNNNNNNNNNNNNNNNNNNNNNNNNNNNNNNNNNNNNNNNNNNNNNNNNNNNNNNNNNNNNNNNNNNNNNNNNNNNNNNNNNNNNNNNNNNNNNNNNNNNNNNNNNNNNNNNNNNNNNNNNNNNNNNNNNNNNNNNNNNNNNNNNNNNNNNNNNNNNNNNNNNNNNNNNNNNNNNNNNNNNNNNNNNNNNNNNNNNNNNNNNNNNNNNNNNNNNNNNNNNNNNNNNNNNNNNNNNNNNNNNNNNNNNNNNNNNNNNNNNNNNNNNNNNNNNNNNNNNNNNNNNNNNNNNNNNNNNNNNNNNNNNNNNNNNNNNNNNNNNNNNNNNNNNNNNNNNNNNNNNNNNNNNNNNNNNNNNNNNNNNNNNNNNNNNNNNNNNNNNNNNNNNNNNNNNNNNNNNNNNNNNNNNNNNNNNNNNNNNNNNNNNNNNNNNNNNNNNNNNNNNNNNNNNNNNNNNNNNNNNNNNNNNNNNNNNNNNNNNNNNNNNNNNNNNNNNNNNNNNNNNNNNNNNNNNNNNNNNNNNNNNNNNNNNNNNNNNNNNNNNNNNNNNNNNNNNNNNNNNNNNNNNNNNNNNNNNNNNNNNNNNNNNNNNNNNNNNNNNNNNNNNNNNNNNNNNNNNNNNNNNNNNNNNNNNNNNNNNNNNNNNNNNNNNNNNNNNNNNNNNNNNNNNNNNNNNNNNNNNNNNNNNNNNNNNNNNNNNNNNNNNNNNNNNNNNNNNNNNNNNNNNNNNNNNNNNNNNNNNNNNNNNNNNNNNNNNNNNNNNNNNNNNNNNNNNNNNNNNNNNNNNNNNNNNNNNNNNNNNNNNNNNNNNNNNNNNNNNNNNNNNNNNNNNNNNNNNNNNNNNNNNNNNNNNNNNNNNNNNNNNNNNNNNNNNNNNNNNNNNNNNNNNNNNNNNNNNNNNNNNNNNNNNNNNNNNNNNNNNNNNNNNNNNNNNNNNNNNNNNNNNNNNNNNNNNNNNNNNNNNNNNNNNNNNNNNNNNNNNNNNNNNNNNNNNNNNNNNNNNNNNNNNNNNNNNNNNNNNNNNNNNNNNNNNNNNNNNNNNNNNNNNNNNNNNNNNNNNNNNNNNNNNNNNNNNNNNNNNNNNNNNNNNNNNNNNNNNNNNNNNNNNNNNNNNNNNNNNNNNNNNNNNNNNNNNNNNNNNNNNNNNNNNNNNNNNNNNNNNNNNNNNNNNNNNNNNNNNNNNNNNNNNNNNNNNNNNNNNNNNNNNNNNNNNNNNNNNNNNNNNNNNNNNNNNNNNNNNNNNNNNNNNNNNNNNNNNNNNNNNNNNNNNNNNNNNNNNNNNNNNNNNNNNNNNNNNNNNNNNNNNNNNNNNNNNNNNNNNNNNNNNNNNNNNNNNNNNNNNNNNNNNNNNNNNNNNNNNNNNNNNNNNNNNNNNNNNNNNNNNNNNNNNNNNNNNNNNNNNNNNNNNNNNNNNNNNNNNNNNNNNNNNNNNNNNNNNNNNNNNNNNNNNNNNNNNNNNNNNNNNNNNNNNNNNNNNNNNNNNNNNNNNNNNNNNNNNNNNNNNNNNNNNNNNNNNNNNNNNNNNNNNNNNNNNNNNNNNNNNNNNNNNNNNNNNNNNNNNNNNNNNNNNNNNNNNNNNNNNNNNNNNNNNNNNNNNNNNNNNNNNNNNNNNNNNNNNNNNNNNNNNNNNNNNNNNNNNNNNNNNNNNNNNNNNNNNNNNNNNNNNNNNNNNNNNNNNNNNNNNNNNNNNNNNNNNNNNNNNNNNNNNNNNNNNNNNNNNNNNNNNNNNNNNNNNNNNNNNNNNNNNNNNNNNNNNNNNNNNNNNNNNNNNNNNNNNNNNNNNNNNNNNNNNNNNNNNNNNNNNNNNNNNNNNNNNNNNNNNNNNNNNNNNNNNNNNNNNNNNNNNNNNNNNNNNNNNNNNNNNNNNNNNNNNNNNNNNNNNNNNNNNNNNNNNNNNNNNNNNNNNNNNNNNNNNNNNNNNNNNNNNNNNNNNNNNNNNNNNNNNNNNNNNNNNNNNNNNNNNNNNNNNNNNNNNNNNNNNNNNNNNNNNNNNNNNNNNNNNNNNNNNNNNNNNNNNNNNNNNNNNNNNNNNNNNNNNNNNNNNNNNNNNNNNNNNNNNNNNNNNNNNNNNNNNNNNNNNNNNNNNNNNNNNNNNNNNNNNNNNNNNNNNNNNNNNNNNNNNNNNNNNNNNNNNNNNNNNNNNNNNNNNNNNNNNNNNNNNNNNNNNNNNNNNNNNNNNNNNNNNNNNNNNNNNNNNNNNNNNNNNNNNNNNNNNNNNNNNNNNNNNNNNNNNNNNNNNNNNNNNNNNNNNNNNNNNNNNNNNNNNNNNNNNNNNNNNNNNNNNNNNNNNNNNNNNNNNNNNNNNNNNNNNNNNNNNNNNNNNNNNNNNNNNNNNNNNNNNNNNNNNNNNNNNNNNNNNNNNNNNNNNNNNNNNNNNNNNNNNNNNNNNNNNNNNNNNNNNNNNNNNNNNNNNNNNNNNNNNNNNNNNNNNNNNNNNNNNNNNNNNNNNNNNNNNNNNNNNNNNNNNNNNNNNNNNNNNNNNNNNNNNNNNNNNNNNNNNNNNNNNNNNNNNNNNNNNNNNNNNNNNNNNNNNNNNNNNNNNNNNNNNNNNNNNNNNNNNNNNNNNNNNNNNNNNNNNNNNNNNNNNNNNNNNNNNNNNNNNNNNNNNNNNNNNNNNNNNNNNNNNNNNNNNNNNNNNNNNNNNNNNNNNNNNNNNNNNNNNNNNNNNNNNNNNNNNNNNNNNNNNNNNNNNNNNNNNNNNNNNNNNNNNNNNNNNNNNNNNNNNNNNNNNNNNNNNNNNNNNNNNNNNNNNNNNNNNNNNNNNNNNNNNNNNNNNNNNNNNNNNNNNNNNNNNNNNNNNNNNNNNNNNNNNNNNNNNNNNNNNNNNNNNNNNNNNNNNNNNNNNNNNNNNNNNNNNNNNNNNNNNNNNNNNNNNNNNNNNNNNNNNNNNNNNNNNNNNNNNNNNNNNNNNNNNNNNNNNNNNNNNNNNNNNNNNNNNNNNNNNNNNNNNNNNNNNNNNNNNNNNNNNNNNNNNNNNNNNNNNNNNNNNNNNNNNNNNNNNNNNNNNNNNNNNNNNNNNNNNNNNNNNNNNNNNNNNNNNNNNNNNNNNNNNNNNNNNNNNNNNNNNNNNNNNNNNNNNNNNNNNNNNNNNNNNNNNNNNNNNNNNNNNNNNNNNNNNNNNNNNNNNNNNNNNNNNNNNNNNNNNNNNNNNNNNNNNNNNNNNNNNNNNNNNNNNNNNNNNNNNNNNNNNNNNNNNNNNNNNNNNNNNNNNNNNNNNNNNNNNNNNNNNNNNNNNNNNNNNNNNNNNNNNNNNNNNNNNNNNNNNNNNNNNNNNNNNNNNNNNNNNNNNNNNNNNNNNNNNNNNNNNNNNNNNNNNNNNNNNNNNNNNNNNNNNNNNNNNNNNNNNNNNNNNNNNNNNNNNNNNNNNNNNNNNNNNNNNNNNNNNNNNNNNNNNNNNNNNNNNNNNNNNNNNNNNNNNNNNNNNNNNNNNNNNNNNNNNNNNNNNNNNNNNNNNNNNNNNNNNNNNNNNNNNNNNNNNNNNNNNNNNNNNNNNNNNNNNNNNNNNNNNNNNNNNNNNNNNNNNNNNNNNNNNNNNNNNNNNNNNNNNNNNNNNNNNNNNNNNNNNNNNNNNNNNNNNNNNNNNNNNNNNNNNNNNNNNNNNNNNNNNNNNNNNNNNNNNNNNNNNNNNNNNNNNNNNNNNNNNNNNNNNNNNNNNNNNNNNNNNNNNNNNNNNNNNNNNNNNNNNNNNNNNNNNNNNNNNNNNNNNNNNNNNNNNNNNNNNNAUAUAUAUAUGUAUAUAUAUAUAUAUAUAUAUAUAUAUAUAUAUAUAUUGGUAUCUAUACAAUUUAGGGAAAUGUAUACCUAUGUUGCUUUCUUAUCAAUAAACUCUAAUUUUUUGAAAUAAAUCUUAUUAUAUUCAAUUUUGAUGGUGCUCUUAAGGUAAAAAGGUACUUUUCUUAUCUUUUAAUUUUUUUUUAUAUCAUUAAACACUUGUCAGAUUUGUGAAUUAUUUGACAUGUGUAAAAAUAAGACUAGAUAUAGGAAUUGGAGAAAAAAAAUAAAGAACUUUAUACAUAAAAAAAAUCUUGGUUAAAAAGGGUCUUUCAAUAAGAUUACAAAAUAAAUUAGAGAAUUUUUGAGAAAUAUCCCCUUUUCAAAAAAUCCCCUACUUUUCUAUUCAAUUUCAAAAUACCCCUUUCCAAAUAUGAAAAAUUAUAAAAUUUUAUAUAGUUUAUAAGGUACAUCUAGCUCAUUAUUAUUACUAGGAGACUCGAUCCAAAUAUUUAUAAGGUUUUAAGAGGUUCUAAAAUGCUUUUAUAAGGUUUUUACAAAGUUUACAAAAAAUUAUCAAGUUUUUAUAAGGUUUUCAGAAGAUAUUUGUACGGUAUUUAAAGAUAAUUUUUGUCUAUAUAUAUAAUUUUUCACAUAUGAUUUUUGAUAAAUUUCAAACUUCUAGUGGCUUUUUGAUAAACUUUUAAAGAGUGGGUAUUUUUAAAAAGUGGUAUUGGAAAAGGAGUAUUUUAAAAAUUUCCCCAAUAAAUUAUCGUUCUUGUAAAAUUACAAGUUUAUGUCAUUAAACAAAUGUCAAAAUUUUGAAGCAUUUGACAUGUGUAAAAAGAAGUCUAUAUAAAGGAAUCAAAGAAAAAUUAAAGAAAAAGUAUUGCACAGAUUUCAAAAAUUAAAGAAAAGUAUUGUAAAACUUAAAGAAAAAUAUUAAAUAAAUAACCAAUCAAAAUAAACAUAGAAGAUUUGAUAUCUAACUUAUCAUAUUAAUUUGUUAUUAAUUAUUAUAUUUCACCUUUAAUUAUCAUACAGUUAUAUUAUUAUGAAACAAAUAACUCAUCAUAUCAUUCAUAUAAUAAUAAAAAUGUAGUUUUGCCCCGCAUAUGCCAUGAUUUAAAUAUUAUAAACGAAAAAAGCUGUAACAGGUUAAAAAUUCAAACUUGAGUAAUAUAUUUAUUUUAAGAAAAAAUAUAUGCAACAAAAUUUUUGACUAAGUAAUGGGACAUAAUUUAAAUAAAGUAUAUAACUUCAAUUAUUUUAAUUUAGACCAAAUAUAGUCUAAUUUGAUAUUUUAUUCAAAAUUUCAUAAAAAUCUUAGAUAAGAAAAUGUAUAAAUUAUACAUACUCUAUUUUCAAACAUAUAUUUAGUUUAGGCGACGAGUUAACUAAAAUGUCUUAUAUGAUCAAUGAGUUAUAAUCCUUAUAACAGACAACAAUCUACUAUAUUAUUUUUGCAAGCAUUUUAUGGAGAAAAUUUAAUGCACUUUUAUUGCCAAAAUUUUAAAUUUUUUCUUUAAAAUAAUAUUAUGUCGGAUGAAAGUUUCAAACCCGUGUUGUAUUGAAACAAAUGAAAUUCUUUUACCACUAGACUAUAUCAAUAUAUUUGUAUUAUCAUGUAGACAUAUCUUUGAAAACAGGUUAAAAUUAUUAUGUAAAAUAAAAAUAAAAGCAAUUAUUACAAAUUUUGUUUGUUUAAAAAUAAAAAUUAUACACGGGUUGUAUAACGAGACGGGUGUGAAUCGCUAUGAAUAAAAAUAUCAAAAUAUCAUUAACCUUAUUCUUUAAAACGGGUAAAAUUUCAUUAUACUAUUUUUAACAACACCUACAUAAGAAUGUCGAAUCAAAACAGAUUUAAUUAAGUUUGAUAUUAUGCAAUCUUAAUAAGUCCUAAAAACAAAGCAGCAUAAUAAAAAAAUUAGUCUUUAAAAUAAAAUAAAAUUCAAAAGUUUUUGGCCCGGGUUAAAAUUUAGUAAUAACUAUAAUUGUAAAAAUAAAAUUACGAUAUAUAUACACUAACUAACAUAUUAAAUUUUUAAAAUGUAAAAUAUAUAAAAUUUUGUAUAAAAUAAAAAAAUUAGAAUCCUACUGAUCUAAUUGGGAGACAAGCGUUGAGUUUUUUUUUGACUGUUGAGAUUGGUUUAGCAGCUUAUCAUAAUUUUCAAUUUGUAAUUUCCUAAUACGGUUAUACCGGUCCAACAGGCCGGUUUAAAAACAUCUCAGCGAGCAAUUUGGUAUAUCUCUUUAAUCAAACAAAUAAAAGAAAAUUAAAAAAAAGUUCGAUUUCAAAUUUUGAAUCCUCGUAACGGCCAAAUCUUCAAUAACUUCUCCUAUAUCCUUCUUCGUCUUCUUCCUUCUCUGUUUCUUCCAAACUCACAAAAGCUCUCACUCAACAAUGGCGUCACUAGCUCCCGGAAUCCUCUUAAAACUCCUUCAAUGUAUGAACUCCGGCACUCGUCCCACCGGAGACCACAGAUCCGCCACAUUACAAGUCACCGGAAUCGUCCCAGCUCUCGCCGGCUCCGAUCUAUGGCCAAAUCAAGGCUUCUACGUUCAAAUCUCAGAUUCUCUCAACUCCACUUACGUCUCUCUCUCCGAACGAGAUACAGAUCUAAUCCUCAGUAACCGUCUUCAGCUAGGUCAGUUUAUUUACAUAGAACGACUCGAAUUCGCUACUCCGGUACCACGCGCCGCCGGAAUUCGUCCCGUCGCUGGUCGUCAUGCUUUCGUCGGAACUCCGGAGCCGUUAAUCGCAAGAGUAUCUAACGGAUCAAAACGAGAUUUCGUUAUUCAGCCUGUUUCGGACUCUGAGUACUCUCUUGAUCCUAUCGCUGUUUACUUAAACAAUAGAAGAUCCGACGACGACGACGGUGGUGACGGAGAUGUUUCGAAACCUAAUGUAAGGCAAGCGCUUGCUCCGGUGAACCAAAACGACGAGAAUCGUGAGAAAAUUCGAAAUCAGAAACCUAAAACGACGCCGCAGAGAUUCUCAUCACCAGCUUCGUCUAAACGGUCAGUCUCAUUGGUGAAGAAGAAUAGUUCUGGUGCGGCGGUGGUGGAGAGAGAUCCGUCGCCGGCGGUUUCUGGGAAAGGGAGGAGAUCUGCUUCUCCGGUUCCGUCGAAAUGUGUGGUGCCGAGUCUUGCGGCGGCGCGUGAGGAGCAGAGAAAAGUUGCUAGAGAGCCGGCGAUUGUUGUACCGUCUAGGUAUAGACAACCUUCACCUACUGGGAGGAAGAUGAAUCCAUCUCCUAGUGGAAGAAGAAUGUCGAUUUCUCCUGGACGAAGGCUUUCUAGUGGUUUGAAGAUGAUGUCUCCUAUGGUUGGAGACUCUUCAGGGAAGAAGAAGAUGGCGGCUUUUGCUGCAGGAAUCUCGAAAGUUUCAGAAGCUUUGGCCGGUUCUUCGGGCAAGAAUGGUAAUCGGAAGAACUGGGAUGAAGCUGAAGGAAAUGGUCAAAUUGAGCAUAAGGAGAAGAGUAGUCUCAAGAAUAAGCCUGAUCAUCAAGCAAUUUUGCGUACUCAGGUAACAAAAGAACUCAGAUUUCUCAGUUAGAUAUAGCAAAUCUCAUAUUGGAGAUUAUUGUUUGGUUGAAGCUUUGUUUAAUUGGAUGAUCAAAUUAGUGUUUUGGUGAAUGAUUUGGUAUGUGUGAUGGUCUAAUAUUGAUAAUGUACAAUUGUAUUAGGCUGCUAUGACGAGGCGACUAAGUGAUGCGAAUAGGCGAAAGAGUGAUUCUUCAUCUUCGGCGUGUGAAGAGAAAGCGAAGUCGUGUUCAUCAGAGACUAAUUUACUAGAAGAAGUCUCAGCCUUUGAAGGAGUUGGUAUCACAUAUCAUGAAAGGAAAUGGACUGAUGGUAGUGUUCCAUUGGAUAGCAUUUCAGAGGAACUUGCAAAACUUGGAAAGGUGUGAGGCAAUGUUUAGUGUUGGAGCUUACAUUGACUUAACAACACUUGAGUGAUUGAUCCUUGUCUCUAAUCAUGUGAUCGUGUAUUGAAUUUUUAGGAGGCUAUGCAAAGAAGAGACUUUGCUGCUAGAGCUGCAGCUCGAGCUUUGGAGGAAGCCAAUGCAAAUGAGUGCAUUAUACGAUGCUUAAGGUAAAACAUUUAAAGCUUUCGCAAUUAGUCUUGUUACUUUUAUAAGUCUGGUCUUUGACACCUUGUCUUGGUUGAAUACAUCAGUAAAUUCUCGGAACUUUCUUCGGCUUCCAAAGUGGAGAAUCCGUUGCGAAUCAUCAACCAGUUUUUAACAAUCUAUGAAGAUGUCAUGAAAUACAGUAAGAUAGCCUCAGAAGACAGUUUCAGCUCGUCAUCCGAUCAACAAAACCCAAUCUCUCUUUGGGUUGAAGCUGCAUUAGCUACUAACCUUGGUGUGGUGUCACUAGUGAAAAGCCAGAACAGCCACGACUCACCAUCGUCUCUGAAGAAAUCAAUGCCUACUCGUCUCUCUCCUGGACCAACCUCUAUGAAGACAGGUUUGUUCCAUAUCAAAUGGCUUACAUAUCAAUAUGCAGAGUUCUAAGUUUAUUAAUUAGCAUUUGUUGGUGUUUCAGACAAUAUUGUUGGGAUGUGGACAGACAUAGAUGGUAUGAAGGAAACCGCAAAAUUCGCAGUGAACCUACAGUCCGAAAUGCAAUUAUGGUUCAUUAAGUUCGUGGAAGAAUCAUUAGACAACAAAAACGCAGCGAAGCGAUCUUUAGAUGGUAGUUCCAUAGCUGCUGUACUGUCUCAGCUGAAACAAGUGAACGAAUGGUUGGACCGGGUCGUGUCGAACCAGGAAAACCAAAUCACAACAAUGGCUUUAACAGACAAGAUCGAGCGGCUGAAACACAAAAUCUAUGGAUUUGUUAUCCACCACGUCGGAUCUACAUAUGACAACUCUGCUUCUUGAUUUCAUCUUUUGCUUUUAGUGUCUUCAAUGUUCUCACGCACGUUUCCAUGCUCUGUAAUACUAUGGCUCAUGUUUUUAAAGAUAAUUUAUCAACUGCCCGAGAAGAAUUUAGGUGAAAACCAAUUUAUUGAAUAGUUUUUACAGUAACAGGCUUCUUCAUCACUUCUUACUUUUGUCCACACACUUUAAACAGAGAAAAGUACAAUGAGAAUCAGACUUUUAACUCUUCCACUUCUGGACCAAGUGGUUUAAACAGAGCUUCCACCUCGUUUUCGUCUACCUCUUCAAUGCUUGCCGGGUUCCAUUUUGGGUUCUGCAAAAGAGUUUUCACGGAAGAUCAGUUUUGUUUGACUCGAGCUAGAGAGUUUGUUUGGUAUAAACAAAACUUUGGUUCCAGCAUCGAAGAUGAUUAAGAGAACCAAAUUGACGAAGCUAAAUGAAUGAAACAGAGAAAUUUAGAGUGCCAAUGAACAAACCUGAUCCUUGUCAAUCAAAACUGCUCUAACGCCUUCAGCAAAAUCACAACGCAAGGCAGAUCUUAAUGCGAUGCGAUAUUCAGUUUUCAUCACACCAUUAAGCUUUACAAAGGAAAUUAACAUGCAGUUUUAAUAACUGUCUUAGUGUAGGAAAUAAUAAUGUUAUGUAAAAGUUGAAACUCACUGUUGUUAAUUCGUUUGCAGUUUUACCCUUGGCACAUGCAACAUUGGCAAAGUACUUCUGUGUUAGGUUAAGAGAAAACGGUGCUCCUUUUUCCAAACCUUUUAGUGCCUCAUUAGCCCAUUCUACAACUGUAUCCAAACAUUUUCCAGCAUUCACAAAGGUAAGGCAGCAAUUUUAAUUUUGUUUAUAGUCUGAACGCGAAGAGUAAGGCUCUAUGAGCAUUACAGUUCUCAUGGAAAAUUAUACCUGACGGCUCCGUGCUUUGCUGGUACUUUUUGAGCACUUCUAUUGUUUCCUUGACAGACUUAUUUGAGCUAAAGGCUGACUCUAUUUGAGGCAACAGCAAUUUGAGGUGGGGCUCAGAUUCAGGAUUGCCGCUAUAUUUUGAUAAAGUUUCUUGGAUGUCUUGAUCCGGAUCCUCAGAACUGCAUCACGGAUAUGAAUGAGUUCUAAACAGAGAAAAAUGUUUCGUUUUGAGAGAAAGAUAAGAAAGGAGGUCGAGAAGGGCAUACAAGUUAGCUGACAAAAUGGCUUCCUUUAAUGAAGUUAGCUUUUCAGAAGGUACAUAAUGCGUCCCAAGACCAACGAACAGUGCAUCUGAUGGCGUAGAGAUCCUUUUUCCAGUCAAACCAAGAUAAGCACCUGCAGACAUUUAUGCCAGAAAAGUUGCAUUGGCAAUAUACCAAAGUAAUAUUUUCUUUCAGCUUCUAAAACCAAUAAUCAGGUUUCACUCUAUAGAAAACUUAGAAGGAUUUAGCCGAAGAAUCAUCGUUUUCCACCAAAUUUUGUGCAUGCAUAGAUAGCAACCAACUAGGAAUGACCUUUGAGUAGCACCUUAAAACUUUAUGCAGUGAAAAGGAUUUGAGUAUGAACAUACCAACAGAUCCUCCUCCAGGGCUGUGAGCUGCUAUAUAUGAAAACCCGACAUCUGGGAACAAGCCGAUUCCAUUUUCUGGCAUGGCAAGAACUGUCCUCUGGAAUAGAAAACAAAACAUGAAAACGAGUCAAGAAAAUGAUUCCAGUUAUUACCUACACAAAAAGUGCAGACAAGUAUUUUUCUCUUUAGUACCUCUGUUAUCACGCGGUAGCGACCAUGUCCAGAAAGACCUAGGCCAAAUCCCAUUGUUAUACCAUCCAUCAAUGAGAUAUAUGGCUUUUUGUACCCGGCAAUAGCGCAUAUCAGAGUAUAUUCUGCUGUGAAUACCUAAGGAAGUAAAAUAUCAAAGUUAAAUCAUCUAAGUUCUAAUGGCUAACAUAUGCUAAGAGAGGUCGUGGAAAGGCCAAACUAAAAGAGACCACACAAAUGCCUGUUAAACAAAUUAGUACACCAUUUAAUUCAUUAUAUUCAGUUAAAACAUAAUAAAACAUGACCUGAAGUAUUGAGAUGAUCCUACAUUAAUAUCAGUUUCGUGUCUUAUCUUUCGUUUUUUAUAGAUAGGAUCCAUAUGACGAUGAGUACACACAAACAAUUGAUUUUUGGUAAUUAUCUUCACAUCAUCACAAGCAGUUAAAUUAAGACCAUGGCUAAUUGGUUAUUCGUUUUCUAUUGGUUUUCUUACCUAAAGACGGAUCCUAUGAUGUGAAAUUCACCCAUCGCAACAACAACAAAAAAAACCCCAACAAAAAUGACUACAUCGCAUAACUCUAGCAUCCUAUAUAUUUAAAGAUAAAGUAUAUUUUGCAGAUGGUAAGGCAUAAUUUAUAAAGAAACCUUUUGCACAAGAGGUGUGUUUUUGUCCUUUUGGAUUUCCGCAGCAACUCCUUUAAUAUCCAUCCCUGCACACCAUUCAUAGAUAGUCACUCAAAACACUCCCCAGAGGGACAAAACUAUUAUCAUUUUGCAUUUAUCCACUUCCACAUAAUGACAUCAAAUGCCACAUAAAUUCAAUUACAUGAAACAGUUAGAACACUGCAAACUAUGCAAUUACCUGCGCAAAAGGCUCGAGGUGUGCUGCCUUCAACGAUAACACAUUUGACUCUAGGAUCAGAUUCACAUUCAUCAAGAAAGCUUUUAUACUUCACAUCCAUAUCUGUAAUAUCAAUAACAUAUAACCAAUUCAGCAAUUCUGUAAUCCCCAAAAUACACUUCACACACCACUGAAUCAAUCAGAGUUCAUCACUGAUUAUAAUCAUAUAAACCCAAUUCCAAGAACACGAUUAUCAAAAUUCAAUUCAUGAUACAAAAAUGGUGUAGCUUCUUCACAUCUCAAUCUAAACCUUAACAAUAAUUACUAACAAAACAUCCAAAAAUUCUCCAUUCAAACCCUAAAAUUUAGUAAGUAAGAUCACCAAAUUGGGAAACGAAAACAAUCAUACAAAUAGAGAAGACAACUUUGUUUUUUUUUUACCAAGGUUCAUGGCGUUGAGAGCUUUGGUUCGAUCGAGAGUGAUGAGAGCGACACCAUUAGGAUAAACAUUCCCUUUAACGAAGUCGUCUUCGCCGGCCAUCACUGAGAAUUUCCGAUUACGAUCGGAGAUUGAGAGUCUGAGGCGGUGGUGAGAAGAGAAGGUUGAUGAUGAGAAUUUGGGGAAGAAGAUGCGAUGAGCUAAGGUUUUGAUGAUCAUAGUGGUGAAGUGAUGAUGAUACAGUCAUUAGUGACGGAGAGAGAUGGAGCUUAGUAGGUAAACACUCUUUCUCGAUCAGCGGGUUUAUAUAAGAAUGCAUUUGCCAUUACUUGACGAUAAUUUUAGUAUAAUACUAGGUUGCUACAGCGCGGGGGAAAUAAUUACAUAUAUAUAACUUUUAUCGGAUUAAAAUAUGUUACAUUUUAAUUUUGUUAGAGUGCAGUCGAUUACGGUAAAUCAUAUAUUUGUAUAAUAAGUUUAAAUAAAAUAAUAAAGGAAAAGCGAGUAAAUAAUCAUAUACUGAGUUUUGAUACAAUUAAAAACACGGUGAAAAUUUAACAGCACGAAAUAAUAUUUGUCGAUAAAUUAUUCAUUUUGGCCAUUUUUGUAGUAAAAGUAGGAAUAUACGUAAAAUUACAAAUUUACAAUAUAUUUUUUGAAAGUCCAACCCGUAACAGAAUUCAUUUCGUAAAAAACAUUAUUCGUAACUCGUUUUAUCAUUAUAAUUGUGAUUUUAACAAACUACCCGUGAAUUAUCUAAAAUUUACGUAGUUUGAUAUAUAAUAUAUUUUAUCAAUAAAAAUUAUGUCUCCUUAAUUACAUUUAUGUCUUCAAAAAAAUAUUUCGAUAUUUUAAAUUCUAAAAGUUUUAUAUAUAUGAACCUUUUAUUUAUAAUAUUUUGAAACUAUUUGAAAUUUUAAAUAUGCUCAUGUAACAAUGGUUUUAAUAUUGGUCAUACUUAUAAUGAUUUUAAACCAUUGUCCAAAAUAUUUAACCGAGUGUAGUUGAGUAUUAUAUGUCUGUUUUGAAAAAUUCAAAUUGCAACAUAUGCAAAAAGUUAAAUUUUUAUUAAAUAUCAAUAUUAUAUAGUGAAAGUAGAGUAUUAUUUAAAUUAUUAUUAAAUAAUAUCAUAAAUUAAAAAUAAUAUCAAAUAAACGUGAAAGAAGAAUAUUUUGUUUUAAAAUAGAUUGUAUUAAAUUAGUUAGAGAAAUAUUAGUAAAUCCUAUAAUUAGUUAUGGAAAUAAUACAAUUCUAAAAUUAGAUUUGGAAGGUAUCCGGUGUAUGUAUCCAAACCCAUUAAUCUAUCCAACUUUAAAAGAUCCAAUUAUAAAUUUCGGGUAAUUUUUUGAAAUUGACCCGACCCGGAAGCACUUUUUGUACUUCUCUUUUACUAAUAUAGGGAUAUAUAGUUAUGUAUGAUUUAUUUCCCUUUUUUAAUCUAUAUUAACAUUUUUGAAGUACCUUUUGGAAAAUAACCUUUUAUUUUGUAUUAUUUGCAUAAUAAAUCCUUGCCAUUUAAAUAAAUAACAAACUUUUAAGAUAAAAUUUGUAAUUAAAUUACACUAGAAUCACAAAAUUAAAAACUAAUAUUUAUUACAUUUAACAAAAUUUCCUAAAAUAUCUCCCUAAUAAAUUGAAUAUCUCUCCAAUAUCUUUAUAUGAUCUUAUUUGUUUUAAAAUUUAAAUUAUUACAUAAACCAUAAGUAUAAUAAAAAUACAAAAAACAAUUCGCAUAUGUAGCAAUUUGAAUUUUUGGAAACGGAUGUAUAUUACUCAAUCGAUAAAAGAAAAAACAUAUAUGUAUAACGUCCCACAUCGGGUAGAAAAUUUUAGACAAUGGUUCGGAACCAUUAUAAAUAUGACUAAUAUGAAACUUAAAAAUCUAAAAUCUUGAAUGAAAGAUUACAACAAAAAAAGUUUUACUAAAUUUUAGGGAAUCCAAAAUUUUAAAAUCUUGAUUGGUUAAAAAUGAGUUUUUAGAAAACAAUAACCAAAAUCUCUCUUGAAAUCUAUAAAACAUUCAAGGUUUAUAUUUUACAUAAAUAUGAUUUAACGGGUUUGAGUUUUAUGUUUUUCUUACGGGUUAACAAAAAAAAAAUAACAAACAUAAUUUUUUUAGUCCCGCGAGUUACAAAAAAUAUCCUGCGAGUUACAAAAAAUAUCCCGCGAGUUAAGUAAUAAAAAUAACAAUCAAAAAUACAAUUACACAAUCUUAAACACUAAAAAGGUAAUAAAAUUAACAAAUAUAAAAAUAUAUAUAUUUUUUAGUCAAAACAAUCGUACCGCGGUGUACCGCGGUGUACCGCGGGUUAAAACCUAGUGCAAAGUGAAAUUGAGUGAAAAAUGAAAUAAAAUGGAAAAAAGAGAGAGAGACACGACAAUGUUCCUCAAAUUGGCUCUCUUUUUUUUUUUUGGACAAAAAAUUGGCUCAUUUCAAUUUUUAGUCGUUGACUAAAAAAAACAAAGAUUGAGCAAUUUUGAUACAUACAACAACCAAAAAAAAAGUCUUAUUUUGUUAUAUUUUGAGCUUUUCUAAAACAAGAUUAGAUGACUUUUAAUGCUGUACGUAGACAUAUUUUGGGAAACAACCUAAGAUAACUCUAAAACAAUCAUUCAUAUAGAUAAAGAUAAACAAAACUAAUUUUGGUUGUACUAAAUUUAGUCUUAUGCCAAAACUCUAAUUCAUAUAGGAUUAGUAUAAAAAGAUUGACUUCCCUAAGCUAUUGAAUCACAUAACCAAAACAAACACAUCUCCUUCAUCUUCUUCACCUUGUCCUUAAUACCACCACCCUCAUUAUUAACACUAGCUCUCUAGGAUAAGGUGAAGAAGAUGAACGACCUCCAAGAAAACAACAGUGUCGCGGCUGCGGAAAAACAUACUUCUUCUUCUUCGUCGUCGAAGGCUGUUGAUGGGUCAUCGUCGAUGAAAAAGAUGAUAUCGGUGGCUUCUAUUGCUGCCGGUAUACAGUUUGGUUGGGCUCUUCAGUUGUCUUUGUUAACUCCGUACGUGCAACUUCUUGGUGUUCCACACAAAUGGUCAUCUUUCAUUUGGCUUUGUGGUCCUGUCUCUGGAUUGCUUGUCCAGCCAACAGUUGGUUAUUACAGCGAUAGAUGUCAGUCAAGAUUCGGUCGUCGUCGUCCUUUCAUCGCUAUCGGUGCCUUUCUUGUCGCUGUUGCGGUUUUCCUAAUCGGAUUUGCGGCUGAUUUUGGCCAUAGUUUGGGAGACAAACUCGAAGACCGUGUAAAGGGCAAAGCUGUUGUUAUCUUUGCUCUUGGAUUUUGGAUCCUUGAUGUAGCGAACAACACUCUUCAAGGACCUUGCCGAGCUUUCCUUGGCGAUUUGGCAGCUGGAGAUGCAAGAAAAACGAGAACCGCAAACGCAGCUUUCUCGUUCUUCAUGGCUGUUGGAAACGUAUUGGGAUACGCGGCUGGUUCAUACACUAACCUCCACAAGAUCUUUCCUUUCACAAUAACUAAAGCAUGUGACCUCUAUUGCGCGAAUCUAAAGAGUUGUUUCUUCCUCUCCAUUACUCUCCUCCUUUUCGUCACCAUCAUAUCUCUUUGGUACGUCGAAGACAAGCAAUGGUCACCAAAAGAAGACUCCGAAGACGACAAGAAAACUCCGUUCUUCGGCGAACUCUUUGGAGCCUUCAAAGUGAUGAAACGUCCAAUGUGGAUGCUACUAAUCACCACAUCCUUGAACUGGAUCGCGUGGUUCCCUUUCCUUUUAUUCGAUACCGACUGGAUGGGUCGUGAGGUUUACGGUGGUAGCUCAGAAGGAGAUGACAACAUGAAGAGACUUUACAACCAAGGAAUCCACGUUGGUGCAUUGGGAUUGAUGCUUAACUCAAUCGUUCUUGGAUUCUUUUCUCUUGGUAUUGAAGGUAUCAGUAGAAAGAUUGGAGCUAAAAGGCUUUGGGGAGCUGUCAAUAUCAUCCUUGCAGUAUGUUUGGCAAUGACUGUUUUGGUUACUAAAAAGGCCGAGGAGCACCGCAGAACCGCUGGCCCGAUGGCCCUCCCGACCGAUGACAUCAAAGCCGGAGCAUUGACUCUCUUUGCUCUUCUUGGAAUUCCUCUAGCUGUAAGUCCAACAAAACUUGUCUUUCAUUCAAAAUUUUGUUACUAUCACUAUUGCAUUGCACUAACAUUAUUUUUCUUGGUAUUUCUAUAGAUUACUUUCAGUAUUCCUUUUGCAUUAGCUUCCAUCAUCUCAAGUAGCACUGGAGCCGGCCAAGGUAUUUAGAUAACAAAUCAUCUAAAAACAUUAUUAGGUUUAUAACAUAUUUGUUAAUAAUGAUUUUUUUGUUAUUUUUUUCAUAGGACUAUCACUUGGAGUUUUGAAUAUGGCAAUCGUUAUACCACAAAUGAUUGUAUCCUUUGGAGCUGGACCUGUUGAUGCAUUAUUUGGAGGUGGAAACUUACCAGGAUUUGUGGUUGGAGCAAUUGCAGCUGCUAUUAGUAGUGUUGUUGCAUUUACUGUUUUACCUUAAGUUUCUUUGUUUGAUUUGGUUAUGUAUAUGCAUACAAAUGUCCGAUAAAUUAAUGUGACGUAUGGCAUAUAUUGUUUGAAAUAUUCAAUUAAAAUUUCAUCAAAUCUUGACUUCAAAAGCUUUUUCCUCUAUGAUACUAUGUCUCAAAUAAAAUUGAAUGAAAGCAAUAAAUAAAUAAUUAUAUUUAGCUAAAUCAUCAUUCAAUUUAUAUAAGCAGUAAAUAAAUUACUGAAAGCAAAUAAAAAUUGGUUCUUGAGCUUGAAUUACUUAUAGCAAGUCAUAAUUAUCUAUGAAAGACAUUACCCAAAAUACUAAAUUCUCGUUUGUAUUAAGGUAUUCUAACAAGUAUUAAAACCUACUCCAAUAAUCUCACAAAACACCUUGACAUCAAUUGUUGGUUGGCUAAGGAAGUCUUUCUUAUCCAAAGAUAUAUCCAUGAAUCCAAUAACAUUUCUAGUGCAAGAUAAAUAAAUUAAGGUGAUAGCUGAAUUGACUUAAUUCAACUUAAAGCAUUAAGAAUCAUCUAAGAUAGAUAACCAUAUCGAUGUAAAAACAAAAAAAAAGAUAGAGAACCAGAAAAUCAUGGGGGAAUUUCAAAAAUACAAAUUUUCCAAUACCACUUUUUAAAAAUACUCUUUUUCUAAUUUUUUCAAAAAGUCACUAUAAAAUUUGAAAUUUAUCAAAAAAAUAUGUAUAAGCUUAUAUUUAUAGACACAAAUUAUUUUAUAUGUGUGUAAAUUUAUAUAUAUAUAUAUAUAUAUAUAUAUAUAUAUUUCAUAAAUACUGUAUAAAUAUAUUUUAAAAACCUUAUACAAACUUUGUAAACCUUAUAAAUGUAGUUUAGAACCUUUUAAAACCUUAUAAAUAUUUGGAUUUAGUCUCCCAAUAGUAAUGAUGAUCUUGAUGUACCUUAUCAACCAUAUAAAAGUUUAUAAUUUUUCAAAUUUGAAAAGGGGUAUUUUUGAAAAUGGAUAGAAAAGAGGGAUAUUUUUAAAAAAUAGUACACUAAAAAGAGAAUUUCUCAAAAAUUCUCAAAAAUCAUCCAAUAAUAAAAUUAAAAGCAGUUACAUAAAUAUCUCUAUAGAAACCCAAAACUCACUAUAACUCACAUGACGUAAGUAUACAUGUAUCACUGUAUAAAGAAUGAACAUGAGCUUAAACCUCAAGAGCUUUAAAAUUUUUAAUGAUAAAUAAGAAUAAUCUUAAAAAACACUAAUAACGCUCAUAAGAACAUGUCUUUUAAGGUGAAGUAAACCAUUUGCUUAUAUAUAAACAGUUCUGGACCUCUAUGAAGGCGCACAUUUUCCGUUAAUUAGUGGCUUAAUUUUUUUUUUUUUAAAAAUAAAAAUAUAUACAAACAUUCUCAUCAAAUAGUUGAAGAUUCAUAUCUAUAAAAUUAUUAUUUAUUUUUUAAUUUUUAUAUGUUUUCACGUAUUCAUUAAAAAUAUUACAUGUGUUAAAAUAUGAAAAAUGAGAACAUUAAGAUAAAUUUACUAAUAUUUUCAGAUAAAAAAAUUCAUCCCUAUAAACUCAUUGCUUUUUCAAAAUUUUAUGUUUUCCCUAAUAAAUGAAAGACACUACAUUUUCAACGAUAACUACAUUUUUGAUCCAAUGAAAUUAAUGUUAAAGAGCUUAUAUUUUUAUUUUGAACAUCAACAUGCAUUGUGCGUACAUUGGAUAAAAUAUAAACUAAAUAUAAUAUUUUAAUUUAAACUAUAUUUCAACCUUAGACAUCCAGUUAUGCAAUCACAUUACUAUCUCUAUUUCGUCGUAAAACCAUAUUUUAGUUCUACGCAUAUUUUUCAUGGAUAAGAUUUAAAAAUUUAAUAACAAAACUAAUCAAAGAAACAAUUAGUAAAAAAAUAUAUAAAAAUAAUUAGUAAGAAAUCAAAUAACAUCAACAAAUAGUUGGGGGAACUAAAAAUACUUCUUUCCCUAAACCACUUUUCAAAAAUACCCUUUUAAAAAAAAUUAUUGAAAAUGCGAAUCAAAAUAAGAUAGUUAUCCAAAUAUGUGUGUAAACUUAUAAAAAUAUGCAGACUAUCUUUAUAUGUGUGUAAAGUCUUUUAUAUAUAUACAAUAUAUAUAUAAAAGACCAUGUAAAUACCAUAAAAAAACUUUUUAAAUUCUUUUAAGGACCUUUUCAAAAUCUUUUAAACAUUAUAAAACCAUAAAAAUAUUUAGAAUGAGCCUCCGAUUAGUAAUUACUAAGUACCUUAUAAACCUUUAAAACUUAUAAAAUUUCUAAUUUAAUAUUAUAUAUUCUUUUUAAUAAAUAUAUAUUUAUUUUUAUUUUAAAUAUAAAACGACGUUGUUUUGAAGUUUUACUAAAAUCUAUUUAACAUUGACUUAAUUCCGUUUAAUAAAUCUGUCAGUUAACUUAAAAUGUGUCUUAUUUGGCAAAGUCAACAAAAAUUUACAGAUUCGUUAAAAAGUCACUCAAAAUUAGAUAUAUAUUUCACGAGACACAUCAUUCAUGCUUGCAAUUUAUGAAAAUUUUCCCGUUAUUAUUUACUAGAUUGUAUUAUUUUGUUUUUUGUUUGUUAUAAAUUUCUUUUAAAUAAAAAAACAAUAAUAAUUCUAAGAUCUAUUUUUUUUUGGUAAAAAUAAUUCUAAGAUCUAUAAAUAGCCAUUAGUUCGACUAUUAUCAUAUCCCGUCAACGAGACAGACCACAGCCGUCGACGUCGUCAAGUCAACACCGGUCUUUGUCUUUUAUAGUAUUAUACAAACUAAGAUUCCACAUUUAACGCCGUCAAUUAUUUCCGUCCAUCUCCUUCCUCAAAUCUCAAACUCCUCCUUGUACUCCCUUAAUCCCACAGACCAUUCUUAGCUGUACAAAGUCUCUCUUCUUCUUCUUCUCUCUCUCUCUCUCUCAAAACUCUGAUUCAACAAAGACGACAAAGCGAAGAAUCAAAAUCUCCAGAACUUGGAUCCUCGUUGAAGCUUCAAAGUAAGAUUCUUCUUCUAAAUCUCCUACAGUUUCUGGAUCUAUAUGUAAGCGUGAUCGUGAUCGAUCUUAGGUCUAUGAACUGAAAAAUUUUGUGAUAGAUUGAUCGAUUUAAGUAUGUAAUUCGUAUUGUUCCGAACUCGAUUUCGCCAUUGUUGAUUCGAACUACUGAUCCUGAGUUCCUUAAUUUCAGUCUCAACCUUUUCUGCCGAGUUUAUCAAUAAUGAUUCGAAAAGUUUGUGUAGUUUCUAGCUAGUGUAUUGGAAUCGGGAAAAUGGCUAGUCGUGUUAAAGAAGACGAGAAGAACGAGCGGAUUAUUAGGAGUCUUCUCAAACUUCCUGAGAAUAAGAGAUGUAUAAACUGUAACAGCCUUGUAAGUUUUUUUUGAUCUUCUUGUUACUGUAUUCAUCAUUUCAAUGAAACUAAAACCAAGGAAUGAAUUUGAGACAAAGUAACUUUUUAUGUUUCCUUGGGUAUGAUUUUCUUAGGGACCACAAUAUGUUUGCACUACUUUCUGGACUUUUGUGUGUACUAACUGCAGUGGGAUACAGUAAGUUUCUAGAUUCUGUACUUUAGAUUCUCCUAUUCUUGUGUAAUAGUGGUUUUUGCAAGUGUUGUUGAGAUAUUCAUGUGUGUGUUUGAACAGCCGUGAGUUUACACACCGUGUUAAAUCAGUAUCGAUGGCGAAGUUUACCUCACAAGAAGUUACUUCUUUAAAAGAAGGUGGAAAUCAGGUAAACAAGCUGAAUCUCUCUUCUUUUGAUGACUGAUGGGUUUUGUUUUUUUCGUUGGCAUUUGUGAUUUUAGUAUCUUUUGUUUAAUGAUUUUGCCUUGUAACAGCAUGCUAAGGAUAUAUAUUUUAAAGGACUUGAUCAACAGAGGCAAUCAGUGCCUGAUGGCAGGUAUCAGAAAUCUGUCUUAUUGUUGUAGAGAUGAUGGGAUGUUUUACAUUGGCUGAUUGGUUUUUAUAUCUGUCAGUAAUGUAGAGCGGUUAAGGGACUUCAUCAGACAUGUGUAUGUAAAUAAAAGGUACACGAAUGAGAAGAAUGAUGACAAACUUCCAAGUGAGACACGUAGUUCUAGUGGGUCUCGAAGUCCACCAUAUGAAGAUGUAAAUGACCGUCGUUACAGCGACAGAUCAAGUCCUGGUGGGAGAAGUCCAGGGUUUGAGCCAGGUAACAGGAAUGUUGGUAAUAACAAAAAAAGCCCUGCUCGUCCUGAGAUCUUGAAUGAUUGGCGUAGAGAAGAUAGAUUUGGGGGUAGAAAAACAUCAGAUGAGGGCUCCCAAUCACCUGAACAAGUAAAAGACUUAGGUUCAGCUAGCCCUCCAGUAGCUCGACCUGUUAGGGAAAUUUUAGGUGACAGUGUUAUUCCUCUCCGUGUGGGAGAGCCUCCAAAACCACCUGUCAGCCGAAAUAUCGAUGCUUCUGCACAUGCAAAGGUUUGGCUUCAUCUUUUUUUCACAGUGCAUGUAAAAUAUAAUGUCCAUAAGAGCCAUUGAUAUUCAUGACCCUUUACCUAAAUAAAAUUGUUGUAGCACAUGUAUUCGAGGUAAUACCAUCUAAUUCUUAGGGAAGAAAGAAACGUGUUGAUGUUUUCUGUUUUUGUUAUUUCAGUCAACUACAUCAUUGAGUAGUUUAAUGUCCACAAAUGAGAAGCCACCAGAAGUGAAGCUGCCAGAAGUGAAGCCACCAGAAGUGAAGCCGAAGGCUACUUUAAGCCUGAUUGAUUUUGAUACUGAUUUUGAACCUCCUGCUCCAGCUGUUGCAAUGCAAGCACCAGAAUCUACCACACGUCAGCCUGCUCCACAGCCAGCAUCUUUGUCUAAUGAUAACUGGGCAUCUUUCGAUGCUGCACCCAGUGCCCCUAGUUUAAAUGUAUCACAACCACCACCCAGUGGAAACACUCUGGAUUCACUUCUCUCCCAGUUGGCCGUGACUUCUUCUGUGCAAGGUCAGACGUAUACACCAUCUAGCGGACCUGGGCAUCUUGGCCAUUCCACGUCACAAAUCUUUGCACCUUUUCCGAAUGAACAUUCAAGUGAACAGGUGGGCACUUUGGUGCAUGCUCUCUCAUAGAAAAGCAUAAAAUUCUGCUUCCAGAAUAUAAUGUGCUUAUGCUUCUUGGAUUUUUGUAACAGCCAUGGAACACGGCACUUGCAUCCAAUGUACAUAGGUCAAUGAGUGCCCCGUCAUUGCAACCUCUUCAAGGAGUCCCUUCCGGUGGCCUGCAGUCUUCUGAGGUUAAACCUUCCGGAAGGAACGAAUUACCAGCGGUAUUGAUUUAUCUUAGCCAUUUGACCUGUGCUUUCUAUAUCUUACCAUCUUUGGGAGUGUAAAUGACAUGCUAACCUUUCUGCAGGAUUUAUUCACUGUAACCUACCCAUCAUACCAUGCACCAGUACCUGGGUGGCAAGCUGGUCCACCUCAUGGUAUGCACUAUGGCAUGCAGCAGUAUAAUAACCCCGUGGUACAGUUUUCUAAAACAUUUCUGAAUCCAUAAUGAAUUUGAGCAUCAAUGACACCCCAGCCUGCGUUGUUAAUCUUCUAUUUCCUGCAACAGCCUUACCAGAAUGUCCCGCACCCAGCCAAGUCAAUGAACCCUUUUGACUUCAGCACUGGGCCGCCAUCACAAACACCAACGGUAUGUCCUCUAUUUCAUUCAACUUAUCCAAAACAUGAUAUUUGUGCGAAAGUAAGCAUGUUUUGGAAAUUAGUUUUUAGCGAAAUUGCUACUUGGCAGCUGAGCUGAUGUUGACUUAAGCUCUUAAUGAGUUAAUUAGUUAUACCCUUUCACUUUACUCGGUCAAUAUAUACAAUCGAACAACUUGACUUACCAAAGUACAUAUACAAUAGUCCUGUGAUUACAUGUUAAGUAAUUCUGAAUACGGUACAGGAAAAUAUGUUCCCUUCCAUGGCUCCUCAACAAGGUGCAUUACCUCCUUCAGGCAUGAUGCCUUCUCAUGGAGUACACAAUCAAUUACCUCCUUCAGGCAUGAUGCCUUCUCAAGGAGUACACAAUCAUUUCAAUAUACCUUCUCAAGUCUCAGCCCAUCCAUCUGCAAUGCCACCAAGUAAAGCACGGCAUUACUUUGUUAUUCUCUGCUCUUGAAUGAUGUGUUUACUCUUAUGAAUUGUUUGCUAAACUAUUUUCCCCCAAUUUUCAGGGUACAUGUCUCCUCCAUUACCAGGAAGCAUGCCACCUAGGUAUGCCCUCUUAAUUCAAUUAAUUACUUUUCUCUAAACGUGAUCUCCAUGAUCCAUACAAAAGCUGUUACUAAGCUUGCUCAAGCUUUAGAUGAAACAUCUGCUUAUUUUAUCUCUCGUAUUUUGCAGUAAUGUAAGCCCAGUUGGCGACAUGAACGCUUCAUAUGACGCUCAACAAACAUACCAAAAUUUUGGAAGCUCGUUUCCUGCUGCGGUUCCUUUGAACCCACCUUCUUUCCAAUCAGGAGGAAACCCGUUUGGGUAAGAAUGAACGAGAAUAUUAGCUCGAGAGAGCUAUGUUAUGUUUGAGGAUAGUGUUUGUGUUCUAAGGUGUAGUAUAAAGUAUCAAAUCGAAUACAAACAUGGGUUAAAAAAAAAAUAGGGUGAACGAAGGAAGGUACGAGCCAUAAAUCAUGAAGAAAGAAUUGGGUUUGUGAUGAGAGUGUUAGAUGAUUUUUUUAUAAGCAUCAAAAUGUUUUGAAAUAGGUUUGAUAUUUAUUCUUUGGUGUUUCUAUAUUUCAUUUCCCCUUGUGAUGUUUUCUUUUUGGCCAUUGUCCCUUUAGAAAAAAAACUCUUCAGGCUCCUCCUUUGUGUUGUAUGAUUUUGUAAAAGGGCUUACACAUUGACCAUAACGUCUUGUCAAAAUUGAAUUUUGACAAGUUAAAAGAUUUUUCUGUUGUGAGACUUUUAAGGUUUGGUCAUGUUUCUCUUCCUGUCUUAACUCUCAACACCAUUUGUUUGUAAAAUGAACGAGAUUGUAACAUGUAAAGAACAUCAAGAUUUGAUCUACGAUUAAUGAUCUAACGCGGAAACUCUAUCGAAACUCUUCUUGGAAACUCACUAAAAAUUGCGCACGACCUCAAGCCUUGACGAUUCUUACAACUUUUCUCACACUUUAAAACUGACUUGUUUUGUUAUGUUAAUUUGUAGUGUAAGAGUCUCCUCUUUAUUGUUCUUUGAUAUCGCUCCAAGUCUAAAAUGAAACUUGUAGCGUUUAGCUUUUAGCCUUUUAGCAUCCAAUUGCUUAAUAUCAAAACUAUGUAUAAAACAUAGAGAGAUGUAUGUGUUGUGUAAUAAUGAUGUGUACACGCUUUCAUGAUUAGAGACCCUGUUAGGGUCACACUUACACACAUAGUAUUACUAAUCUAUGCUAUAUUGGUAUAUUUGUAUCAUCCUUUCUUUGAUCCUACAUAAAUCUACAGUGCAAACAUAUGAUGCUUUCACACAUUUCCCCAAUAUCUUCUAUUCUAUUCUCCAGCCAAAUCAACACUACAAAGAUGAAACGAGAGGUGACAAAAAGCUCUCUGUAGUGAUCUCAUGUUGUUUGUCUGCUUUUCAGUACCAUUGGAGCAACCAACAUCCAAACUGCAACAACCAUUAAAAUCAACUUUUAAACAUCACAAAAUAUCUUGAUUCCUAUUACAGUAAGUAAUUUUUUGUUUACUUACUGUAAACGCCAACCGCGAGCCAUUCGUUCACUAUCCUUACCCAAGUACUUGUCCACCCAACAUCAAUUGUCCACCUAACGGAAAAAAAAUCCGAGUAUCAAAUUAUCAAUGGAGCUACAAAGAUCUACUAAGCUUUGGUAGUUUGGUACUGCUGUUUUAUAAAUGAAUUCAUCAAGAACUUACUUUUUCAUGGAAUGAUGAAUGUUCCAGCCAACAAGUAACAUUGCAAAGUACAUUGCUCCGGUAGCAAACACAAAAUGGAAGAAUCCGUAUCCGUAAGGAAUUGCAUCUUCCUCAUGAUUCUCAUCUUUUCUAAACUGUAAAAGGCCACUUGCUGUUAGUCAAGUUUAUCUUCUGAAGUUUUGCAAAAAAGUUGGCAAGAGCUCAUAGAAAACAUACCUGGAAACAUUGAGAAUCUACUCCCGUAGAGAAUGUCGCGAUUACCAUUGCAAGCAGUGCAACAACAAAGCUCUACAAGAUACAUAUACAAAAAAAAAACCUGUUUAGUACAUUCUUUAUAAUCUCAAAAAUUUGGAAAGGUCACCAAAAGAAUCUUGGAAAAGCCACUUACUAUGAUGGUAAGCCAGUCCGUUUUGCUCGAACCUUCGGCUUUUCUGUUGCAAGUUUCUCCUAAUGGCUCACUGCAAAACAAAAAAUGUCAGAUGAAAUAAGUACUUUAUAACAUAUAUAUGUAUAUACAUAGAGACUACAUUCUAAUUGCUAUUGUUAUUGUACUUGUUGUAGUAUUAGAGAUAGAUAAAAUGAAACAUGCCUUCGAAUGGCGCACCAGCAGAUGAACACAACAUAAAGCCCCAUAAGCGCGGGAGUCAAGAAUCCAGCAUUAACCUGUUAUAUGCAAGAAUAAGUAACAUUGUUCAAAAGACUGCAUAUACACACAUAAUGAUGGAAGAUUAGUACUGUAAGAACCUCGGAAGCGGACUCACUUUGGGGUGGAGAGAGAUACUUGUCAUAAGUUGAAUGAGGAACAAAGUCCAUGUGAUGAAAAAUAUGUUGAGAAGACAUGAUGGUUCAGGCACAUACCAUAUGUACAUUAAAAUCACCCCUAAUAUGCAUACGGUGUACGCAGUAGUCGCCAAUAGCAUCACAUGGACGCGGCUGCAACAUUAAAAACUUCAUCAGAAAAUACUAAUCAUUUUGUAUGUAUCCAAAUUACAUAAGGAACAGUAGUCUCAUUGGAGGUCUCACCAUCUUUCUGCAUCUUUUUGUGCUUGGAAACAUUCAUUGAGCCAUGUAAUGAAACUGAUGAUACUAAUGAGCUGAAUUAGGAGAAAGACCCUAUUUAAAAAGGAGGUUAAAGUGAUAAGCUUCCGAGACAACCAUCACACAGUUUCUGAAGUAGGAUUAGAAAAACCAUACCCUGCACCAAAAUGGGCAAUCUCUCCUGCAAAGCAAAAGAAAUGAAAAGCCAUUUUGUCAUGCUAAAUGAAUUUUGGUAAAUAAAAACGAUUAAUCGAGGAAGAUGAGCCGUUAUACCGUAAAGUUGAAUGAUGGAAGAAGGCAACAAGAAAGGGAAUAUUGCUAAGCCAAGCCACAUGAAAAGCUUAGCAAACCACCAUCCUGAAUGCCAUUUAUCUCUUGAUGAAUGCAUCUUCGAUGUGCCAACGGUUGAAAGAAACAUAAUGAAAUAGAACAGCUAUAAAGAGUUAAGGCAAAAGUGUUCUCUCUGAAGCCAUGAAGAUAGUAAUGUAUAUGAAUAUGACUAAGUCAAUAAAAAGGAUACAAAACAUCCAAAGCUAACUCGUAAAACUCCUUCAGUCCCUAAACACUCUCCACCGUCUUCUUUACAAUUCUUGAAUUCUGCAAUCAUAAAUAAACAUACAAGCAUCAAUUCAUAUGGCAAAAUUAUUGUAAAAUUUCAUAAGGCUAGAGACUCAAGUGAACCAUACUUCUCAUUUCAGUCAAGGCACCUCGACCAUAAUCGCGCAAGGCCCAAGCCAACAGAUUUGCCAAGAGAAAUAUCAGACCAUACACAUAUCUAGCCAUCCACGGGUUGCAACCAUUACGAAACUGGAUAAACCACGAACCGUUCUUGAUCCCUUCAUAGCCAUUUUUCUCAAUGCUUGUACCGGUCUCCAUAGGUCUUUGAAAACUUUAGCAGACUCUCUCUUCUUCAUGACAUUGGAAGAUCAGGUCAAAUGCUUGGCUGAUCAAUACCAUCAAUCCCAAAUCUCCCGGGCCUCGCUUAUCUAUAAAAAUGAACUAAACACAAGAAAGACACUCCAGAAACGUGUACUUGUCUUCCUUCAGAACAAAGAACCUAAAACAAGAAACAAUGAUAAUUAAGGCAAGAUCAUUUGAGUAUAAGCUUAAAACAAGAAACCAUGAUAAAAACAUAUGUCUUAAUCUUACAAAUCACACUAAAUCCAUUUCUAAACAGAAACUUAUUGUUAUGUAUUUUUGUUAAGUAGAACAUUAACAACUUAAUACGUAGAGUACAAGAUUGUCUAACAAGAACUUUUUUUAAGGCAUGCUUUUAAUUUCACACAAACGUCAACGAAACCUCUAGCUAAAGCUAACCCCAUCAUAUACUUUGAAUGAAGUUGUAUUAAACCACAAGACUCUAUAAAUUAUUGAAGUAGAGAAGUGGCGAAAGAACUUUAUAAUUUGAUAGAUAGAGAGAAACAAAAGCUUAAAAGAAGAGAUAAAAAAGGAAACAAAACCUUAUAUUUUUGGGGGAUGAAUAUGAUGUAAAUGUAUACAAUUUGCAAUCUUGAUAUGAAACGUGUACGGAUGCUAUUGGACUAAAGAAUAUUUUUUUAUGCAAGUGAGCAAAUUGUUAAUGCUAUGCAGCCACAUCAUAUAAUAUACACUUUUUGCUUUUUUUUUAUGCUUACCAUAAAUUUGAGAAAAAGCUCAAAAGCAAACUUAUUUUUUUUGGAGGAGAUUCACAAGUUCACUUUAUUGAGAGACUCGUGGUUAGUGGUUGGUUACCUCUUAAAUAGUUUAAUUAGAAAAAGAUAUAACCAAGAAAAAAGCAAAAGAUCUUAUAUUAUAUGAUCAUAAAUAAGAAUAGUAUCGAAUUUGGCAUAUGUCUAUAUAGCUCAAUUAGUGUCGUUUAGCCAUUUUAAAAAUAGUUUUAAGGUUAAGAAGAAGUUAGAUAAAUUCCAAAUUUAUUCUUUUAGUUUGUGAUAGAGUCAAAACUAAACAAAUUUUUAUGUUAAGAAAACUAAAAUAAAACCCCUAUGAUCUUUGUAUUCUAAUUGGAAUAGAAAAUAAAUUUACAAUUAUAAAAUGAAAUAGAGUUAUUCUAAUCCUCAGUUCAUUACAAGAAUAGCCUUUGAUUGUUUGAUCCACCAAUAAAACUAAUCUAUAUAGAAUUUUUAGGAUUCUUAUGGAAAAUUGAAAAAUGCAUGCUGAUACACAAUUUUUACAUAAUUGUCAUGUUAGAAAAAAAAAAAAGGAAAAGAAAUUAAAGAAAACGUAUAAAUGAAGCAUAGAGAAGAAUCAUCAUGUACCCCUGAAAAUCUUAAUCACCCAUAAAUUAAGGUAUUAAUUAUGUUAAAGUUACGUCUAAUCUCUUAAUAAAGCUAGAUAAUUAGCAGAAAGCAAAUAGAAAAGAAAGAAAAAAAAAGAAAAAAAAAGUGACUAUUGGAUUGGUCCCUCUCUGCCUCAAAUCUUUUGGUAAAAAAAAAAAAAACUAAUUUAACAUUUUGGGUUUUGCAGAAGAAAAUUUAUUGUUUUGGAUUCCCAGAAAAUUAAUGUAAAAAAAAAAAGUAACACAAAAUUCGAAUCCCCAUUUUUCAUAUUUCCCAAGAAACAUCAAGAUUCAUACUUAAAAACACUUAAAAAAUAUAAAACUCUUAAGUAUAGUUAUUAUAUAAACAAGUACCAAAGAAGACUCACAUGCAUGUUACUAAAUCUGAUAGAUCCAAGAAAGAUUAGCAAAAGGAGAUUGAAGAGAACCUGUUUAUAUUCUUUUCUGGUGCAAUAUAGCUCAAGAUCGGAUCUGAAGAAUGUUUCUUGAAAAGGUUUCACUUAGAAAUGAGAAAACCCAAGAACAAGAACUGAGAGAAGAGAAGAGAAGAAAGAAGAGAAAUAAUGAUUUCAGGUUUUGAUCUUUUUUUGGCUUUUGUUCUUUCUUUUUAAAACACUUCUUUCUUAUAUAUAUGUGUUAUGUGUAUGGCAUGCGUAGUAGUUUAUAAAUUGUGGAUCUUUUUUUUUUUUGUUUUUUUUUAUAGAUUUAACUCACCCUAUUUACAAUGUUAUUUAUGUUUCGUAAUUUGUGAGCAUAUGCAAUUAUAUAUGAUGAUGCUCUUUUCAUUUUUCUUUUACGACAGUGUAUUUUUUAUUUUCUUAGAAAAGUUAAAAAAAAAUUAUUCUUACAAUGUUGUUUUGUCACCUAAUUUUGUAUGAUUAUAUUGUCCUUUUCCGCCGCUAUGUUUAUUAUCUCUACUCGACACUCUCAUAUCUUUUAAAUUUCAAGUAAAUACUUUUAUCAACUUUAACUCAGAAAAUCAAAGAUAAUGAUAGAAAAUAUUUUUAUCAACACUUUGUCUCCACAAUUUAAAACUAUUAAGAUCAUCUCCAAUGGGGAGUUCUUCCUCAAAAUCUCUCAAAAAAAUUAAUAAUAAAAAAAAAUCAAAAAGUAUGAAAGAGAGAAAAAAAUUGUAAAACUCAAGUUUCAUAUGAAGAUAUCAAUGCAACAUGUCAUAUUUUUAGUGAUAAUUUUAGUUUUUAAAAAUAAAAAUUUAAGAACAUAACUAAAUAAUAUUAAAAAUAGUGAUAUUUUUAUUGAUGAUAUAUUCAAAAGAAUUUUUCUCAGUUGGAGAUGCUCUAAGCUAGAGGAUGUCCCCAUUAAAUGCAUCACACAUCAAUGCCAUAUUAGAAACCGAUUGUUGGACUUCAUAUAUUCACAAAUUCAGUUUAAAUCAAUUACUAAGUUAAGUUACCAUGGAACUAUUAGUCUUAUUUCUCCGAGAGGUUCACGUUUUCUCUAAACUUGUAGGCUCACCAUUAUUUGACGGCCGGUAUUCUAUGCCCGAGAGAUUUUAAUUUUUUUUAUUUUCGACCCUAAGAAUUAAAUUCAUUUCAAAUUUUCAAUUAACAUUCAAAAAAAACAUUACCUUGGAAAGGAAAUAUUGAAAACCAUAUAACCUUAAAACUACUCUUAGUUCUAUUCUUCAUCAAGUUAUUCCAAAACUGCAAACGAUCGGGAUGUAACGCCUUGUGUUCUUAGUUUGUAACAUAUUUUGCAAAAUCUAAUUAGAUGACAAUCUUCCAAAACUUCGGUUUUCUUACGAUAUUGACCAAUAGGUAACAAAUAUAGUCAGGAUUUUGAUUUAGAUUAGAAAAAGAUAUGAUUGAAAGAUGGUUUUUAUUCCAUGGAACUUUUAUUACAAUAGAAACCACAUGUUAAGCAAAAUUAUAGAAAAAACACAACAAAUCAAGGGAUCAUCUAUGUUAAUUUAAAACAACAACAAUAUAGAGGUUGAUGAGGAAAAAAAAUACGACAUCCUCCAGUCGAAAACCCCAAUGUUAUGCAGUCCACGCUGCAUCUUAAAUUCUCAUAUGAUGGCGUACAUGGAACAGUGCAUUUUUGUUCUUUGAUCGCUUUAAUCUCUACACAUAUAUGCACAAAUUACAUUUUCAAAAAUUCAAAUUCUUUGAUAAUAUUCUCAAAUUUCUCAAUAUUUUAUUUAUAUAUUGCUUUUAAAUUUUUAUAUGAUCACAGCUAACUAAUUGCAAUGAGUAUUAUGUAUAAGAAAAUACCUGAGGCCAUAGCGUUUUGGGGGGGACAUCGAAACGACCAAUAUAGCUACAAGAAACAAAGGUACUAAGAUUUUUGUGUAACCCAUUUUGUUGGUGUAAAUUUCUAUUGAAGUAAAAUUUUGUACUUUUUAAGAUCUUGAAAAAAUCUUAUUUAUAGAAAAAUUAAUCUUAGAAUUGAAAACAUUACUCCUAUUACUAAUUUCCAAAAAAUGAUAUUUUAUUCAAUUUUUCUAUAUUUUUACCAUAAAGAGUUCUUUCAUAUUAGUCAAUAACAUCAUAUUUUGGGUAAAAAAAAAGUUGAAAAGGUUUUAAAAUAAAUAUCUUGGGAUCAAACACAUGUAUUGUUGUUGUUGUUUGUUUUACUUAAAUGAUAUCUAUAUACAUAUCAUUUUACUUACAAAACAAUUUCAAUACUUUAUGUUGUUGUUUGUUUUCAUUUAUCUUCUUUCUAUGUUUAGCAUUUCAUAUUUUCCCCCAAUGAACUAGAUUAUGAUCCACAUGAUGUGCAGAUUUUAAUUCUAAAUAAAAUAAAUUCAAUUAUCAGAAUUAUUAAAUUUUUGUUGCAAGUAGAAACGACCUUUAGGAAAUAAAUGAAUUUUUUUGAAGUUACAGAAAAUUUAUAUUUAUAUACUGUAUAUCUUUUAGCUGUAAUACACUAAUUUGCAUAUAUGUUUUAAAUUUAUUGUAACAUUAAGAAUAGAAUCUCAUAGAUUUAAGUUUUCAGUCACCAAAAUGUUUUCCGGAUAUUUAUUAUUACUAUUGCUAAAUCUCAAACACGUAAUUUCUCAAUCUCUUCUUAAAAUAUGAUUACAUUUACAAAAGUUCUUUAUAUAUAUUACAUGGAAACGACCGGUCAAACUAUGAUCUUAUUUACAUCUAUUUACAACUAAAAUAAAAUAUCUUUGAAUACAUGAAUCCAACUUCUAUAUGUUUCUUUUAGUUUAACUUUUGCAUAAUUUUCUUAACCACUAAAUAUCUAAAAAAAUAUUUGUAUAGAAAAUAUAUCAGAUAGCAUUAAUUGAUGAUGUAAUCAUAAAAGAAAAACCCUAAGAUACAAAGAAAAUCUGUUUGCAAUUAGUCUAUAACCAACCAAUAAAGAUUGAGAAUUUAUUUUUAAAACAAUAUGUAAAAACAAUGCUAUUUGCAAGUCAAUUAAAAAAUAGACAACUCGAAUGGAGCAAAUAAAAUGACAAUGAAAAAGUACAUGAUAUUUACUUAUUUACCUAUGAUAAAUAAAAAUGAAAAUUUUCACCAAAAAAAAAAAAAUAAAUAAAAAUGAAAAUAAAAGGCUCAGAAUAAUUGUGGAUUUGAUACAUAAGCACUAAUGACUCUCUUUUAAUAAAUACUAGAAGAAACAAUGUAUCUAAGUUAGUGAACUUGUAUAGUUUUCCUAUAUUAAUCUGUCAGUACAUUGUCAUAAUUUAUAUACUAUUGAUUUUCACAUCUUUUUAGCAAAAAACAAUAUAUAGAUUUUUACAUCCUUUAUCCGAAAAGAUAAUCAAUCCUUUUUUUUUUAGUUUUAAAAUUAAAAAUUAAAAGUUAUGUUUAAUUUAUAAAAUCUUGCUUCCCAAAGAAGAAAAAUAUUUCUCACAAACCUUUAAAGUAAACAUCCUCACCCAUGGCUUCUACAACAAAUCAAAGUUUCAUUUUCAUGCUAAUCUUAUUUCUCAUUGUUCUCAAAACAUCAGCAUCAUUCACCAAUGGAUUUUUACCAUUAGCACCUAAACAUGUUAUUAUCAUUAACAAAUUGAUCUCACGUGCAACUAUGACUGUGCAUUGUAGAAACAAAGGGGACGAUCUAGGGGUUAAAACACUUGCUCCUGGAGCUAGUUUUGAUUUCAAGUUUCGUGUCAAUUUUCGCAAGACGACGAGGUACACUUGCAUAUUUGAGUGGCCUAAUAAUACAGCAACGUUUGAUAUAUUUAGAGUAGAUAGAGACGACAAUCCAAAGAGUAAAUAUGGAGUAUGCAGAGAAUGUAUUUGGAGCAUUUAUGAGCUAACUCCUUGUCGAGAUAGACGCGAUGGAGGCCAACCUCAGUGUUUUCGUUGGAAUUCUUAAUCAUUUUAAAAAAUAUUAGAGUUGGACCCGCGCUACAGCGCGGGGGAAAAGUUUUGAUUUAUUUAUUUUUAUUAACGAAAACAUUAACCUAGUGAGAGAAUUUUUUACUUGUGUUGAUAAUUUUUCAUAAUAAAUAAAUAUUAUUGAUUAAAUAAUUGCAAUUGGGAAUGAGGGGUAAUUAUUCUGUUUUCAUUAAUUCAUAUAGUUUAAAUUUUGGUGGUUACAUAACUAAUAAUUUUUUUAAUAAUAAGUGUUCACUAAAAGUGAAUAAUUUUUCCAUAUAAUUUGAAAUCAUAUUUAUGUAACAUUUGGUAUUACAAAAUAUUUGGUUAUAAAACUGUGGUGUGUAUUAUAUUCUGACCCGUUGUAAAAUGAUCAAUAAUUUUAAUAUAUGUUCUGACCCGUUGCAAAACUAUCAGUUAAUAUUUAUAAUAUAUAAAGUUUUUAAUAUUUAUAAUAUUUUAUACAUUUUAAAAUUUAACUAUUAUCAUAUUUUGAAGCAUUUUAGAAAAAAAAAUAAUUUGCUCAAACUUAGAACCUGUUUUAAAAUUGAAUGUUUAUUAAAUGUAUUUCCAAUUAAUAAUUUUUGUUUGAAGUUUUAUAUGGGACACUGUAACCUUUAAUAUUUUGGUUUUAUUUUUUAGGGAAUUUAAUGAAAAAAACCCUCAACAUUGGCCGGAUCCAUUUUUAAACCCUCAACUAUUUUUUUAGUAAAUAAAACCCUGAACUAAAAAACAUUAACAAAUUUAACCCUCCGUCUAUAAAAGCAUACAUUUAUACCGUUAACAAUUUCGUAUACUCUAGAAGAACAGUAAAACGAAAACGACUAGGCAUAUUUUUAAACAUAUUACGAUCACAACACAAUUUUUCAAUUAUAGUAUUCUGCAAUUCCUGAUGGAAAAUAUAAAAUUUUCUCAUAUUUUAUGCAAAAUGCUUAUUCUGAAACAUAUUUACAACAACAAACAAAAAAAAAUGACUUACCACAAUAUUUUACAAAAUUCAAACCAGAUGAAAUAGACGUAUGUUCUCUCAAUACCUCACUCCAUAAUGGAGACUCGAUGAGUUAAUGUCAUCCAUCAUUGAAUUUAAUUAUGCGUCUCACCCUCGAUUAACUCUGUGUCAAUCGCCUAUUAAACCUACUUUAGUUUCUUUUUCACUAACCGUUCAACAUUUGAAAUUUUGAGGUUUUAACAUUUCACGAUUUGAGAGUUUUUUUGGUGAUCUAUUAUUCGACGUGUGAACGUUAUGGAAAACGAAGGUUCCUAAGAGAAGGUUUGUUGUUAAUUUUUGUAUUUAAAAACUAAUGUUUAGUAUUUUUUUGUUUCAGUUAAACAAACGUUGAUUGCGUAGAAAAAAUUAUUACGGGUGUUUAGGUUUUUUAUAGGUGGAGGGUUAAAUUUGUUAAUGUUUUUAGUUCAAGGUAUUAUUUACUAAAAAAAUAGUUGAGGGUUUAAAAAUUGAUCUCACCAAUGUUGAGGGGUUUUUUCAUUAAAUUCCCUAUUUUUUAUUUUAAAUUUGAUAAUUAAAUCAUAACCUUUAAUAUUUGGAAAUUUUUAUUUUUUGGGAGAAUAUUUAAUCAGAUUUCCAUAUGAUUAACAAUAAAAUCACAAAAAUUACGGAAUAAUUUAUUAAUUAGAAUACUAUCGAAAGAUUGAGAUCUUUUUAGGUAAUGAUAAACAUAAUUUCCUUAAAAUGUGCAUUUGUUAUUCACCAUUAAGAUUUAAAUAUUCACAAUUAAUUUGGAUUUCUAAAAUAUACGUAUGUAUCAUUAUUAUAGUUUCCUAAAUAAGGGGAAGUUUUAGUAACUGAUAUUUUUAAAAUUUUCGGAUUUUAAUAGUUAAUGGGUAAUAUUAUACCUGAAUUUUGAUCUAAAAUUGAAGUAUCCAUCAUUGUAAUUUCGGGUUAUUUUUUGUUUUUGACCCGACCCGGAAGUGCAUUUGUACUUCUGUUUUACUAUAGUAGGGAUUUAAGUUUUAUUACUAGUAAUUAAAUCAAAUAUUUAGUGUUUAUAUUUGUGAUUAUGUAUUUGUUAGUUUAUCUUAAAUUGGAAGUCAUGGUAUCUUGUGUUUUUUGGCAUAUAGUUGUGCAUAUACAUUUGCAUUUGUGAUUAGGUUCAUUUGCAUAUGAAGGAAAAGGAGGUGGAAUGAAGCAAAUAGAUGAAGGAGAGAUCAAAGAGUGGAGAGAAAAAUGAACUAAUUGAUUGAUUUAAGACUGAAGCCACAAGACAACCUAAUCGAUUAACAUGUCUACUGGAAGAACAACACGAUCAUGGACAAGAGAUCACACGAUCGAUCAAUUAAAACUAUAAGGGACUGAUCAACCAGAGACUACCUUCCCAAAGUGAAUAUGGUCUACAAUUCAAGAACUCUCACAUCUAGUAUUAUUUUUUUGACAUCUAAACAUAAAUCAUUCCAAUUAAAACUCAUAACUUUGAAACAAACACAGAUUAAGAUGUUCAAAAAUACCAAAAUUUCCUAUUUAUUAUUCUUCAAAACGGCCAUUCGAUUAUUUUGUUCGAUCUAUAUAAUAGCAAACUCACUUUUAGGGACAGCUGAUUUCAUAUUUUGAUUUUAAGCCAAUUGAUAAAACUGUAUUAUCAUAAAAGGUAUGAUGUGAUUUUCAAUGGCCACAACAUUAUUCUCAAAAUCACCACCACAUCCUUCUUUGAGAUAUAUUGAUUCCUUCCGAAUUAAAACUUUCAACUCUUAUCUUGUCAAUCCUUUAUAAGAGUGUUUUGGGCUUAGACUAUGUUAGUUAAUAAUUUAAUUAACAUUGAGAAUCACUUAAGGAAUGAUACGAUAAUAAGCAUAUGGGUAGCAACAUCAUAACCUUUAACCACUCUUCCCAUUAUAAUUCAUACUUUUAAUCAUUCUUUAUAAUGAUGGAAAUAACUUUUAUAUGACUUGUCUCAUUAGCCUCUCUAAAAUUUUAGGGUCAUGAAAUGGAUUCUAAUUAACAAUCAAGCUUUAGCUAUUUAAUUAACUUCAAUGGGUAGCUCGAUGAUCUUGUAAUUGGAAAACAUGCAAAGAAACCAAAUUCAAUAUUCUUGACUGAUCUUUACGAUCUAUCUACAACAUUUGAUCCAAGGCUUAAAGACAAACGAAUCAGAAUCUCUAAAAUGGAAUAAUACAUAUCAACAAACAAACAAAUUUUUUGCUGAAGGUGAUAUAAAAGUUGUGAUCCAUGUUUGAAUUAAUUUAUUCAAUCUGGUUGCUUUAAAUUUUAAAAUGUAAACUUCUAAUGACUUCAUCUGGAUAUAUAAUCAUAAGUAGCUAAUACAUAUACAUGCAUGAUCAAGAAUAUUCAUCUUAGUCAUUUUCCGUUCGGCUAGGAGCUUUCAAAUAAAGAAAUUUGGAUUUUAGGAGAAUUAUGCAUUUCGGUCCGAACCUCGUAGUUAAAAAAAAAACAAAAAGAGAAAAGAAUAUUUGUCUUGUAUAUGAUAUAUUGUCUCUUUUCUAGUAAAUAUCAAAGCAUACAAACCAAUGGAAGAUUUGACAUUUUAGAUGUAGUAGUAGUAACAAGGUGAGAUAUAGAAUAGUUAUGACAAAAACAUUUGAUUCUGCUGUACUAAAACGCAACCUUGGCAGAGUGAUAUAUCAUAGGGAAUGUGGUUCUGAUCCUUUUUGGCCUCUUAGCUGGUUAGUGUGGUGGUGCCUCAUGAGGUAAUACUGUUUGUUCUCCAUAGAUGGUCCAAUAUCUUCUCAUAUAUGACAAAUUUAUUUAGUCUCGAUUCUUUCAAAAGAAAAUUUUAGUUUUUGUUUGCAUUUAAUAAAAAAUUCUCAAACAUUUUUGGUUUUUAAGAAUAUAUAUAUAUAUAUAUAUUUGUUAUAUAUGUGUUUUGAGUGCAUCAAUAUUUGCAAAUUGUAAUUAGUUUAAAUUCGUUAAGAAUGAUCCUAUUUUUGUGUGUGAAAUAAUAGAAGUCUCUUGUUGUUUUCGUUAACAAAGUUCAUUUAUUGUCAACAACAUACAAUAGAAGUACAUAAACAUUGAAGAGAUUAAUUGACAAGUGCUUUAGAAACUUUACAAAGCCAAAAAGUUCUUAAGAGCACCCACAUUGGUGAGGCUCUCAAAUGUGAAUUCCCAACUUAUUUAUUUAAAUUUAAAUACAAAAAGAAAAACUAAACCUGUAACAAGUAGACAUGUCUCAUAAGAGUUUCUCAUGAGUAUUUCAUAGUCUCUCAUUUCUCUCUAUAUGAGAACUCAUAAGUCAUAACCUCUUUUUGAGAUACUCAUCUCUCCUUCUCUCCUAUUUUUUCCAUUUUUUCUUUAUUUUUAUUGUUGAGAUAUCCAUUGAGUAUUUACCAAUAGAAGUGGUCUAAGACCAUUAUUAAAGGCAUAUAUGCCAAGAUGAUGCUUAAAAAUAAUAAGGUAAUUUAAUAAUAUAAAAGUUAAGUUAAAAUAAAACAUUAUUUAUUUACAAAAAUUCAGAGCCAAUCACUACAUGCCACAUGUGUUAAGCACCUUGUCAAAAACUUCUUAUGCAACGUCCGAUUACUUCUUAUGAAAACACUCUAUUAUUACUUUUUGGUUUUUUUAAAGAGAUAAGAACCAAACUGAUAUGCUGUUAAUGAUGCCCUAAUGAUUUAAAAUGGGUCUAAUCAGGUUUUUGAUAUUUUGGAUUUCCUUUUUUUUUAAGCCUAAAUAUUUCUUUAAUUUGUUUUUUUUGGUUGUAGAAAGUAUUUUUUUCUAAAGUCUAUAAUUUUUUUCUUGUUAGGUAGGUUGGAUUGGUAAGUUAAGUUUAGUAGCCCUGUUUAGUUGGUUUGAGUAGGAAACCCUAGUUUUUCCUUUUAAACUCGAAAAAAUGUCUCGUUCUUUUCCUAGUUGUGAUUUGUCGUUCCUAGGGAAAUAAGAGAAAGAUAAAGUUAGCUUCUUGUGGUUCGAGAAGAAAAAGAGGAGGCUAGAGUGAGGUUUGAGGAGAAAGAGGGUUGAGUUUUGGUUAUUACAAUGGAAGGAGAAGGACAUCAAAGCGUGUUAGUGGCUUUUAGGACGUUGUUGUGGCUGUGUGCAGUGGCGAACCCAAGAAAUUAUUUAAGUGCGUGCAAAUAUUGCAUAAUGAAGAAUCAAACCGUUCACCUCUUACUUUAGUAGGUAUAGUGUAUAUUAAACCUUUAUACGACUUUUCAUAUAUCCUUAUGUAAAUCUUCAACUUUUUAUAUUUUAGUGCGUACAGCUGCCACCAGAACCAUCGAUAGUUGUUGAUCGACAUCAAGUGGAGGUGUACGGUUAUCUUCACCAAGGUAGAAGUGGUGUAGUCGCAGACCGACACCUACUAUCUAUGGACGCAAAUUUUUUUCUUGAUUGUCUGGUUUGGCUAUUUUUGGUGUUGUUUCUUGUAUAUGACCUUAAUUACUUGUGUGUAUAGUCCAGUAGAUAGGAUGAUCAAUGCACUGAGUAUUUUUGAUUAUACUCACGCAUCUCUUCUUGUGGUGCAUGUAAAGUGUGGCGUGGAAUCAUUAUGAUGUGGGGGAGGAUAAUCUAGGGUCUUGGUUAUUGUGGUGUUGGUUAUGUUUAUUGUUGUUGGAAAUCCCGCCCCGUCCAACAUCGCGAUGUGGGCCGGGGGAGGAUAAUAUUUUUAUGAAUUAAUCUGUUUUGGGUUGGUAUGUAAAACAAUAUAUUAUUAGUAUAUUUUGACCAAAAAAAUAUUAUUAGUAUAUAAUUUUAAUGAAUGUAAAUGUUUUACAAUUUUUUUUAUAUUCCUAUUUCUACUAAAAAAAUGGUCAAAUUAAAUUAUAUAUCGAUAAAUAUUAUUUUGCGCUGUUAGAAUUUUUAUUGUUUUUAUUUUUUCUUUUAUUGUAUCAAAACUUGGUAUCUUAUCAUUUACUCAAUUUUUUCUUUCUACUAUUUUAUCCAAACUCAUUACAUAAUUAUAUGAUUCUCCGUAAUUGACUACACCGCAAUAAAUACAAAUAUAAGAUAUUCAAAUCUAUUAUAAACCGUAUGUAUAUGUAAAUAUUCCCGUGUGUUGUAGCGCGGAUCCGAAAUCACAAUUUCAUUUCUAUGUAAUGCAAUAUAUUUGUUAAUCUUCCUCAAACCCUAACUAUUUUUUUACAUGUUCUUUUUAAUAACAAAAUACUAAAAACAUCUAACAGCAACAUCAACAAUCCAUUUUUUCAUAAUGCCAUUUACAUUAAAACCCAAAAACAAACAAAAAAUCCGCAAUUUUCCAUCGCGCUAUAGCGCGAGUCCAAUCCUUGUAUUAAAAAUAAUAUUAGUUUUUUUCAAUAUAAAAUUCAAGAAGGCCAACGUAACAAUAUUCUCUAAUCAAAAUAUGUAAUUUAUGUAAAAGAUUAUAAGAUUACAGGUAAAGCAAAAAAAAUAGACAUAGAUCAUCUCAAAAAAAAAAAAAAACAAAUCAACAUUAUUAUUUGAAACAUUGAUACAAUACAUAAAUUAUCAAAUGGCCUAUCAAUGAAAAAGAAAAAAAAAACAAAUUCAUAAAUUAAUUAGUUCUUAUAGAUUAGGUCAUAAGCAGUAUAGAGACUAUCCCAUUAGGAAAAUAAAACAUAUUAUUUUUUAUGUUUUCCACUGAUAUAGCUUUACUGGUGGAUAACUAUCCAUUCGAAAAUAUAUAUAAUCCAAUCGUGCAGUAUAUUCACGUAAUUGAUCACAUUUAGGUGCCUUUAAUACUGGAGUGUAUGCAUCAAGAUUAAUAUAAUACUUCAUGUUAACCCCUUGCCUAACAACACAUUUCCAAAGUGAUGUAUUGGUUCCUGUAUCUUUGAAUUUAACUCCUCCAGUAGCUUUGUGGUUUAGGUAUCUGACUCCUGAAUCUGCGUUACUAGAUUUGCAUUGAAAUUGGAAACGUUUACCAACACCAAGAUCGUUCUUGAAUAUUAUCUGAUUUAUCUUGCAAGCUUCAUUUAUCCCAAAGUAAAUUGCAAUAACUAAUGUGAAAAAUAUAAGGUGAUUCAUGUUUUGGAUAAAAAGUAAUUUGUUUGAGUAAGGAAAGCAUCGAUUCGUAGUAUUUAUAUGUUAAAAAAGUG
rnacentral:lncRNA from 1 species